GGAGGUGGUGGUGGUUGUGGCGUCAGUUGUGGAUGCGCGGUGGUGGUUACGGAGGCGGAGGCGGUGGUGGUAGGGUGGGGGCGGAGGAGCAGAUUAAUUUGGUCACGAAUAAAAGCAGCUUUGUGUGAUAAAUCUAACCCUAAUUUAGCUUCAAGUUGCUGUACGACACCGUUUAAUGAAGUAACGGUGCUGGGGUCUGAUUGCCGCAGCACUGUCUCUACUCCUUUGGCUAUUUCCUGGUCUGUCACCAUGGCUUGGCUACCUCUCUUUCUUCACAUAUAUUUUUAACGGAAAAAACGGACACAAACGGUAACUCUAUGUGUCUUUGUCUCUCUAAACAAUUCUCUCUCUAGAAAAAUUCUCUGUGUUUCUUUCUCUCUCUACAUUCUCUCUGUCUCUCUCUUUAUAAUUUUUCGAAAGGACGGAAAUGACCUCUCAUGUUUUUAACCUGAAAAGACAGUUUGCCCUGUGUAACAGCUGGGUGGGUGGGUGAGGGUGGCAAGGGUAGAGUGGGUAUUUGGGGAAGUCCACUGUUUCUUGAAGUUCUAAGCUGUGAUUUUGGGUGUUUGAAAUGACGGUUUGGGGUUGAGGUUGGGGUUUGUGGGGGUGGUAGGGGGAGGAGGCAGGUGUGGAGGAUUCGAAGGUGGGAGUUUUAUUUUACUUUAAAAUUUAAAAAGGAAGAGAUAAGAAAGAGAGUGGAUACUUGAAGAUGUAAUUGACAAUGGUAAAUGAGAUAAUAAAGUAGGUUGAAGCAUCGUUAUUACAGCAGUUAGAUAUUUUAAUAAAUGUUUUUUAAAAAUAAUAUUUAUUAAUUUUUAAAAUUUAUUUUUAAUAUUAGUACAUCAAAAUAAUUUCAAGAAAACAAUUAAAAUAAAAAUAAAAAUUAUUUUUUAAAAAAAUACUUUUAAAACAUAAAAAUAAAUAGACUUUUAGAUUGAACAAAAACUUAUAGAAUGAAUUGAUUGACUACAUGAAUCCUAGCUAAUAAAAAAAUUUCUAAAAAUUAUAAAAUUAUAUAUAAAAAAUUAAUAUAUUAAAUCAACCUGAAUUAUUUUUAUUUUUUUCAUCUCAAGCAAAGGGUUGAACUUUCGAUAUAGUUCAAUAAUUUCAAUAAUUCACAUAAUAAUUAAAUAUAAAACAUUUCAUAAUAAAAUAAAUAUAAAAUGAUAAAUACAUUAAAAUUUAUUUUUUCAUGACUAGAUAUAAUUUUAUGUAUAUGUGUAGCAUUCAUUUAAAAUAUUUUUCUCUAGUUAUUAGAGAGGGGUUAAAGUCUUGAAUCCCAUGAGGGCAAACAAUUUCACAGAAUUAGUUAGUGUGCUUAAUAAUGAUGAUGACGACUUGUUGAAGAAGGAGCGAGGGUAUAGUGGUAAUUGAGAAUUGAGUUUGGAAUUAGGAUGAUGGAUAGUUUGAUAAGAAUUUAGUGGGGUGGGUCAACAACAAGAGAAUGUUGAUAAAGACUAGAAGAGAACCAAAUUAGUGUUUUCUUCAACAAGAUAACUAACCUAGCUACCACUUUUAUCUCUUCCGGCAACCACUGUUUUUUAACUUGCGGGUUGACCCAUUAUCUAAGUAACAUGGACUCGGGUUUCAAUAAAAAAAAGAAUUGACGCGGUGUGAAUCGGUGAAAAACUCAUGUUGUCUUGUGAUCCUGUCAAACUUGGAAAAACCUGAUUAAAAUUAAUUUUUUUAAUCUGAUUUAACUCGAAUCUAUUUACUUGACACGUAAUCGACACCAACAUAACUUUUGAUUAAGGUGUGAGAAAUAAUUUAAUCAAUAAAUCAUCAUAAUUUUCAUAUUCACUAGGAAUGAAAGAGAAUGCGGGUUACUAGAUCAACGAUUAGCAAGGAUUAUUUGUUUUUAUUAAAAUAAUAUUGUUUUAUUUUAAAAAUAUUAUAAAGUUAGACUUAUUGUGUUUGAUCAGGUUACAAGCAAUCUCAACUAAAUUAAUUAGAUUUUAUUAAAUCAAAAAAAAAUUAUUCAUCCAACCCAUGAAGAUUUCCUCACGAGUCUACAGAAAAUUACAAAAUAAGAAAAUAAUAUUAGAGGGGGGGGGGGGAGACAUGAGUUGUGAUGUUUGUGUCACAAUCAUAUCUUUGCGAGUAAAAUAAGCAAUUAUGUAACAUCACACAAGUGUAGAAGUUGUCAAAAUGUGAUGAAAAGGCUAUAUAUAUAUUAGCAACAUAAAAUGGACAAAGGGCGGAUUCGGGUUCUCUUUAUAGGGUUUGAAUAUAUUUUCUUACAAACAAGACAAAGACAAAAGGAAGGAAACAAAUAAAUUAAGAGCAUGCGAUGUAAUGAUGCAGACUCUAUUACCUUUUUCCUCCUGUUGCCUACACUUUGAGCAAAGCCUAUCUGUGGUCCAUGCUCUCUCUCUCUCUCUCUAUAUAUAUAUAUUGCUGGGAAACACAGCCGCUGCAACACACAAACAUAAAAUUAAAGCAAGGCCAUUGAAGAAACCCUGCUCGAUAAUAUCUAGAUAGAGCGAGGUUGUCUAUUAGUUAUUCGGUAGAGAAUAAUAUAUAAAUUUUAUUUAAAAAUUUAAAUUAUUAAAUUAAAAUGAUUUUUUCGUAGGAUAUCAGAGCUUUAAUGAUCAAGUGAUUACGGGUUUAAAUCUCACUAUUUUUAUUUAUUUGAUAAAAAAAUUAAACAUAAAAUAGUGUGAGCAUGUACAAGUUUUAAAUUUAAAGGACUUUCACUUGAGGAGAUGUUAAAGAACAAUAUAAAAAGCUUUUUAUUUAAAGACAUACGUUAAAAAAUAAUAUAAAUUACAGAUAUUAUUUAAAAACUUAAACUAUUAAAUUUAAAAAAAUUAUUUUACAUCACUGAAUUCCAAUUGUUGUAAAACCUUAAGUUAUCUAUUAACCUUGCUCAAGAAAAUUAUUUUUAGUGGUUAGAAAAAUACAAAAUGCUGAAAUAGAAACACACGAGUAUCGCUGUAACAAUCUUAAAUAUGUAAUAAUAGUCAUCUUUCUCAAAUUGAAUCAACACCCUCACCUUAAAAUUUCCAAAACACACACACACGUACACGUGUGAAAGCACAUGCACACAUGCGUGCAUGUAUAUACGUGUUGAUUCAAUUUGAGGUGUGUGUUAGCGUACAUGCACAUGCAUACGUAUAAACGAAUACAUGCUGGUACCAUCCUUCUCCGCAAGUUUUUUUUUAGUUAAUCAUGAGUAUUCGACUCAAUUUAUAUACACUUCGAUUAAUUCUUUGAAAUCCUGAAACUAACUAACAUGCAAAUCUUUCUAAUGAUUUCUAAAGAGUAAAUUUCAGAGGUACUUAUAAACUGGACUAUGUAAGUCUCCAUAAGUUUUCUGUAAGUUCUUUUUAAUGUUCUUGGACAAUAUUUUUUUUAAUUUUUGAUCUUUUUUAAAAAAUCAAAUUAAUAUUUUUUUGUAUUUUUUAAUAUAAUAUUAAAAAUAAAAAAAUAUUAUUUUAUUGAAUUAUAAACUAAAAAAAACUUUACAAAACACCACACACAACAAAUCCAAACACUAAGUUCAUCUCUAUUUCUGUUGAUAAGAAAGUUAGACCAUGAUGGAAAAAAAGAAAAUUAUUGAGCUAAAAAAAAUUGAAAUUAGUUCAAAGCCCAACAUAUUGUCCUAAAAAUUACUAACGGGCUUACCAAUUUAUAUCCCCAAGCCCAUGUUCUCUUCAGCUCUAUCACCUACAUGUCUCUCAAGCUGUAGGCAGAAGGGUAACACACCACCACCAUGGCACAAGUUCUUCACAUAAACCCUCUACGUUCCUCAACCCGACCCGAAUCAAACGGUACCCUAUUCCUCAGCCAGAGGCAGAAGCAAGAUGUGAAGCACAGCUGGACCUCUUUGCAGAGAGAAUUCAAGUGUAAUGGCAAGUUUACUUGCCUUUUCUCAGGCGGUGGCAGAGAGGUACAGAAAAAAAGUUUGCUCCUAUAUGAUUUUUUUAUCACUUUCUUGGAUAUAUUGUAUCUGAGUUUUGUCUCUUUGGAUGCGAAUUAAGGAAAAUUUGAUCAGCUAGUGAUAAAGAUUGAAGCUUUAAGGUUUUUGUUUUGGAAAUUAAAAACCCAUGUUUGGGUUUUGAGUUGAUUGAAAGCUGUCGUUUUAAAUGGUGGAUAUGGACUGUGAUAAUGGGGUUUAAGGGGCUUUUGAGCUUGCAAGUGAAUAACUUGUCCGCUUAAUUAUGGAAGAUGAGGGUUAGUAGGUUGUUUGCUUGUCAAAUUGUAGAGUUUAUGAAGUGUUUUAUUGAGUUGGAAUGGAGUGAGGGUUGGUUGUUUGAAUGGGAUACGGUUUUUAAUUUCAGAUAUUUACUGAUUAAACUAUGAUUCUUGUAAAGAUUUUUAAUGCUUGAGUGCUAAAAUGAUCUUCCGAUUGUUAGUUAUUAGCUUAACCAUUGUGUGCGUUUGUUUCCUAGUUAUGAGUGAUUGAGUUCCAACAAAGUGAAAUAUUUAAUAUGGUUAUAAUGUGAAUGUGUUUAUGUUAGUUGCCAUGCCAACUAGAAUUACCAUUAUCAUAUUAGGGACCUCAAGCUUCUUGACCAACCAGUAGGAUAAUCGGUAAUGUAUUUGAUAGUUAUGCUAGGCCUUUGUUUCUGUAAAUGUGGUAAUUUGAAUAGCUUAUUCUGCAAUUCAUGCGGAGGAUUCUUGUUGCUUAACUCUAGAGGCCAAGGCGAUUCAAGCUGUUGUACUAAGCCACCAGUCCUCUUACCCUUUCUCCCAUAUUCAAAGAUGGUUUUGAUCACUGAACUGGACCUUCAGCAUCAACAACUUUAUGACAUCGUGAUGUCUUAGAACUUUAAAUUCACUAAGGGUCCGUUUCCUUGUACAAAAGGGUAGCCUGGUGCUGGAGGCUUCUGCUUUGUGUUUCUGGUUAUGUGAAGGUUUCACAUUUUCUUGUGCAUUGACUUGCAUUGUGUCCAUUAAUCUUGGUGAUUGCCUGUCCUAUCAAACCAACUGUCAUAACCAGGUCUAGAUGAUGGAAACAUGGCUAACGAAAAUUGUUGGAAAUGGCUUUCUCAGGUUUGAUGAAAAACUGAGAUAUAUGCAAGGGAGUGUUGUAAUCCAACUGUUUAGAGGCUUUCAACUCCAGUCUUUUGACAUGCCUUAGAGUAUAGAUAUUGUUGAACUCUGUAUUUGUUAUGCUAUACGGUGACCUGUCAUAGGGUGGGAUAAAAAGAAUAGGAGAACUCAAGAUUAAAUGUGUUUGCAGGUGUGAUUAAGCCGUCUUAUUUGUGGCUGCAGGAACAAGCAAAGAAAGCUUUAGAAAGUGCUCUUGGUGGAAAGAAAGAUGAAUUUGAAAAAUGGAACAAGGAAAUUAAGAGGAGGGAGGAAGCAGGUGGAGGGGGAGAUUCUGGUGGAGGAGGUUGGUUUGGAUGGGGUGGACGAUUUGGCUGGUCCAAUGGUGACAAUUUUUGGCCAGAAGCACAGCAAGCAAGUCUUGCUGUCCUGGGUAUUAUUGCCAUGGUGAGGUUUUCCCUUCACAAUUCUUGGAAUGCUGUGUUUAAUUAAUUGCUCUCUCCCAAUUUCUUAUGAUGUUUUAUUACAUGUACAGUAUCUCAUAAUUGCAAAAGGUGACUUGAUCCUUGCCGUCAUGGUCAAUCCUUUGCUAUACACUUUGCGAGGGACAAGAAAUGGGCUAACUUUUAUGUCAUCAAAAAUGUUGAGAAAGGCAUCUCCAGACGAUCCUGCUGAUUUUGCUGGGGCGUUAAAGAAUGGUGUUUAUGUUGAAGUUUCAGCUAAAGAGAGUGUUAAGAGAAAAUGGGGAAGCAAUUGAUAAGUUAUCUCAGGCUUAAGCAUUGUUUCAUCCCUCCACUUGAUGCUGGUGCAUCUAUAAUUGUAUUGGACAACUGAAUCACAGAUUCUUGAAAAAGCAAUUUUAAAUUGUGAAGAUUACCGAGCCUGGCUGCAUAGUGUUUGAAUAUUCAGCCACUAGAGUUGGGGACGUGCUUCCAUCUUUUUGGGGGCAUUUUGCAUUUGAAAUCCAGUCUGUCUUCUCCCUGUAACAUCAAGGUCAAGGGUUAUUUGAACAUCAAAUGGAAAGAGAAUUGUUCCAUAUUUUGUCAGUAACAUUCAAGUCUACUCUUCUGUAAGAUGCAUCAUUUAUCAUCACUAGAUAAUACAUUAAUUUUGAUAUUGAGUAGACUUGUUUUGAUUCAUUUCAAAUUUAUAUCAGGCAAAUUGGAUGGACUUAGUUGGCAGAGAAGGAUCCGAUAAACCACAAGGCAAGGUAGAGCAAAAACCAUUUAAUGCUCUGAAUUUAGGUUCUUUUCAUUUGAACUGCAUAAUCUUCCAGUUUCCCAUUUUAGUUACUUCUGCGCAUGCUUGCCUGGAGUUAUGAGGAAUCAAGUAAUACAGGGAUUGCAGAGGGGAUUUAGAAGGUGAAUAACUCACUUCCAGUCUGCUAUACCAAUACCCUAUAAAUGCAGCUAGAGAUGACUCUAAGGUCCAAGGUCCUGGAAUAAUCCCCCGAACUUCACGAGUAUUGGAAUUCAAGGAGUCUUAUAUUUCCCUAGAAAUCUAUCUUCUUGUUUGCGAAAAAGAAUCGAAGAUGAUUCUUGUCGUUAUAUAAUUCUCAUGUAUAUGAAAUUACUCGCUUCCAGUCUGCUGUACCAAGCACCCUAUAAAUGCUGCCAGAGAUGACCCUACUGAUUUACUGUGGUUUUAUCAUCUCCCGAGGGAAACGAUGAUGAAUUAUCUUGAGCUAAGGACCAGGUUAGGUAAAUGGCAAAUUUGGCCACCAUCUGCGGUGGUUGCUGAUGUUGGCCUUGGGAAGAUAUCUCUGCCUCCCUUCGUGUUUGUGUGGUAAAUUGUCAGUGUGAAAACUAGUUCUUGGCUCCAUCGGCACAAGGGAUAAGGUCCAAGCAAACAGUACAAAAUUGCCAAAGGAUUCCAUGAAGUUGGUAAGAAGUUCAAGCUGAGGUUCAUGCAUCUGCUGACCAUUCCUCCUGUGGAAAAUAAUUUAUUACAUCAGUUAACAGAGCAGAAUAUUGUUGUUCCACCAUCAUGGCUAUUGAAUGAUGAUCAUGUACAUUUUACACAGUGGCCCUCCUAGAAUCUGUUCAGUGGCCUUAAUAAUUAGUGGGGCACAUGCAUUAAAGAAAUCGGAACAAUUCAAUGCAGAGAUUCUCCUUGCUACCAAGGCCUUCUUGCACACAUCAUGAAGGCCAUGAUUAUCUUCAAGGUUGAAUCACCGGUUUAGUAGAUUAAUAUUUUUACAAGAGUUUUUAUAAAAAAAAAGUCUUAAAAAAUAUUAUUUUAUUUUUUUAAAAAAACUAAAUAAGAUUUUAAUUUAUUUCUUUAAUAAACUAGAUGAAUUUCUACAGGAUUUGAUUUUAUUUGAAAUAUAUAUAUAUAUAUAUAUAUAUAUAUAUAUAUAUAUAUAUAUAUAUAUAUCUCCUUGCUACCAAGGCCUUCUUGCACACAUCAUUGAAGGCCAUGAUUAUCUUCAAGGUUGAAAAUUCCCAUUUCCAUUUAGCAAAUGACAAUUACCACUUCAAUUAGUCCAUAUAAUUUAACUUAGAAAAUUUUCUACACUAGUCCUGAAAGCCUCACCUAAUGGUUUUUAUAAUAAAAUUAAACUUAGUUUAAAUUUACGGGUUAACUUGAUAAAUAACAUUUAUGAUUCCAACUAAAUUUCAGUUUGGACUAAUUUGAAAUUGAUUUAGUAAAAGAUUUCAAGUAAUACAUGUUGAUUAGCCUAUAAACUUAUUUCAAAUUGGAUUGAGUCAAAACUAAUAAAGUUUUUCUUUAAAAAAGAACAAAAUGACAUCUUAUUGAUAAACAAUUGAUCUGAUAAAAUCGACUCAACAACCUUUAACUCGGACUCUUUAUUACUUUCGUCAGCUAUGGUUUUUUAUGUCCUAAAUUCAUAAGAAAAUGUACAAAUUACUGGGACUCAGCUAGCUGAAUUGACUUUGCAUAAGCCUAUAAUCUUUUUGACAAGGACAAGAAAAUGUCCAUACAAAAAACCUAAGGUCAAAGUACCAAGAACUGAGAGCUUAUCUAAAGUUAAAAACAGCGAGCUGAACCAAACCAAUUAUAACUAUCAGAAUCCUAGGCAGCUUUUUUUUCUUUCCUUCAUGUCCGAGUCAGAGUUUCCAUUAUAAGAAGUCAAAGAGGAGGAGUCUAUCCUCCAGACAAUCCUAGGCUGUCUUAAUCUCACAUCUCUCUCUCUGUAUAUUGUUUUGGUUAUGUAAUCAAAAGGAUGCACUAAUUUUAAAGCCCCCCAUGUCCUUGAAUCAAGGUAUUCGUGGAUCCUACUGAAGGAGUGACCUUCACGAUCUUGACACCUCUCUUUUCUUAUUUUGCCAUUGUUGUUUAGUUGAACACAAUUUUAGGAUCACCACAUGACUGUUUCUUUUUCCUUUGUUUGAACUUUCUAAAAACUGAACUUGUGCCCUUUCUCUAUCGUUCUUUCUUGGGUUGUUAGCGUGUCUUGUUGUUGUUUGAAGGGUUAUGGUUGUGGGUUUUCUUGAUUUUGUCCCGUGUUAAACUUUCUAGUUUCUAAGAUUCUUUGACCCUUCUUUUGUUGGUGUCUGGUUUUUGUGUUCUUUUGCUUUGGGGGCAUUCUGUUUUGUUUUGUUUUGUUCCCUAAGGGAGACACAUACAGGCGCAGACACAAGUGCUGUUUACUGUUGAUGGGCUGUUGAUGUCUUUGGAGGUUGGUGUGAAUUCAAAUACUAAAAGCAUGGGUUUUGAUGAGAAAAACAAAGAGGAAGUUUCUGAGACAGCAGCAACAACAAAAACACCUCCAAAUGAAGAAGAACAUAAUGUUGAUGAACCUAAAAGUGGUGGGAUUAGUAGAAAGAUGAGUGAGAGUUCUCUUUAUGGAACUGAUCAAGAAGAAGAGGAUGAUGAAGAAACUAAUGAAAGGAAGAUUGAGCUGGGUCCUCAAUGCACACUCAAAGAACAACUUGAAAAAGACAAGGUUUGUUUUUCUUUCUUGUUUUCUACCUCUUUGUGUUUUCUCAUUCCUGUUUCUUUUUAUUAAUUACUGUUCCAUUUUUUGUUUUGUUUAUGUUCAAUCUUUUUCUGUUUUGUGUGGUUUGAGAAUGUAGGAUGAUGAGAGUUUGAGGAGGUGGAAGGAACAGCUUCUUGGGGCUGUGGAUAUUGAGGCUGCUGGAGGUAAUCUGCUUAAACAUUUUGAAAAUGUGUUAAUUUGUAGUAUAAUUCAGAUUUCCUUUGCAAUUAGUGGUAAUGGAGCUAUGUUUUAUGUAGUCUGUUAAUGAUUUUUUUGUGGAUUUACAAGUCUCUGCAUAUUGUCUGCUGUGAGAAGAACUAAAAUUCAUCUGAGAAAUCUUAGGAAUUAAUAAAAGUUAAUUUUGUUAAUUAGGGUUGAUAGUUUAUGGAUUAUUUGUCAAAUUUUGGUUUCUUUUCCCACGAUUUAUAGCAAUUGUGUCUGAGCUCAUGUGUUACUAUAGUGUGUUAGACCCUUCUUUCAUCAUCUCCAUUUAUUCAAGCAUGCUAUUUCAUUGACUAGAUUUGUAAAUGCUUGAAUUGGAAUAAAAUUUCCUCUGUUAGCCUUUUUGAUUCUUGGAAGAAAUCUGAUCAUUUAAUGGCAGAUGAAGUUUGUUUGGAUCUCUGACAUUUUUCUUAAUGGUUUUAUAACUAUGUAGAGACUCUUGAACCUGAAGUUAAAAUCCUGAGCCUUGAAAUCAAAUCCUCUGGCAGACCUGAUAUUGUUCUUUCAGUUCCUGAGAAUGGAAAGCCUAAAGGCUCAUGGUUCACCUUAAAAGAAGGUAGCCGCUAUAGUCUGCAGUUCACUUUUGAGGUUAAGAACAACAUUGUUUCCGGCCUCAAGUAUACUAACACGGUUUGGAAAACUGGUAUCAAGGGUAAAAGUCUCUCCAUUUAUCUCUUCCAAUCUCUUCAUCCCCGUAUCUCUUUUUCUCUGAAAUAAUGAUUUUCCCUUUAUGAUGAUUUAUCAUGAUAGUUGAUAGCUCAAAGGAGAUGAUUGGAACCUUUAGUCCUCAGACAGAACCUUAUACUCAUGAAAUGCCUGAAGAAACUACUCCAUCUGGUAUGUUUGCUAGAGGAUCAUAUGCGGCUAGAAGUAAAGUAAGUCCCACCAGUUCUUCUUGUUCUUCACCCCUUUGAUAUUUGAUCUUUUCACGCAACAGAUGUAUUGGUUCAAAAUACAUGUUCAUCAACUGACCUUUUCUCAAUGCAUUUGCGCACAAACUACACACAUUCAUGUUCAGUUGUUUUCAUCUGUUCUGUUGAUUCAUGUGAUAGUACUUGUGGGGCACCUGCAUUUAAGAGCAUGGAUUUAUAAAAAAAAUUUGCAAAAAUUCAAAUAAUUUUAAAUAUGCUAACAUCAAAUCUAUUACCAUUUAAAGUCCCUACAAUGUAGUUAUUGUUUCAGAACAUCUUGCAAGGCCUAACUUAAUCUGCUUCAAAAGGACAAGCUGAGUAAUGUUCCUAUCAAUUAGUUCUGGAAUCAAGUGUGUCAUAAUUCAUGCAUGUGAACAUUUAAACUUGUGGGUCAUCCUUUGUUUAGUGAUUAGAUUUCAAAGAUAAUUAUUAGAUUCAUCAAGAAUUUUUGGUUUGCAGAAGCUGCUACUGAUUUCCUUUGUAUUCUUCUUUCUGUGUCUCCAGUUCGUUGAUGACGAUAACAAGUGCUACCUUGAGAUCAACUACACCUUUGACAUCCGCAAAGAUUGGCUGCCAACUAAAAACUAAGAAUUACUAUUACCUUCAAGUUGCAGCUUCCAUAUAAUUGUUUUACAAGUUGGAAUAUGCUUCUGAUGUUUAACAUAUCUUCUUUUUAUUGUCUUAUUUAUGACUCCUAUUUGAGACUGGUCAUUUGAACAAUGAAGAGAGGAUUUGAAAAUUUGCAGCUAGAUAUUCAUUUGGUAGUUGUUGAUUAAUAAAAUUCACCGUUACCUUAAAUUGAACACUUUCCUUUUUUUCUCCCGGAUCAUCAUUCCAUUAGUACAUUCUUUUUCUCUUUUGAUUGUUGCUUUUGCUUUCAACGUUGGCCGAAUCUUUCUACUUUAACUGCCUUUCUUGUUCUGUUCUUUUCGUUGGAAUUCUUUUGCAACGGUUCCAUUUUGUACCGUUGUUGACUCUCAUUCUAGUCUUGGAACUACCAUGUUUUAAAUGGAUGUCUUGUGGGGUUAAUUGGCUAAACUUUUUAGAGACAAUGUUUGGUGGGACUAGGAACCUUUAAUCAUUGUGGGGGUGAACACAACAGCAAUUGCCUGGACUGUCAAAAAGAGUUACUGUAAGUGGAAAAAAAAUGACAGCUGUGAUUCAAGACAUUCAGAUCUUUGCAUUAUGAUCAAAGCCAUGCAGCUCCUUUUCCACCUGAGAAUUCUGAAUAUUUGGACUAGGAAUGCAUUAUUUAACCAUUUUGGAGAGAAUUAAUGCUACGAUUUAAGUUGGAACAACAUAGGUGUGAUUUUGCAGUGACAUCUGCUACUGGUUUUGUUUGAACACCAUGAUGGUUGCUCAUUCAAUUGAUGGUGAUGGUGGUAGUGAUCUACUAGUACUAGGGUUUUGAGUCAACAAGAAAGAUGUGAUCGGCCAAUGAAAUCUUAAUCAACAAACUCAUAAAGAGUUCAGAAGUGGAGGUUGUUGCUGGUUGUUUUAACAUGAAAUCUUUCCUUUUAAGUUGAUUUUUGGAAGCCGAACAUCCACUGCACUUGGUGAUGUUAUUGACAGAAACUUGGUUCACAAUAUCUCCUUACCGACUUAAAGAAAAAUGUGGAAUAGGCAUCAUUGCACUUUUGAUCAUCUGCAACCCUAAUUUUUUCUUCAAUUAAACAGUAUUGAUAGUGAUUUCCAAUUGAGUGGACAUGAACAGUAUCUAUCAGAUUCACAUCAUUCUACGUUGUGCUACUUUCAUUGGGUUCUAUAUAAUUCAGUAUUGAUUGGCCGUAUUGUAUUGCCUCAAAACUUUGAACUAACUUAGCAGUUCGCUUUCAGAAGAAAGUAGAAAAUGGAAGUUCAAAUCAUUUCUAAGGAAAUCCUGAAACCUUCCGCCGUGCUGCACCAUCUAAGAACCUUCAAGCUUUCUCUUUUACUCACUAUCCAGUGAAAGUUUCUGCAAAGCCUCUUUUAUCACCUGAGAAAGUCCUCACAGUCAUUAACUUAAUUCUACCCUUUUGCUGGACGGAUAAAAGAUGGUUUUUCUAUCGACUGCAACGAUGAUGGUGCGCUGUGUUUUAUGAAGCCUUGGAUGGUGGCGACGUAACAAAGGUAUUUCAAGAAGCAGACAUAAAUCAGCUGCUACCAUGUAGCCCUAAUGAAGUCAUUUGGGCUAAGCACUGAUCAGGUAAUGCUAGCAGUUCAAGUAAAUUACUUCAAUUGUAGGGGGUUGAAAAUUUGUAUUUGCAUUUGACAUGCAGUUGCUGAUGCAUCAACUAUAGCAACCUUUGUUAAUAACUGGGCUGCAAUGGCUUGCGGUUCCCAUAACAUUAUUGACGAGGUGAUUUUUGACUGCUCAACCCUCUUCCCUCUACAAGAUUUACCAAGCUUCUCUUCAAGCAAUUUCUUGAAAGAGGAUGUGUUAAGUGAAAUUUUGAUGAAAAGGUUCUUGUUUGAUGGUUCCAAGAAAGUUUCUCCAGGAGAAGAAGUGGGCGACGGACCAUCUUUGGAUUGUCCUACUCGUUUCGAUGCUGUUUCAGCUCUUAUUUGGGGGCUAUCACGGCUGUAACCGGAGAAAUUGAAGCUACGAAGAUAAAUGCUGCAACAAUUGCAGUCCAUGUUCGGAGGAGAAUGAAACCACCAGUGCCACAACAAUCCAUUGGAAACUUCUACCUGGUGACAACAGCAAAAUGGCCAGAAAGUGAAAGUAAUGUGCUAAACUAUAAUGGUUUAGCAGGAAAACAAAUUUCACGAGUCAAUAACGAAGAUGAACAAUGACUAUCUUUAGGAAAGCUUCAGGGUGGUAGUGGAUACUUAACUUCCUAAAAAACAUAGUUGUUAAACCCGAAAUAAUCAAGUUGGUUGACUUAGAAAUUCUGCGAAAUCUAAUUUAAAUUAAGUUCAAGUUGAAUUGAAAAAUAAACAUUGAUUUGAUGAAACAUGGAGAUUCAUAACUUAAUUGACUUGACAGAACUCAUUCUAAACUUUGACCGUAAAAAUUCAUGGAUUUUUUUUGAAAGAAUAAAAUGAUGUUAUUUUAAUAAAAAUAAUUAAUCAGAGAUGACAGAAGCUUUUUUUCAAAUUAGUCAUCGAAUCUAACAACUAUGUUUAAAGCCGGUGAGGGGGCUCCAAGAAUCCCUAGCUCAAGGUUUUUUUCGUUUCAGCAGUUGGUAUGAGUUUCCAUUCCAUGACACAGAUUUUGGGAGGGGAAAGCCUAUGUGGUAAAGUCCUGCCUUGAAGCCUAACAGGUUGCCAUUUUCUUGGAUACAAAAGAUGGUGAGGGAAUAGAAGCAAAGAUUGGAUUGUCCAAGAAAGACAUGGUAAAGUUUGAACAAGACCUUGGCAUCUUCACGUAUCUUUCUUCACGUCUUCGAGCUGGGAUUUUCCAUUUUGAUCCAUCCAAUCAGUCCUUCAAUUACACUCUGAGAGUAGCAUUUCCUCACCCAUAUAUCUCACAAGAGAUCCACUGCAUCAGCCACUAAUAUUACUUGGGACUCACUGCAUCAAUCCAUCUGAGAGUUUUAUUUUAGUACUUGACGAAAUCUGAACAGAAAACAUCCUAGUUAGAUUGCUAAGGAAUUGAAAUAUGACUAAAACUGAGAGUUUUAUUUUUGGUCGAUAAUUGAAAUUCGACAAAACUAAGGUUCAUGGAGAUAUAUAUUUUUUAUAUUGUUUCUCUUGUCUCGAGAUAGUAAAUAAAGUUAUCUUGAUACAGAAAACAAUGAGAAAAAAAUAUUGUUUAUUGUAUGAAAGCUUCUAAUUAGAGAAUAAGUAAAAUAGUUUUUGUGUAUAAAACAUGAUUCGAGAAUCAUGAAAAAGCAUGAAUUCAAAUUAAAUGAACAUAAUGAAAAACCUAAAUCAUGAUUAAAUAUUGAAUUAGAUCAUGUGUAGAUAAUUUGUUAAAAACUGAUCCAUCGGUAGAAGGAUGCAUCUUUAUAUAUAUAUAUAUAUAACUUAUUUUUUUAAAAAAAUAGAAAAGGUUGAAAAAAUAGAUAGGAUGAAAAAAUUGACAAGAAAAGGAAGUUUUUUUAAAAAAUAAAAGAUUAUUAAAUUAAAUAUAGUCAAUAGUGCUGAUAAAAAAGUAUUUAAUUAUUUUUAUACUAUAAAAAAUAAUUAAUUUAUCUAGAUAAAUCAUAAUGAUUAAAUUUUAAUUAAAUCUAUAAAAAUAAUCAAAAUAAAUAAACAAGUUUACGUGUCUUUAACUGUAGUUAUAAAACCAGUAUAAUAAGUUAACUUGGUAAUGGUGGAUUUGAAGCUUAAUUUAUGCUGGUUUUAAUUUCGAUUUUUUUUUUAUCUAAACAAUGACCCGUCAAUCAAUGAAUUAGCCUGCCCAACCUGCCGGGUCCACCCGAGUUUGGUAGUAUAACUAUCGUCUUGACCUGGAAUUUCCAUAAGCAGAAGGUAUAUAUAUAUAUAGCUAGCGACGAUCUCUAUAGCCAAAAAAAAUUGGCCAGAGAGAGAAAUCAGACCAAAGCAACCUUUUGCACAUUAACGUUAUCAGACAAAACAUGGCAGAAGACAAGCAAGAAACAGAGAAAACAUUCGCUGAUUUAGGUUUAUGUAAAGAACUAGUAGAAGCAUGUGAAAAUCUAGGAUGGAAAAAGCCAACAAAGAUACAAGAAGAAGCAAUACCUUAUGCACUUCAAGGCAAAGACUUGAUUGGUGUAGCAGCUACAGGUUCAGGCAAGACUGGAGCUUUUGUGCUUCCAACACUGGAAGCACUUUUGAAAGAUUCACAAGAGAGAAAAUCUGUGCAACCCUUCUUUGUUUGUGUUCUUUCUCCUACAAGGUUGGCUUUUUUUUGUUGGUUUUCUUUGAAUUCGAACCCAGAUGAUUUUUUCUUGUUUAUUAUAUGUUUAACGUCAGGUUUUUUUUAUUGAAUUAUUUGAAUGUGAAAAACCCAGAUGCUUUGUUCAUGUGUAUUUAGUGUUUUAAGCUUUAAAGUUUGUAUUUUUUUUUGCUAUGUAGUAUAUAUUUUUCAACUGGGUUUUGUUUUGCUCUUGUUCAAAGGGAGUUGGCAAUUCAGAUUGCUGAGCAGUUUGAAGCUUUGGGAUCUGGCAUUGGUGUGAGAUGUGUAGUGGUAAGUUUUAAGGUUGCCCCUUUAUUUCUUUUUGUUUUUUCGUUAGAUAGACAGGAAGUAAAUUGAGAGUUUUAUUUUGUGAUUAUCUGUUCACUUCCAUCACAAAUUUAUUAUAGACAUUUGGGUUGGUACAUAAGUACAUUAAUAAAAACAAAUCUUGAUUUGCUGAUAGAAUAUUUUAGCUUCAAAUUAAAGACUCAGGUCAUGUAGUUAUGUGCUAAGCACAAAAUUGAGCUGUGCUAUUUAAUUAUAUAAUUCACAAAAUUGGCUUUAAGCAUUGAAGGUGAGUAGUUUUGAAAUCAUGCCUGGCAGCAGGACUAAUUCUGAUAAGGAAAUGAUUUGCGACUGGGUAGAAGUUAUGUAGGUGGUUUUUUUGUGUGGAGUAAAUGAUGGUGAAAUGUUAAAGUUCAAUGUUUAAUAAAGAAGUAUUGGAGUUAGUAGAAAAAAGAAGGUUAUGGUUUGAAUCACUUUGAAGGGUAGAUUCUGAAGAUUGAACUGUAUCAUAUAGUUUUCCAAUCAAUCUUGUUAUUUUUUUCCCAAAAUUAUGUGAAUGAUAAUCCUUGUUGUUCUUUUGAAAUAGCUUGUUGGAGGAGAGGAUAUGUUGCAGCAAUCUAUUGUCCUUGCAAAAAAGCGGCCACACGUUAUUGUAAGAGUUUCAUUUACUAGUAUGAUACUUUGAGCUUCCUAUGACAUACAGAGAGGAUAUAACUGUUUGGUUAUGUUAUUCGAUGUGGUCUUUGCAUCUUUCUAUCAUAAUCUGAUAAGUCAUAGAGCAUAUCUUUGCUUGUUGGCUCCCACUUUCUCAUUGUAUAGGCGCGUGGGGUGGGAUUGGUGCCUAAUGUAUGAACAAGAUUGUUAUAUUCAAUUUUGGUUGGAAUUAUUCUAAGUGGAAAUUUCAACUUAAAGGUGCUUGCAAGAGUAGGAAGGAGAUUUAUGUGGAUAUACAUUAGAACUACUCCAUGUUUUCAGUUGUAGGAAGCUCUCAAUUUAUCUCGGUUUGUUAUUUCUUUGUAGGUUGGAACACCUGGUCGCCUUGCGGAUCAUUUGUCAAACACAAAAGGCUUCUCUCUUCAUGCAUUGAAAUAUUUAGUACGUCACAUUUUAUCCUUGGGCCUAGAACCUCCUUUUUUUGUUUUUAAAAUUGUUCAUGUUGCUUUAUUAUUUGUGCUGUAAACAGAUCUUGGAUGAAGCAGACAGAUUACUGAGUAUGGAUUUUGAGAAAUCACUGGAUGAAAUUUUAAAGGCCAUUCCAAGGAAUAGAAGAACCUAUUUAUUUUCUGCCACUAUGACAAAUAAGGCAGGUGUCAUAUACAUUGAGAUUGCCAGAGUUUUCUUCUUGUUUUUCUUUCUUUCUUCAUGUAUUUUUUUGAUGAAUAUGCUGGAGUCUUCUUGAUUCCAAUGUUCAUGUUGCUGUGGUUGCUAUGGAGCAUAAAACAAAUCAUUGCAAAAUCAAUUGCUGAUAAGAACUUAAUUUUUCUGCAAUUUUUAUCUAUUCAAAGCUGAUUAAAAUAGUUUGUCAUAGCUAAUUUCCCGAAUUGGCUCACUAACAUGAGUAGGAAAUGGAAGCUAAAAUAUAAAAUGUUUCAAAAUAUCACAUCAUCGUUUCUUUUGUUGUGGCUGAUUGUAUCUGUUUUUGGCCUUGUGGUUCUUCCAAUUACAAAGUUCAUAAGGUUUGCAAUAAAGUGAAAUUAGAACAAAUGCAACGAGCUUGAUAUAAUAAAAUCCAAAAUAUUUUUUGUGUUGACAAUUGAAAUAUUUUCUGUACAUCCUAAUGGAGGGAAAUGAGAUAGGGUUGAAAGUUUGAUCAAGUUCUUAUCUUGGUUUUGCAGGUGAAGAAACUCCAAAGGGCUUGUUUAAGGAAUCCUGUAAAGGUGCAAUGGAACAACUUUCAUGCAUCUAUCACUUUCCUCUUCUAAUUGUUUUCCUCACAAGCCAGAACUUCAAUUUUCCAGAUCGAAGCAGCAUUUAAAUAUUCCAUUGUUGACACACUGGAGCAGGGGUUUUACUUCAUGCCAGCUGCGCUCAAGGUUUCUUCCUUUUCCAUUGUUGCAUUGCUUCACACAUAUUCUUCCUUUUUUACAUAUAUGAUGUAUUCCACAAGCCCAUUUGAAAUUCUCUGUCAUCUGCUGCGUAUCCAAAUACACAUCAAGAAUACUGAAGUUCUGGUUACAAGGAACUUGUUGUCUGCAAUAUCAGAUGUUUCAUUGUUUCCUGGUUUUCAUAGCUGAUUUGAUUUUGUAUGCCUGCAACAAUUUUUUUCUAAUUUUAAGAUUGGAACGCUUGGAAGAACUUAAAGAAUAAAAGGGAUUAUAUUUGGUGCUGACCACCAAAUACCUUGAGAAGGCAUGAGUACUUGAGAGUUUGUGCAUGGUUCACAGUGAGCCAUGCAUCUGGUGGUGUUUGAAGAUGUUAGUCGUGGAAUUAUUCAUGAGACUGCAGCAUUUUAUACCCCAAUGGAAGCUUAGUGAAGCAAAAACGGCUUCCAUUCUUUUACUCUAUAAUUAAUCUCUCUCUUAGGUUCGUUUCAUUUUGUAUGCUUGCUGCAGGAUUGCUAUCUUGUACAUGUACUAUCAUCAAAGAAAGGAGCUACUUCCAUGGUUUUCACUCGGACAUGCAGAGAAACUGACUUUUUGGCUUUGGUUCUUCGAAAGCUUGGUCUAGGGGCCAUCCCCAUUAAUGGUCAAAUGAGCCAGGUGUGCCUUAAAUAAUCGAAAUAUAUGCAUUUUUUUCUCUCUCCAUCUAUUCACGUUUCUUCUCCUCUUCCCAUUUUUGUUACCUAAAUGUUCUUGUGAUUAUAAAUCAGCCCUCACUUUGUUAGAACAAUGUUUUCUAUAGUCAAACAGACUUGGAGCGUUAAAUAAGUUCAAAGCUGGCGAGUUCAAUAUUCUGAUAUGCACUGAUGUCGCAAGUAGAGGACUCGAUAUUCUAUCUGUGGAUGUUGUUGUUAAUUAUAAUAUCCCCACAAACGCCAAGGUUUGCCUUCUAAUUUUCCAGCACUCUCACUCAUACUUGAGUACACCAUGUUUAAGGUCUUGUUUCUGAUCUAUCUUCAGUCAUAAUUAUUGUGGAGCUUUGAAUUGCAUUUGGUUGUUUCCCUUUUUCCAUUCAUGAUAUUUCCCUGCAUUGUCAUCACUUUUCUGCAACACGCGCUAUUAUUUUCAGCAAAUUUCGAGUUUGAAUUUGUCACCGCAAUCUUGGAAUCUUGCAUCCAAACAUUCACAUCUACAUGACAAACACAAUAAUUCCUUUAGAUGAUGAAUGACUAGAUGGAGUUGUUCGUGGAGCAUUUUGCAUUUAUUUACAAUCUCCUCUUUUCUAAUUUGUUUACAGGAUUAUUUUCAUCGUGUUGGUCGAACUGCUCGUGCAGGACGAUCAGGGCUUGCAAUCUCACUUGUAAAUCAAUUCGAUAUAGGACCAUUUAAACAGAUAGAGAAGCACAUUGGAGGUUAGACUUAGACAUGCUGUUUUUUUGUUAGGAGCCACAAGGAGUAUUUUUGGAAAAAAAUGUGCUUACCCAUACACUAAACAGUUCGCUAUGCUUUCAGAUGAUUUCAAGAUACCUAAGUAUACGGCAAAUGAAGAUGAAGUCUUGCUAUUGGCAGAGCGUGUUACAGAAGCCAAAAGAAUUUCCAGAAAGGUAUUCCCUUAAUUUUUCCAUCAUAAUUGAUAGGACUAAGUGUAGUGAAAUAAUGAUAUUGUUUUUAUUACAAUCUCAUUCGAGUGUUUCUUGAUUGAUGUUGCUGUUGUAUGCUGAACUUCUAUAGAGCAUCCAAGAGGGUGGAGGCAACAAGAGAACAGACCGACUAGACGACGAAGAUGAGGAGGAUAUAGAGAAGUAUUUAGGCAUCAAGAACAAGAAGUUGAGGAGAAAAUGAGACCAGCAAGCAACUCUUCUGUCUGAAUGUUUCACCAUCUGAGGAUUCUUCCUCAAGAGAUUUUUGUAGCAUAACAAACACUACUCUGAUCAUCCAGUAAGGGGAUGUGAGAUUAGUAGAUUGCUAGUUUACUACUUGUUUUGGCAAAGUUAAAUUAUAGGUUUUAUGAUAUUAAUUAUUUUUCAUAUGAUAAAAUCUUAUAAUAUUAAAUUUUAUCCCAUACUCUUAACACGUGCAUGAGCCAUGAAGAUCAAAAUAUUGUUUGAGAAUUACAGUAUAUGAAAAGCCAAAUCAUGGAAGAACAAAAAAUGCCAAAUUAUUGGAAAAUGUCGUUUUCUAUUUUUUUAGCUAAUUUUACAUCCAACAAUAUUAUUAACCUUAAAAACACUCUAAAUUAUUUUGAUAGUAUUAAUCCUAAACUAAUUUUUGUAUCAAUUUUACUAUCCGGCUAUUUUGAUUUUUCAAUAAAGAUCUCUGUUGGCAUCAUUUUAUAAAAAAAUAUUGAUUUUUGUACAAAAUAAUAUCAUUUCUUACUUAAAUAAGUAAAAUUAAUUGAGUAUUUUUAAAAAUUUUAAAAUAAAAUUAAUACAAAUAAUUAUUUGAUGGUAAAGUCCAAGAUGAGUUGAAUGGUAUUUUUGAGAUUUGUGAAAAAGAAAGAACUCAUUAUAUUAUAAUGGGCUGGACUUCCUUCUAAAUGAUAAUUUUCAACCCAGUCCACCAAUUCAAAAUUAUGAAAACGACACGUCAUUCCAAGCUGCAGAAGGCUGUGAAACGACGUGUCGUUUUGUCUCGGCUUAGCAAAACACUCUUCAAGCAGCAGCAAGCAGCAGUCCAGUCUCGAAACUGGAAACAUUUUGGGUUCUUUUCAAGAUCACCAAAUCAAAGGUAAGUUGUUUUCUUGAAAACCCUUUUGUUAUUUUUAUCCAAGUGUUUUUUUAAGGAUUAAAGUUUUGGUUCUUAGAUGUUUUAGAGCUUCAAAUUUGCUUAUUUUUAUCAUGAAAUGUUCUUUUUAUUGGUUAAAGUUCUAAUUUUUAGAUGUAUUAGAGCUUGGAAUUUGCUUAAAUCUUGCAUAAACUAAGCUAGUAUUUUGAUAUUCAAUGUGCAUAAACAGUGAGGGAAGAAAAGAUUGUGAAAAACAAGAGAGUAAAGGAAGAUAAUAUGGGGACUGAAGAAAGUGGCGGUGUUUCAAAGAGGCAGAGAUUGGAUGAGCAGUCUUCAGCUUCUGGUAUUGAAAACCCACUUGUGCCUUACAAUGAUGUGGAUGAUGAAGAGGAGGAUUUUGAAAGAGGGAGAACGGCUAAUGGUGGUGGAAGGGUGGAGGAGAAUAGGGGACAAGUUGUUGCAGCAGAGAAUGGUGAGGAGGAGGAGGAGGAGGAGGAGGAGGAUUUGUAUGGAGAAGAGAAUAGUUUGGAGAAGAGGAAGAGUCAAUUUGAGCCUCGUGAGGAUUGCCCGUAUUUAGAUACUGUUAAUCGACAGGUAAAGAUUGCAUCUUUUUUGGAUAAUUUAUGUAGGUUUUGGGUUUAUAAAUUGUUAAAUGUGUUAAGUAUUGGCGGUUUUGGAUAUGAUAAUAUGGAUUUUUGUUUAAAUAAGGUUAUCUGUAUAUUGUUGUGCAAAAAUGCGUUAAGGAUAUGUUUUCUUGGGGUGUUUUGUGUUUUUGUACUUAAAUGUGUGGAAGGAUGCGCUUUACUAGAUAAUUUGUGUAGUUAUUUGUAUGUUUGUAGGUAUAAGUGUGUUAAAGGAUUCAUUUUUCUGGGUUGUAUAUGUGAGUUUUUGUGUGUAAUUAUGUGCACAUAAAUGUGUUAAAGGCUUCAUUUUUUUGGGCUAUAUAUCCGGGUACAUUUUUGUGUAGUUAUGUAGAUAUGUGUGUACAUGAAUAAGUACAGUAAACAUUAUUUUGGAGAAUAUAUCAGGAUUGUGGUUUAUAUAUGUCUGUGUUUGUGUGCUUAAAAUAUGUUUUUGAUUAUUGUUUUUUGGGGGUUUGCAGGUCUUGGACUUUGAUUUUGAGAAAUUUUGCUCUGUUUCCCUGUCAAAUUUGAAUGUGUAUGCAUGUUUGGUUUGUGGGAAGUAUUACCAAGGAAGAGGGAAGAAAUCCCAUGCUUAUACUCAUAGUCUUGAGGCAGGACACCAUGUCUACGUCAAUCUUAGGACAGAGAAGGUUUAUUGUCUUCCUGAUGGAUAUGAGAUUAUUGAUCCAUCACUAGAUGAUAUACGACAUGUUCUCAAUCCAAGGUCUUUCUCCCCCUCUCUCCGUGGUGCAUUAUACUUUUCCUGUGGGCAUGGGGUUCCUGUUAGUAUUCUUUCUUAGAGUUCCUGACCAUUUAGUUGAGAUGUUAACAGGGGAUGGUUAUCUGUGGUGUUAUUGGUUGCAUUUUCUUUUUAACUCACUUCAUAUGUUUACCAACUUCCAAGAACUUUGCAUCAUCCAUGCAGGUUUACUAGGGAUCAAGUCAAACAGCUUGACAAAAACAGGCAAUGGUCCAGGGCACUUGAUGGGUCUGAUUACCUUCCUGGAAUGGUAACCAUCUGUCCUCUUACUUGAUCACCAAUUCAUCAUACUCAUCACUGAAUUAUUGCUCAUGAUACAACUUCCUUGUGUAAUAAGAUGCAGAUUGGUCCUGCUUAUUCAUGUAAAAGAUGCAUAUUUUGAACAUUUUAACAUUGUUUACUAUCUUGCUUGAUUUUGAUCAUCAGGUGGGUCUGAAUAACAUCAAGGAAACUGAUUUUGUAAAUGUCACAAUUCAGUCGCUAAUGAGAGUUACACCCUUAAGGAAUUUCUUCCUCAUCCCUGAAAACUAUCAGCAUUGCAAGUCUCCUCUUGUUCAACGCUAUGGAGAACUCACUCGUAAAAUAUGGCAUGCUCGGAACUUUAAAGGACAGGUUUGAUCCUUUGAUUACUUCUCUGAAGUCAUGGUUUUCCAAUGUUUAAGUUUUGUUUCCUCAUUUUAUUUGCUCAUCUAUUCUCUUGGGACUUUUCAGGUGAGCCCACAUGAGUUUCUCCAGGCUGUAAUGAAAGCUAGUAAGAAACGGUUUCGCAUUGGUCAACAGUCUGAUCCAGUGGAAUUCAUGGCAUGGCUUCUUAAUACAUUGCACACAAAUCUUAGAACUUUAAAGAAAAAUAACAGUAUCAUUUAUGAGUGCUUUCAGGUGCUUUUUUACUUUUCCAAUGCUCUUCAGUUCGUUUCAAGUUUGCUGGUUGAUAUUAUUAUCUCAGUGGUGCUGGUCUAAUACUUCUUUUCCUGUUAGGGUGAGUUGGAGGUUGUGAAAGAGAUUCCUAACAAAGCUAUCACUGAGAAGAAAGAAAAUGGUAAUGACCAGAUUGAUGGUGGAGCUGGUCAUGAUAUUUUCACAGAAACGUCUAGAAUGCCAUUCUUGAUGCUUGGACUGGAUUUGCCACCACCUCCUCUGUUUAAAGAUGUGAUGGAGAAAAAUAUAAUACCUCAGGUAUUUAUGCAUUAUGUUUUAGCUAGGUUGGAAAUAUUAUUAUUAUGUCUGCUGUAUAGUGCCAAUAGGCUCUCUAUCUGAGCUAGAUGGUAUCAUCCUGCACUAUUGUUUGUGUUAUAGAGAUCCUAGUUAUACGCAUCAAAUCAUGUUUAAUUCUCAUUCCAAAUGAAAGGUUUCAAAAGACAUGCUUGGUUAGAUCCCUAGGAGCGAAUGUAGAUGUCACUGCUUUGGUAUAGAACAUUUAGUUGAUUCUUUUUGUCAGAUCUUUAAAUAAGUCAAAUUCUCAGCUUAAUAAGCUUAUGCCUCCAUUAUUCCUGGGCAAUCAAGGUUAAUUACUGACCAUGGAAGAUAGAACAUAGUCCAGUUUCUCUUCUUCUUCUUCUCUUUUUUCUCUCACUUCUUAUUCAUCUAUUGAGAGGAAGUGUUAAUUUUUGCAUCUGUUUCAACUCCUAGUUUAGUGCUUUUGUUGUUUGCCAUACAAGUCUAUAUUUUGCUCAAAUGGUUAAAUUAAAACCUUAUUGACCUGGAAUUUAGAUGAAAGCUGAAUCAACUUAAGUAUCCUAGUUUGGGUUUUCAGCUAUCAGUAUUUGCAUGUGAUGAUCAGAUGUGACCCAGAAACACUGGCUGUGUACUUUUGAGCUUAUUAUGUUGGGAUUUUUUUUCUCUACAAUAGGGUAGCGAGGUUUUGGCUUGAUCCAUGGGUGGAAAAUGAAGGCUUUCCUUGGGUAAAUUCUACUCAUUCCCUUUCUUGGUGGAUACUUAUUUUACAUGUGCUAUUGUUUCAGGUUCCUCUGUUCAAUAUACUGAAGAAAUUUGAUGGUGAGAGUGUGACUGAAGUUGUUCGUCCUCGUGUUGCCCGGAUGAAAUAUCGCGUCAUCAGAUUGCCACAGUAUUUAAUACUACAUAUGCAGCGGUUUAAAAAGAACAACUUUUUCAUCGAGAAGAAUCCCACCUUGGGUAAGGCUUGACACUAACAGUGGAUUUUACUUGGAACUUUGUUUGGUUUUGAGCUAUCCUGUGCUAAUUGUUUCUAUGAUUACAGUCAACUUUCCUGUGAAGAACUUGGAGUUGAAAGAUUUUAUUCCUUUGCCAAUGCCUAAAGAAAAUGAGAGAUUGCGCUCGAAGUAUGAUUUGAUUGCCGAUAUUGUCCAUGAUGGAAAGCCUAAUGAGGGUUUCUACAGGGUUUUUGUGCAGCGAAAGUCAGAAGAGCUAUGGUAAUUCAAUUUCUAAUCCACUUGUAUGGUUGUGAAUGAAACUUAUAAUUACAUAUCUGAUAAUCAAUGUUUUGCAGGUAUGAGAUGCAGGAUCUGCAUGUUUCUGAGACCCUUCCUCAAAUGGUUGCUCUCUCUGAGGCAUACCUGCAGAUAUAUGAGCAGCAGCAGUAGCACUGGAGUUUAGAAGUCCUAUUGUCAACAUGUUGUCAUACUGUUUUUGGGUACAAGUAACACAUGAGUCUUACCUUCUGUAAAUGGUUGAGGAAAAAUCAGAAUACGAUGGCACCAUUGCUUGACUGGCACUUAGCAGAUUUACUAAGCUUAGAAAAACAUUGAGGUUUUGUAGAAAAAAAGGCAGUACUUUGUCUGUUUCAUAUCAUUAAAAGGAUGAACAGUUUUGUUACUGAAAAACUAUCCAUCUAUUGUAGCAGAGCAGGAAACUUAAAUAAUUCGGUGAUGAUUGACUUGGGUGAUUCAGAUAGUGACUUAGGUUUGGUUGUCCUGCAUUGUGUACAACUUUGAUCUGUAGGGAUAAAAAAUGAUAUGCUAGGCUUUGGUUUGUUCAUUGUUACCUAGUUCUCAUGGCAGUAAUGUCACGAAAAGCAGUACUCGUAGGCUUCUCUUGUUUUAUUGUCGAUCACUUCAUUGCCUGGAUUUCUUUCUGCUAGUAUUUUUCUUACAGUGAUGUGGUGGAUAGUAUUCUGUUUCGAAUUGUUGUGAUUUUUUGAAGUGCAGCAGUUUUUACUUGAAAAAAGUGUUAAUGCACCCAUCCACGCACGCACGCAGAGACAGAGACAGCCUGAAUUGAAGGUAUGUAUGCCUCCUUUCAAGUACACACAGCCCUGCAUAAAUGGUAUAUGUGCCUGCUUUCAAAUAAAGUAGUCCAGCAGACGGGGAAGCCCUAGCAUUGAAUGGAGUGCUCAAUGAUGGAGAUUGCAAGCAAUGCCCUCGGUAGGGAAGUCACUGAAUGGAGGCCACAAUCAAACCAUCAAUCUACAACCCCACCUUGCGUAGAGUAGACUCCUCGGUCAGGUAUUAUAAUUAUAGUUAUGUGUGAACUGUAAAAUAGAAAGAAAUGACAAGUUGAUCUCUCUUGAGAGAAAAGGAAGAUGAAUUGCCUACGGUAGUGAAGAAUUCAUGCCUACUUAGUUGUGGAUUUUCAUGACUAAAUUACAGGGAUUGUCUAACAGAGUUAUUUAUCGAUCAAUAAGACAUGGUUAAGUCUAAGAAGAGGCUUGGGUUGAACAGAGUGCUCAGUCUGACAAAAAAAACCCAUAAUUGUUUAUAUAUUCAUUUAAUCACUCCCAAAUUUAGUUAGGAAAUUACAAAGAUUGAGACCCAAAACGCCUUUAAAUUAGGCUAAGAAGGAGAUCAUCAAGUUGGUUUUGUUUUUAUUAUUAUUAUUAUUUUGGAUUUUUUAGUUUGGUUAGAACUUUUAUUGCUUGGUAUUUUAUGAUUAGGACUUUUAGUUUCAUUUCCUGUUUACGUCAAUUUUUUAGAUUUAUUUAAAUAAUUAUAAAUAUAUUAAAAGAUACAAACUAUUGAAGACAAAAUAUGCAGUAAUAAAUUUUUAAAUUAAAAUUUUUAUGUCGUUAUUCUACAAAAUUUAACGGGUUUGUGUUUCAUGUUUAUUAUUUUAUUAUUAUUAUUAUUAUUAUUAUUAUCCCCCGCAUCACUUACUUCCAAAUGAUGGUGUGAUAGCUGAAGCCAAUCAGUGAUGAUCUAGUGGUGGAGGAAGCAAAUAUCACUUGCUUUUGUGUGGGGUCAAGAACAAGAUGCAUAUCCCCUCGCACGUCACUACACAUGUAAGCAAGUUGGCAUUAGUUGGUGUGAUAGAUUUUAAUGCUAUAAAAUAAAAGGAAGAAAAGAAAAAAAAAGGUACGGUCAUUCCAUAACAAGACCCCAACUUUAACCAAGUUCAUCAGAACUAAUGUUGGAUAGGAAAUAGAUCACUGCAACAUGACCAAAUUGAACAAACUAUAUAUAUGAUAAAGACUUUAACUUAAUUUAAUUUGAGUAAUGAAAUUAAGCCACAGUCGGGAUCGAUGAUCAUUGAUGGAAUCAACAUGGUAGAAAGGCCUAAGCUCUUCAAGGUUUGCUUCCUAACCAUUGAUCAAUCAAGUUUCCAAAAGCAACAUGCGAAGAUCCACCCUCCAUCACAGCUUUCUUCGCCAUUUCACUGGUUUCUUUGGCCUUGUUCCUAAGUUCACCACCUUGUUCCAUCAUGGUUUUCACAGCUUUUGUUAUCUCCUCCGCCUUCACAAAAUCUGUAGGACAAUCUCUCCUAAAAUCCAACGUCAAUUCCACUGCUAAUCCCAAGUCUUUCACCAGCUGAAAUGCAUUCAUGUGUUGCUCAGCAUAUAAUGGCCAAGUUAUAAUAGGCACAGCAUACCACAAGGCCUCCAAAGUUGAGUUCCAUCCACAGUGUGAUACGAAAGCGCCUACUGCUUUAUGUGCCAAGAUUUGUACUUGUGGUGCCCAUCCACAUAGCAUCCCAAUGUUUUUAGUUCUUUCCAAGAAUCCCUGUGGCAAGAUCUCUCCAUAGUUGUCAAAAAAACUAGCUUGCAGCUUCCCCUUGGAGGGUUUCAACCGAAUGGACCAUAAGAACCUAUGUCCAAUCCUCUCGAGCCCGAUUGCAAUUUCUUUCAACUGAGCUUCAUCAAAGCCUCCUCCACUCCCGAAGCACAAGAACACCACUGAUUUUUCAGGUUGAUCAUCAAGCCAUUUCAAGAUCUCGUCACGCUUGACGGCAUCAGAUCCUGACAGACUCUUUCCCUUGUGAUCAAUCAAUGGCCCAACAUUGAAAAUAGGUGGUAUAUCAUCUCUAGCCAAAAGAGCACUAACUGCAUGGGACUCAGCUUCUGAAAAUGUAUUAACAAUGAUACCGUUGGAGUCCUUAAACUCUCUUCCAUGGUUUGCCAAAGCCUCAUAUUCCACAUCGGUGUGCAAUACCGGCAUAACACGGUAAGGCACGGGAUUUGAAUAACAGGGGAUGAUAUAGUCAGGGUCAGUAGGGCUAAACUUAGGCUCACCCUUGUCUUCUCUAUCUGAAAGGUAAAGCGUCAUGGCAAGAAAGGCAGCAUCAGAAGUGAAAAAAACAUGAGAAGGGACACCAAGUUCUUUUGCAACAUCAAUAAAUACAGUGCAAAACAUAUCAACAACAACACUAGCAAUUGGUGCAGGGUUGUGGGCCAUGACUAGGUUAACAAUAGUAUCUUUCACAAGGGUUUUGUGAUCAUUGAUGUAAGAAGUAAAAGCACUUGCAGGGCUUACAGCUAAAGCUUCUGGAGGAGGUGUAGGUAUGGUAUCAGGAAUUUCGACGAACCUGAUUUCUGUAUGAAUUGAAGCAAGCGAUUCGGUGUUCUUGCUUAUGCCACCGUAAAAUGGAUUGUUGAUGGCAAGCAUGGUUAUCAAGAAACUGUCGUUUCUCUCAAGAACCAUCUUUGCUAACUGAACAGCUGCUACAAGGUGGCCAAAUCCAGGUGCAGGGACAAAGACUAGCUGUGUUUUCUUCAUUUUGGAGGUUUUGAAUGUUCAAUAUGGUGAUCCUUGUUUGCUUUAUAAGGGGCUCAAGGUCAAUGCCACAAUGCCAGCUGUUAUGAUUUUUUUUUUCUCUAAAUUAAUCAUCAAAUUGGAUAUGACAAUUAUUAUUACAAAGAUUGAUUUCAUAGAAAAAUUUUCCUGUAAUAUUUUUAAACAAUUCAAAUUAAAUAAAAGAAAAGAAAGCUAGGUUUCAUUUUAUUUUGAAGUUAUAUUUUUAAUAUAUAUAUAUAUAUAUAUAUAUAUAUAUAUAAACUAAACUAAACUAAAAAUAUUAUUUUAUUUUUAAUAAAUAAAAUUAAAUAAAUAUAUUUGUUUAACAACAUUCAUCUAUCCCAUAAGAUAUCAUUUAUCUUUAUUACAAAAAAUUAUAGAUGAUUUACUAGAAUGAUUUAAUUAAGUAUAACUUGAUUAAAAUAUAUAAUAGAAAUUAAGGAUUAGAAUAUAAUUAAUACAAGGAUUAUAUUUCUAUAUCUAGAAAAAUCAAGUAAGGAUUUAAUUGAUUAUAUUUUUAAAAUUACCCUUACAUAAUAUAUGGAUAUUUUUAAAAUUAUCUUUACAUAAUAUAUGGAUAUUAUUUAAAGGCAAAUAUAUAUAUAUAAUCAUUUAUACGGUUUUGAGAUUUUCUAUAAUUAUAAAGUUAAGCCUAUUAUUUUGUAAGUAAAAAAAUAAUGAUUGUCUAUUUUAUAAAAAAACUACGUAAAAACAAUAUUAGAGCUAGCACUCUAGGCAUAACAAUCUCUCUUUUCUAAAUAGAGAUUUAAGAGAUUUCUCACGGGUAGUUUGUAUGGAUUAUCAUUAGAGACCGAAUAAUUUAACGAUUUGUGGUUUGCGACAACCCAACUUUUAAAGAAUAAUUUAAAAUAAAUAAAUUAAAUAUUCAAAUAAUAAAUCUUUAAAUAAUUUUAAAUCUAAUCUACAUGAUAUAAGAACAACUUAAUAUAUUCAAUCAUGCGAAUUCUUUGUAGUUUUUAAUGUAUCAAAAUGGAUUUAAUAAUACCUUACUAUUAAAAAGAAGAAGAAGUCAACAACAAUGAUUGAUUGUGAUUGCAUUUAAUAGCUAGACAGUUACAUGGCUAGAAAGAAUCCAAAGAUAAUAUAUAAUAAAUGGCAAUUUCGUAGGAAUUGCUGAAGUGUUAAAUUGUGGAUGAAGUUUUUGAUGAAUUUUUAUUUUAUUCUAUUGUACUUUUCAUCAUUGGUAGUUAUUUAUGAAAAUAUUAUAUCACUAUUUAUAUCAAAAUUAUUGACGCAAAAAUUCUAUCACUGUUAUCUUCUAAAAUUAUUGAUGAAAAAUUUAUCAUUGACAUUUCUGAUUUUAUUUAUUAAUUUUCUGGUAAUAAUAAUAAUCUUAUGCUCAGAUUUAUAAUUUUAUAAUUUAAAAAAUAGAAUUGAUAUCUGAAACUUAAAAGAAGAUUAAACCUUUCAUUUUUUAAUUAUAUGAAGUAUUGAUAAUACAACUAAUCAAACAUAAACUAACAAUCAUUUAAACAAAAUUUAAGAAUUUAUGGUAGAAUUGCAUAAAUUAAUUUUAAAAAUUACUUUUUAUAAAUUUUUAUCAAGUAAUUCUACAAUCAAUUCCUAAAGCCUAACAAUCAUUUAAACAAAAUUUAAAAAUUGAGGAUAGAAUUACUUAAUUGGUAAAAAAUUAUGAAAAUAAGCGAACUUUGCUAAAAUCAUGUAUAUUCAUCCUUAUGAUUAAAUGACAUUUAAAUGUCUAAAGUAAAGAAUACCUUCAUCUAGCCAAAACAAAAUUCAGGGAUCUUCUACAAUGAAGACGCUAUCGUUUCAUGCACACAUCAUAUAUAAACGAGAAAUUCAAAUCAACAUAAUAUAUAUAUAUAUAUAUAUAUAUAUAUAUAUAUAUAUAUAUAUAUAUAUAUAUAUAUAUAUGUCCAACUAUUCUAAUGGCACUAAUUUUCAACUACUAAUGAAAAAAAAUAUUAAAAAGUAAUUUUUUAUAUUUUUUAAAUUAAUUUAGAUAUUAAUUAAAAUAAAGUAUACAAUAUUAAGAUUAUUCAAAAUGUUAGUCUCACUUCAUGCAUAAACUAAUAUGAGCUUAUCUUUUAAUGUAUCAUGAAUGAUUUUAUUUUAUUGGUGUGGGUUUUUUUUAUAUAAUUCUGGAUAUUUUAACUACUUUAUGUGUAACUCAAUUAAGUUUUUAAAAUUCUAAAUUUUACAACCAUGUAAUGUGUAUUGAUGGGGCAGGCAGGGAGGUGACUGUUUCUGGAGGGACGGGUGCUUGUAAAUUGGAUAGUGAGGGGUCGACAAGCCAUGGCCAUAAGCAAAAAGAUAAAGGACGAGGAGGGAGAAAAAAAAAUUGUGCAUAAUUUGUGGAGCACGGUGGGACAGGGAUAAUAAUUUAAUAUGAGACUUUUGAAUAUUAACCGAAAACCUACUUCUUUAUUGAAUAUUCAAAAAAAAUAAACCAAAAUGAUACAUUUAUUUAUAUAUAUAUAAUAAAAAAAAACACACACACGGAUAUAUCCAUAUAAAUACCAAACAUUACCGGAAUUAAUAAUUUUAGAGACAAUAUUUUUUUUUUGUUAGUAUUUAUACCAACAAUCCAUUGGUAUAAAAUUUAUCGAUAAAUUUAUAAAAAGAAUUCAUUUGCUAGUAAAAAAAAAACACCAAUGUUUUUACAAAUAAAAAGUUUGUAUAAAAGAAAUCACUUGUUUUAAUACUUUAAUGGAAUUAUUUUGUUAGUGAUUGAUAAUGGUAUUUAUUGUAAUUUUAUUUCAAUUCUUUAUAAAAUAUUAAUGGAAUUAUUUUCAUUCAUGAUGUAAUAAUAUUGAAGUGACAUAUAAAGUAAAUUGUUCCCCUUACCUUUGGAAUAUAUUGAGUUACUACGGGUUGUGUCCAUUGAUACAUCCGUCUGCAAGAGUUAAAAAAAUGCCCUUUUCUUUUAGUACAAUUAUGUUUUUUGUUAGUUUUUAUUUUUCACAUUCUAACCCUGGCGCCAUUAGAAAAAGAUAUGUCUCCACCACAAAACUAGGCAAAAAUAUGACGGGGUGCCUUUAAGUUUGUAUUUCAUGGCUAUGAUCUAAAUCUGGUUUGCCAAAAACUUCGUGAGCAAAGUAAAAUUGGCGUAACAACUGAAUUUAGGCCAAGUUUCAAAUUUUUGUUUACUUUUCUGAAAGUUUUGAUUUAUGGUUUCCAAUUUUCCAAGUCAAAUUUAUGGUUGAUACAAACUAAGCAAGGUAAUUUAAGAAGUUUUUUGCAAAACACGAGAAGGGACCCCAAGUUCUUUUGCAACAUCAAUAAAGGCAGUGCAAAACAUAUCAACAACAACACUAGCAAUUGGUGCAGGGUUGGGGGCGCCAUGACUAGGUUAACAAUAGUAUCUUUCACAAGGGUUUUGUGAUCAUUGAUGUAAGAAGUAAAAGCACUUGCAGGGCUUACAGCUAAAGCUUCUGGAGGAGGUGUAGGUAUGGUAUCAGGAAUUUCGACGAACCUGAUUUCUGUAUGAAUUGAAGCAAGCGAUUCGGUGUUCUUGCUUAUGCCACCGUAAAAUGGAUUGUUGAUGGCAAGCAUUGUUAUUGAAGAAACAAAGAGAAAGAAGAAUCUUAUUUUCAUAUCAAUUCUGUUAGAGCAGCAUAGGUAUGUAUACAAUGGAUACGAUGGAUUUCUGUUACAGCAGAGAAAGAUGACUAUUAAUUCUCCUACAUUCAUGGUCAUAUCAGAAUCUGUCUCUAUUUACUACUAUCCUAUCAAUUGUAUACAGAGCAAUAGCAAUAUUGCAGUAGGGAGCAAGUUCUGCAACUGGUGUUGGAGUUAAACUAAAACUCUGCAAUUUGUUUUGGAGCCGGACUCUGCAAUGUGAUCUAUAGUAGGACUUUGCAAUCGUGUUAGAGUGAGAAUCUGUUGCUUUCCUUCAUUACUCCCCCUCAAGCUGGAUUAAGGGGGUUGAUUGAGUCAGGUUUGGAUAAUAGACGAUAGAAGUGAGCUGAAGUUAGAACCUUUAUAAAUACAUCAGCUAGUUGAUGGUGACUGUGGAUGUAACAUGGUUUGAUAAUCUGCGAUAGAAUUUAUUGACGAAUAAAAUGAUAAUCAACUUUAAUGUGUUUAGUUUUUUGGUGAAAUACAUAAUUAGUUGUAAUAUGCAUAGCAACUUGAUUAUCACAAAACAUAGUCAAUGGAAUAUUGCUAGAAAAUUCCAGAUCUGACAGAAAACCUUUAAGCCAAAUUAAUUCACAAGCUGCGAACAUCAUCACAUGAUAUUCAGCUUUAGCACUAGAACGUGCACCAACAUGUUGCUUUUACUACGCUAGGCGACUGAAUUACCACCAAUAAACAUGCAAAAACCAGUGGUUUCUUAACAUAGCUAUGCAACAGAUAACACUCUGUGAGAUCAAAACGUUUUAGAAACAUGCAUGUGUAUUAUUAAAGCUCUAGUUUUUUCUAAAAGUCUCUGUUUUUACAUUCAGCUAUUUUAUUUUGUUGAGGUGUGCCAACAUAGUUGGAAUAGACCCUUGGAUGGUGGUUUCUGAAUGGAUCAUAAGAACUUUUGCGCACUCUAUUCGAGCCCAUUUGUUAUGUCUUUUAAUUGAGGUUCACCAAAGUAUGUGGUUUGCUAACUUAACUGCUGACACAAGAUGACAAUUUUUUGCUGCAGGAAUUAACACUAGCUGUGGUUUCUUCAUUCCAAUAAUAACUGUAGGAAAAAGGUGAAUGUUAAGUUUGUCGGUAUAAGAUCCAAUCUAGUUUGACAGGUUAAUUUGAUGAUUCAUUUAUUCAAAAUUUAGCUUGAUAGGUUAACUUGGUGACCAGGUCAACACAAUGAUUCACUGACUCUGAGCUUGGCUUGGCUGAGUUAGCAAAAAAACCAAGUAUAUUUUAUUUACCAAAACAACGAUGUUGUUUAAGUUUUUUUUUUAAAAAAAAAAGCUUGGGAUGAAUUGAAUCAAACCAUCAAUCUACAGCCCCACCUUGCGUAGAGUAGACUCCUCAGUCAAGUAUUAUAAUUAUGGUUAUGUGUGAACUAUAAAAUAGAAAGAAAUGACAAGUUGAUCUCUCUUUAGAAAAAAGGAAGAUGAAUUGCCUACGGUAGUGAAGAAUUCAUGUCUAACUUAUAUAGCUGGGUUAGUUGUGGAUUUUUCAUGACUAAACUACGUGGAUUGUCUAACAGAGUUAUUUAUUGAUCAACAAGACAUGGCUAAGUUCAAGAAGAGGCUUGGGCUAAGUACAGUGCUCGGUUUGACAAAAAAAAUCCCAUAAUUCUUCAUAUAUUCUUUUAAUCACUCACAAAUUUAGUUAGGAAAUUCCAAAGAUUGAGACCCAAAAAUUCUUUAAAUUAGGCUUAGAAGGAGCUCAUCAAGUUAGAUUUGUUAUUUUUUAUUAUUAUUUUAAACUUUUUAGUUUGGUUAGAACUUUUAUUGCUUGGUAUUUUAUGAUUAGGACUUUUAGUUUCAUUUCUUGUUUACGUCAAUUUUUUAUAUUUAUUUAAAUAAUUAUAAAUAUAUUAAAAGAUACAAACUAUUGAAGAGAAAAUAUGCAGUAAUAAAUUUUUAAAUUAAAAUUUUUAUGUCGGUAUUCUACAAAAUUUAACGGGUUUGUGUUUCAUGUUUUUUUUUUUAUUAUUAUUAUUAUCCCCCGCAUCACUUACUUCCAAAUGAUGGUGUGAUAGCUGAAGCCAAUCAGUGAUGAUCUACUGGUGGAGGAAGCAAAUAUCACUUGCUUUUGUGUGGGGUGAAGAACAAGAUGCAUACCCCCUCGCACGUCACUACACAUGUAAGCAAGUUGGCAUUUGUUGGUGUGAUAGAUUUUAAUGCUAUAAAACAAAAGGAAGAAAAGAAAAGAAAAGGUGCGGUCAUUCCAUAAGGCCUCAACGUUAAUUAACUUCAUCAGAACUAAUUAAUGUUGGAUAGGAAAUAGAUCACUACAACAUGACCAAAUCAAACAAACUAUAUAUAUAUAUGAUAAUGACUUUAACUUAAUUUAAUUUGAGGAAUGAAAUUAAGCCACAGUAGGAAUUGAUGAUCAUUGAUGGAAUCAACAUGGUAGAUAAGGCUUAAGCUCUUCGAGGUUUGCUUCCUAACCAUUGAUCAAUCAAGUUUCCAAAAGCAACAUACGAAGAUCCACCCUCCAUCACAGCUUUCUUCGCCAUUUCACUGGUUUCUUUGGCCUUGUUCCUAAGUUCACCACCAUGUUCCAUCACGGUUUUCACAGCUUUUGUUAUCACCUCCGCCUUCACAAAAUCUGUAGGACAAUCUCUCCUAAAAUCCAACGUCAAUUCCACUGCUAAUCCCAAGUCUUUCACCAGCUGAAAUGCAUUCAUGUGUUGCUCAGCAUGCAAUGGCCAAGUUAUAAUAGGCACAGCAUACCACAAGGUCUCCAAAGUUGAGUUCCAUCCACAGUGUGAUACGAAAGCGCCUACUGCUUUAUGUGCCAAGAUUUCUACUUGUGGUGCCCAUCCACAUAGCAUCCCAAUAUUUUUAGUUCUUUCCAAGAAUCCCUGUGGCAAGAUCUCUCCAUAGUUGUCAAAAAAACUAGCUUGCAGCUUCCCCUUGGAGGGUUUCAACCGAAUUGACCAUAAGAACCUCUGUCCACUCCUCUCGAGCCCGAUUGCAAUUUCUUUCAACUGAGCUUCAUCAAAGCAUCCUCUACUCCCGAAGCACAAGAACACCACUGAUUUUUCAGGUUGAUCAUCAAGCCAUUUCAAGAUCUCGUCACGCUUGACGGCAUCGGAUCCUGACAGACUCUUUCCCCUGUGAUCAAUCAAUGGCCCAACAUUGAAAAUAGGUGGUAUAUCAUCUCUAGCCAAAAGAGCACUAACUGCAUGGGACUCAGCUUCUGAAAAUGUAUUAACAAUGAUACCGUUCGACUCCUUAAACUUUCUUCCAUGGUUUGCAAUAGCCUCAUAUGCCACAUCGGUGUGCAAUAACGGCAUAACACGGUAAGGCACGGGAUUUGAAUAACAGGGGAUGAUAUAGUCAGGGUCAGUAGGGCUAAACUUAGGCUCACCCUUGUCUUCUCUAUCUGAAAGGUAAAGCGUCAAGGCAAGAAAGGCAGCAUCACAAGUGUAAAAAACAUGAGAAGGGACCCCAAGUUCUUUGGAAACAUCAAUAAAUGCAGUGCAAAACAUAUCAACAACAACACUAGCAAUUGGUGCAGGGUUGUGGGCCAUGACUAGGUUAACAAUAGUAUCUUUCACAAGGGUUUUGUGAUCAUUGAUGUAAGAAGUAAAAGCACUUGCAGGGCUUACAGCUAAAGCAUCUGGAGGAGGUGCAGGUAUGGUCUCAGGAAUUUCGAUGAACCUGAUUUCUGUAUAAAUUGAAGCAAGCGAUUUGAUUUUCUUGCUUAUGCCACCGUCAAAUGGAUUGUUGAUGGCAAGCAUGGUUAUCAAGAAACUGUCGUUUCUCUCAAGAACCGUCUUUGCUAACUGAACAGCUGGUACAAGGUGGCCAAAUCCAGGUGCAGGGACAAAGACUAGCUGUGUUUUCUUCAUUUUGGAGGUUUUGAAUGUUCAAUAUGGUGAUCCUUGUUUGCCUUAUAAUGGGCUCAAGGUCAACGCCACAAUGCCAGCUGUUAUGAUUAUUUUUUUUCUAAAUUAAUCAUCAAAUUGGAUGACAAUUAUUACAAAGAUUGAUUUCAUAGAAAACUUUUCUUGUAAUAUUUUUAAACAAUUCAAAUUAAAUAAAACAAAUUAUAAAUAUAAAAGAAAAGAAAGCUAGGGUUUCAUUAAUCAUUUUAUUUUGAAGUUAUAUUUUUAAUCUAUAUAUAUAUAUAUAUAUAUAUAUAUAUAUAUAUAUAAACUAAACUAAAAAUAUUAUUUUAUUUUUAAUAAAUAAAAUUAAAUAAAUAUAUUUUUUAACAACAUUCAUCUAUCCCGUAAGAUAUUAUUUAUCUUUAUUAAAAAAACAUUGUAGAUGAUUUAUUAGGAUAAUUUAAUUAAGUAUGACUUGAUUAAUAUAUAUUUUAGAAAUUAAAAAUUAAAAUAUAAUUAAUAUAAGAAUUAUAUUUGUAAACCUAAAAAAAUCAAGUAGGGACUUAAUUGAUUAAAUUUUUAAAAUUACCCUUAAAUAAUAAAUGGAUAUUAUUUGAGGGCAAAUAUAUAUAUUUUAUCAUUUAAACGGUUUUAGGAUUUUAUUAUCAAUAUAUAUAGCUAAGCCUAUUAUUUUGUAAGUAAAAAAUGAUGGUUGUCUAUUAGAUAGAAAAACUAUGUAAACACAAUAUUAGAGCUAGUACUCUAAGCAUAACAAUCUCUCUUUUCUAAAUAGUGAUUUAAGAGUUUUCUCACAAGUAGUUUGUAUGAAUUAUCAUUAAAAAUCAAAUAAUUAAAUGAUUUUUAGUUUGUGACAACCCAACUUUUAAAGAAUAAUUUAAAAUAAAAAAAUUAAAUAUUCAAAUAAUAAAUCUCUAAAUAAUUUUAAAUCUAAUCUAACAUGAUAUAAGAAAUAAUAUCCCGGUAGUGUGAGUUUGUGUGUAUUGACAACUUAAUAUAUUCAAUCAUGCGAAUUCUUUGUAGGUGUUAUGGUUUCAAAUUGAGGAAGGACGUAGUUUUUAAUUAAUGUAUCAAAAUUGAUUUAAUAAUACCUUACUAUUAAAAAGAAGAAGAAGUCAACAACAAUGAUUGAUUGUGACUGCAUUUAAUAGCUAGAUAGUUACAUGGCUAGAAAGGAUCCAAAGAUAAUAUAUACAUGAUGAUAUUCUGUUUAAAUUUAUUAAAUGGCAAUUUCGUAGGAAUUGCUGAAGUGUUAAAUUGUGGAUGAAGUUUAAUUUGAUGAAUUUUUAUUUUUAUUUUUAUUUUAUUCUAUUGUACUUUUCAUCAUUGGUAGUUAUUUAUGAAAAAUAUUAUAUCACUAUUUAUAUCAAAAUUAUUCACACAAAAAUUCUAUCACUAUUAUCUUCUAAAAUUAUUGAUGAAAAAUUUCUCAUUGGCAUUUCUGAUUUUAUUUAUUAAUUUUCUGGUAAUAAUAAUAAUCUUAUGCUUAGGUUUAUAAUCCUAUAAUUUAAAAAAUAGUAUCGAUACCUGAAACUUAAAAGAAUAUUAAACCUUCCAUUUUUAAUUUAUAUGAAAUAUUGAUAAUACAACUAAUCAAACAUAAACUAACAAUCAUUUAAACAAAAUUUAAGAAUUGAUUGUAGAAUUACAUAAAUUAAUUUUAAAAUUUUUAAAAAUUACAUUUUAUAAAUUUUUACCAAGUAAUUCUACCAUCAAUUCCUAAACCUAACAAUCAUUUAAACAAAUUUUAAGAAAUGAUGAUAGAAUUACUUGGUAAACUUUUAUGAAAAUAAGCAAACUUUCUUAAUAAUCAUAUAUAUUCAUCCUUCUGAUUAAAUGACACUUAAAUGUUUAAAGUAAAAAAUACCUACAUUUAACAAAACAAGAUUCAAGGUUCUUUUACAAUGAAGACGCUAUCGUUUCAUACACAUAUUAUAAACGAGAAAUCCAAACCAACAAGAUCAAAAAAUAAAAUAUAUACAUAAACUUUCGAGUCAAAAUAUUAUAUUUUUAAAAGAGAGAAUACAAACAAUGUUAGUCCAUUUAAAGCUAUCACAUGCCCAACUAUUCUAAUGGCUCUAAAUUUCAACUCUAAUGAAAAACAAAAUAUUAAAAAAUAAUUUUUUAUAUAUUUUAAAUAAAUUUAGGUAGUAAUUAAAAUAAAGUAUACAAUAUUAAGAUUAUUCAAAAUGUUAAUCUCACAUCAUGCAUAAACUAAUAUGAGCUUAUCUUUUAAUGUAUCAUGAAUGAUUUUAUUGGUGUGGUUUUUUUUUUCCUUACAUUACAUGUAUCUCAAUUAAUUUUUUAAAAUUCUAAAUUUUACAACCAUGUAAUGUAUUGAUAGGGCAGGCAGUGAGGUGACUGUUUCUAGAGGGACGGGUGCUUGUAAAUUGGAUAGUGGCCAUAAGCAAAAAAUAAAGGACGAGGAGAGAGAGAAAAAAGUUGUGCAUAAUUUGUGUAACAUGUGAUGGUGGGACAGGGAUAAUAAUCAUAUAUAUAUAUAUAUAUAUAUAUAUAUAUAUAUAUAUAUGCGUAUGUGUAUUUUUAAAAAAAUAUCAUAUUAUUUUUUUAAAUAUAUUCAAUAAAUAAGUAGGCUUCGGUUAAUAUUCAAAAGUCUCAUGUUAAAUUAUUAUCCCUGUCCCACCAUUUUACACAAAUUAUGCACAACUUUUUUUCUUUCUCCUCGUCCUUUAUCUUUUUGCUUAUUGCCGUGGCUUGUCGAUCCCUCACUGUCCAAUUUACACGCACCCGUCUCUUUUAAAACAGUUCUUUUAAAUUUUAAUGGCAAUAGGUAAAUGAUUAGAUUUUAGAUUUAUUUUCUAAAAUUAUUUAUUUAGUUUUUAUAAAUUUUAGAAUGAUUGAAGGUUUAUAUGGUCGUUAAUUUCAGAGUUUCUAGAAUUAAUCAAGAUAGACACAAACUGACUCACACAUCAAUAUUAAUAAUAAUAAAAAAUGGUAUUAGGUGGUGUGAUAGAUUUUAAUGCUAUAAAACAAAAGGAAGAAAAGAAAGAAAAAGGUACGGUCAUUCCAUAAUAAGGCCCCAACUUUAAUUAACUUCAUCAGAACUAAUGUUGGAUAGGAAAUACAUCACUUCAACAUGACCAAAUCAAACAAACUAUAUAUAUGAUAAAGACUAUAACUUAAUUUGAGGAAUGGAAUUAAGCCACAGUAGGAAUUGAUGAUCAUUGAUGGAAUCAACAUGGUAGAAAGGCCUAAGCUCUUCAUGGUUUGCUUCCUAACCACUGAUCAAUCAAGUUUCCUAAAGCAACAUACGAAGAUCCACCCUCCAUCACAGCUUUCUUCGCCAUUUCACUGGUUUCUUUGGCCUUGUUCCUAAGUUCACCACCUUGUUCCAUCAUGGUUUUCACAGCUUUUGUUAUCACCUCCGCCUUCACAAAAUCUGUAGGGCAAUCUCCCCUAAAAUCCAACGUCAAUUCCACUGCUAAUCCCAAGUCUUUCACCAGCUGAAAUGCAUUCGUGUGUUGCUCAGCAUAUAAUGGCCAAGUUAUAAUAGGCACAGCAUACCACAAGGCCUCCAAAGUUGAGUUCCAUCCACAGUGUGAUACGAAAGCGCCUACUGCUUUAUGUGCCAAGAUUUCUACUUGUGGUGCCCAUCCACAUAGCAUCCCAAUAUUUUUAGUUCUUUCCAAGAAUCCCUGUGGCAAGAUCUCUCCAUAGUUGUCAAAAAUACUAGCUUGCAGCUUCCCCUUGGAGGGUUUCAACCGAACGGACCAUAAGAACCUCUGUCCACUCCUCUCGAGCCCGAUUGCAAUUUCUUUCAACUGAGCUUCAUCAAAGCAUCCUCUACUCCCGAAGCACAAGAACACCACUGAUUUUUCAGGUUGAUCAUCAAGCCAUUUCAAGAUCUCGUCACGCUUGACGGCAUCGGAUCCUGACAGACUCUUUCCCUUGUGAUGAAUGAUCAAUGGCCCAACAUUGAAAAUAGGUGGUAUAUCAUCUCUAGCCAAAAGAGCACUAACGGCAUGGGACUCAGCUUCUGAAAAUGUAUUAACAAUGAUACCGUUGGACUCCUUAAACUGUCUUCCAUGGUUUGCAAAAGCCUCGUAUUCCACAUCGGUGUGCAAUAACGGCAUAACACGGUAAGGCACGGGAUUUGAAUAACAGGGGAUGAUAUAGUCAGGGUCAGUAGGGCUAAACUUAGGCUCACCCUUGUCUUCUCUAUCUGAAAGGUAAAGCAUCGUGGCAAGAAAGGCAGCAUUAGAAGUGUAAAAAACAUGAGAAGGGACCCCAAGUUCUUUGGCAACAUCAAUAAAGGCAGUGCAAAACAUAUCAACAACAACACUAGCAAUUGGUGCAGGGUUGUGGGUCAUGACUAGGUUAACAAUAGUAUCUUUUACAAGGGUUUUGUGAUCAUUGAUGUAAGAAGUAUAAGCACUUGCAGGGCCUACAGCUAAAGCUUCUGGAGGAGGUGCAGGUAUGGUCUCAGGAAUUUCAAUGAACCUGAUUUCUGUAUGAAUUGAAGCAAGCGAUUCGGUGUUCUUGCUUAUGCCACCGUCAAAUGGAUUGUGGAUGGCAAGCAUGGUUAUCAAGAAACUGUCGUUUCUCUCAAGAACCAUCUUUGCUAACUGAACAGCUGGUACAAGGUGGCCAAAUCCAGGUGCAGGGACAAAGACUAGCUGUGUUUUCUUCAUUUUGGAGGUAUUGAAAUUUGAAUGUUCAACACUGUGAUCCUUGUUUGCCUUAUAAUGGGCUCAAGGUCAAUGCCACAAUGCCAGCUGUUAUGAUUUUGUUUUUCUAAAUUAAUCAUCAAAUGGGAUAUGACAAUUAUUACAAAGAUUGAUUUCAUAGAAAAAUUUUCUUGUAAUAUUUUUAAACAAUUCAAAUUAAAUAAAAAAAUAUAUAAAUAUAAAAGAAAAGAAAGCUAGGUUUCAUUAAUCAUUUUAAAUUAUAUGAAAUAUUGAUAAUACAACUAAUCAAACAUAAACUAACAAUCAUUUAAACAAAAUUUAAGAAUUGAUGGUAGAAUAUCAUAAAGUAAUUUUUAUAAAUUUUACCAAGUAAUUCUACCAUCAAUUCCUAAAACCUAACAAUCAUUUAAACAAAAUUUAAGAAUUGAUGGUAGAAUUGCAUAAAUUAAUUAUAAAAAUAUAAAAAUUAAUUUUUAUAAAUUUUACCAAUAAUUCUAUCAUCAAUUCCUAAAACCUAACAAAAUUUAAGAAUUGAUGAUAGAAUUACUUGGUAAAAAUUUAUGAAAAUAAGCAAACUUUCGUAAUAAUCAUAUAUACUCAUCCUUCUUAUUAAAUGACAUUUAAAUGUCUAAAGUAAAGACAAAACAAAAUUCAGGGUUCUUCUACAAUGAAGGUUAGUAUAUGAAAUGAGAGGGUUAGGUUGGGACAAAGAGAAGAGGGUUAGAUGGAAAGGUUAGGUAGGGAGAUAAGAUGGUUUGAUUGGGACAAGGAGAAGAAGGUUUGGUUAGGCCAUCACCAACUCAUCUCUGUUCAUAUUUUCAUCUCGGUCGUAGCAACACUGUGCUGAAACUAUCUUGUGAAUUUGUUGUCUUUGAACGUCAUUCAAUGCACAAAAGCUCCAAAAUCUACCAUCAAGACAAGUCAUUAACAACGCCAAAAUUAGUGUCUACACAAAUUUGGUCUCCCACACACACAGGCUAUAUAUAAAAACUAGAUUGGUGUUCCGUAAUACGUAGCGGAUAAUCUUAUUUUUUUAUAGCAUAAAAGAUACUAAGAUGAUAUAUGUAUUUUUCUUAAAAAAAUUAAUAUUCAGGUCAUUAACUUAAAUAACUUUAAUAAACUCGGUUAAUUUAAUAAUAUGAUUAGAAAAUAAAAUUAUCGUUUUCGUAGUUUUUAUAUCUAACAGACAAUCAUCCUUUUUGCUUACAAAAUAACAGGCUUAGCUUUAUAUUUAUAGAGAAUCCUAAAAAUCCUAUAAAUGACAAAAUAUAUAUUUUCUCCUUAAAUAAUAUCUAUAUAUUAUUUAAGGAUAAUUUUAUAAAUUUAAUCAAUCAAGUCCUUACUUGAUUUUUUUAAUUCUAAAAAUAUAAUCCUUAUAUUCAUUAUAUUCUAGUUCUUAAUUUCUAAAAUAUAGUUUAAUCAAGUCAUACUUAAUUAAAUAUCCUAGUUUAAUUUAUAAUUAAUCAUUCUUAAUGUGUGUGACUUAUUAAUUAGGUUCAUAAUAUGUUGGCCCAAAUAUAAAUUAUGAUUCUAAUUAAAUAGAAUUAAAUAAUUUAAUUUAUUAUUAAUUUAACAAUUGAUUAAUUUAUAUUUAAAGAUCAGAUGCAUUGUCUAGUAACGUGUCAUGAUCCCCCUAAAUAUUAGAAAAGUAAUUAGUGGUUUGACUUAACCUUUCAGUGCCCUUUUUUCCAGUGUAAUUAAUAUCCUUUCAUCAAUAAUAUUUCGAUUUAACAUUAAAACAUGAAGUAUGUCUGUCAUGUUAAAUCAUGUUUAUUUUUUACAUAAUAGUCAUUGAUCGUUUAAAUAAGAUUUGAAACUCUUUUCAAAUCUCAUUUCACCUUGGCUAAUGAUUUCUCAGUCAAUACUAUUUGAGAAUAGAUGAAAUAUUUUCUCUAAUUUACCAAGGGUAAUGAAUUCACUUUUGAUCACUCAAGUACCUUUAUAUAAUUCAUAUUAUACUCAAUAUCUUCCCUUUCGUUACCUCGAUUAAGAUAAGAUGUAACAAGAUUAAAGUAUAACAUUCUCUAUAUAAAAUGAUUUAAUGAUCUUAAGUCUAAGGAUCACUUACACAACCGUCACGUGAGCCUUUUUAUAGACAUAUGUAAUCUCUCCAUAUGAAAUUCGCAUGCAGAUCAGUUAAGUAUACAUAUCUUAUGACAAGCACCUACAUAUUACUAGGUAUCCCUUAUACCUUAACUUAUGAAAACAGUUGUUUCCUUUCAUGAAAAAAAGAACAUAAUAUGUAUCAAUCUUUACGACUCUAAUGAAUAUCCAGUAUUUAAGAAAGCAUCAACCCAUAUUAUUUUAAAAACAAUGUUUAGAUGCAAUAGAAAUCUCAUAAUUUCAACAACUUUAUAAUUUUAUUUGCAAAGUAUUUAUAUCUAAUGAACUUUAUCUUUACUCUCGAUUUAUUAAUAUGAUAUUAUAUAGAUAUUUAAAAUAAAUUAUUUUUUUAUUAAUAAUAAAUAAGUAUUUACAUGAAUAUAAUAAUAUCACGUGUAACCAACUAAUUGAUUACAAGAUAUAUUAAACUAACACAAUGAUACAUGAACUAUUAUGUGUUUGGAUUAUAAUUUUUUUAUCAAUCACUUAUUACUAAAAUACUAAAACUUGACUGUUGAAUCAAUUUAAAAAACAACUAAAAUAAUUAUCUUAACCUUGUAAAUUAUAUUGUUAAUAUGAAAAACUAUAUUACAACUUAAAACAAAAUAAAAAAAGUAGAGUUUUAGUUUUUCUAUUUGAAAAUUUCAAAUCUUAAAACAUUGGUGAUGAACGAAUUCACGAUUGAUGGUGGCUUUUUUGAAACGUAACAGAAAGAUUUCUAAUUCAAAUACUACCGCAGGUGACAAUUAAACCAUAAUAGUUCAGGGAUAUUUAUACCUUAUAGCCUGAAUUAAAGGUAUAUAUAUCUAACCAUCUAGGUAGUGACCUAGUUAUAAGAGCUUGGAAUCAAGAGGUUUGCUCCCUCUGUGGUCUCAAGUUCGAGCCCUGUGGUUGCUCAUAUGAUAGCUACUGGAGGCUUACAUGGUCGUUAACUUCAGGGCCCGUGGGAUUAGUCGAGGUACGCGCAAGCUAGCCGGAUACCCUCGUUAAACUAUAUAUAUAUAUAUAUAUAUAUAUAUAUAUAUAAAAAGGUAUAUAUACCUUCUUUCAAAUAUAAGAAAAUCAAGGUGUCAUCUUCCAGAGAUCAUGUAGUCCAGCAAACGGGGAAGCCGUAGCAUGGAAUGGAGUGACCAGUGAUCGAGAUUGCGAGAAAUACCCUCGGAAGGGAAGGCACUGAAUUCAUGGAAGCCACCAGCUAGCAAGGGAAAAGACUAGCCAAGUUUUUGUCACGACGGAGACAGGAAAGAUGCCCACUUGAUUUGAUCGAUAGCCACUUCCGGCCUAAAGGUAUCGAGACUUGAGCCCCUAGUUUUUGACCUCUCUUCUGAUUUCUUUCACUCUUUUUCGUCAAUAAAGAUAAAUAUAUCAUUCCUUUUUUGGGUUGAAUAUAAUUUUUAAUUUAGUUUAUAUAUAAUUUUUUUAUAUUUAGAUUAAAAAUACAAUUUUAGAAUAAAGUGAUUAAUUAAACUAGCUUUUUCCUCUCUUGUAUUUAUAUUUCUCUUUGUUGUUUAAUUUAGAUUAUUUAACAAAUGUUACAUAAAAGUUUUUCUAUGAAAUCAAUCUAAUAGUUGUCAUAUCCAAUUUGAUGAUCAAUUUAGGAGAAAAAAAACCAUAACAGCUGGCAUUGUGGCAUUGACCUUGAGCCAUUAUAAGGCAAACAAGGAUCACCAUAUUGAACAUUCAAAACCUCCAAAAUGAAGAAAACACAGCUAGUCUUUGUCCCUGCACUUGGAUUUGGCCACCUUGUAUCAGCUGUUCAGUUAGCAAAGAUGGUUCUUGAGAGAAAUGACAGUUUCUUGAUAACCAUGCUUGCCAUCCACAAUCCAUUUUCCGGUAGCAUAAGCAAGAACACCAAAUCGCUUGCUUCAAUUCAUACAGAAAUCAGGUUCGUCGAAAUUCCUGAUACCAUACCUGCACCUCCUCCAGAAGCUUUAGCUGUAGGCCCUGCAAGUGCUUAUACUUCUUACAUCAAUGAUCACAAAACCCUUGUAAAAGAUACUAUUGUUAACCUAGUCAUGGCCCAAAACCCUGCACCAAUUGCUAGUGUUGUUGUUGAUAUGUUUUGCACUGCCUUUAUUGAUGUUGCCAAAGAACUUGGGGUCCCUUCUCAUGUUUUUUACACUUCUGAUGCUGCCUUUCUUGCCACGAUGCUUUACCUUUCAGAUAGAGAAGACAAGGGUGAGCCUAAGUUUAGCCCUACUGACCCUGACUACAUCAUCCCCUGUUAUUCAAAUCCCGUGCCUUACCGUGUUAUGCCGUUAUUGCACACCGAUGUGGAUUAUGAGGCUUUUGCAAACCAUGGAAGAAAGUUUAAGGACUCAAACGGUAUCAUUGUUAAUACAUUUUCAGAAGCUGAGUCUCAUGCAGUUAGUGCUCUUUUGGCUAGAGAUGAUAUACCACCUAUUUUCAAUGUUGGGCCAUUGAUUGAUCACAAGGGAAAGAGUCUGUCAGGAUCCGAUGCCGUCAAGCGUGACGAGAUCUUGAAAUGGCUUGAUGAUCAACCUGAAAAAUCAGUGGUGUUCUUGUGCUUCGGGAGUGGAGGAGGCUUUGAUGAAGCUCAGUUGAAAGAAAUUGCAAUCGGGCUCGAGAGGAGUGGACAUAGGUUCUUAUGGUCCGUUCGGUUGAAACCCUCCAAGGGGAAGCUGCAAGCUAGUUUUUUUGACAACUAUGGAGAGAUCUUGCCACAGGGAUUCUUGGAAAGAACUAAAAAUAUUGGGAUGCUAUGUGGAUGGGCACCACAAGUAGAAAUCUUGGCACAUAAAGCAGUAGGCGCUUUCGUAUCACACUGUGGAUGGAACUCAACUUUGGAGGCCUUGUGGUAUGCUGUGCCUAUUAUAACUUGGCCAUUAUAUGGUGAGCAACACAUGAAUGCAUUUCAGUUGGUGAAAGACUUGGGAUUAGCAGUGGAAUUGACGUUGGAUUUUAGGAGAGAUUGUCCUACAGAUUUUGUGAAGGCGGAGGUGAUAACAAAAGCUGUGAAAACCAUGAUGGAACAAGGUGGUGAACUUAGGAACAAGGCCAAAGAAACCAGUGAAAUGGCGAAGAAAGCUGUGAUGGAGGGUGGAUCUUCGUAUGUUGCUUUUGGAAACUUGAUUGAUCAAUGGUUAGGAUGCAAACCUUGAAGAGCUCAAGCCUUAUCUACCAUGUUGAUUCCAUCAAUGAUCAUCAAUUCCUACUGUGGCUUAAUUCCAUUCCUCAAAUUAAAUUAAGUUAUAGUCUUUAUCAUAUAUAUAGUUUGUUUGAUUUGGUCAUGUUGUAGUGAUGUAUUUCCCAUCCAACAUUAGUUCUGAUGAACUUAGUUAAAGUUUUUUUUUUUUUUUUGUUGAAAACUUGGUUAAAGUUGAGGCCUUAUGGAAUGACCGUACCUUUUUCUUUUCUUUUCUUUUAUAUAUAUAUAUAUAUCCUUGGAAGCAUGAAAGAAAACUUUUAAAUUUACCCGUUUGGGAUUGCCAUCUAAAUAAAGAUUAGUCAAAAUUAUUAUUUUUUUUAAUUAUUUUGAUGAGUUAAUAUUAAAAAUAAAAUAAAAAUAUAUAUAUUAUUCUAAUAAAGAUUAGUCAAAUAAAAAAUAGUUCUUGAUGGACAAUUAAAAAUUGCUGGAACAAAUCAAGGGACCCAACACUAGCAUUAAAAUCUAUCACACCAACUAAUGCCAACUUGCUUAAAUGUGUAGUGACGUGCAAAUUAGAAAUAGUUCUGAUUGAUGGUUUGAUUCAAUUCAUCCCUAGCUUUUUUUAAAAUAAAAAAACUUAAACUUCGUUGUUUUGGUAAAAAUAUAAUUGGUUUUUUCACUAACUUGACCAAGCAAAGCUCAGUGGGUUAUUGUGUUGAUUUGAUCACCAAAUUAACCUAUCAAGUCAAACUUUGAAUAAAUAAAUCGUUAAAUUAACCUCUCGGACUGGAUUGUAUCUUAUACCAAUAAACUUCACAUUCACCUUUUCCUACAGCUACAGGUAUUACUAGAAUGAAUAAACCACAGCUGGUGUUAAUUCCUGCUGCAACCUUGUGUCAGCAAUUGAGUUAGCAAACCACAUGCUUUGAUGAGCCUCAAUUGAAAGACAUCAAACGGGCUCAAGCAGAGUGCACACAAGUUCUUAUGAUACAUUCAGAAACCACCAUCCAAGGGUCAGUUCCUGUUUGGAGAUCACGUCAGAAGGAUUCCUCAGAAGGACUAAAAAUGUUAGCGUGAUAUGCGAUUGGACACCGCAAGUGCAGGUCUUGGCAUACAAAGCAAUAGCUACAUUUGUAUCGCAUUGUGGAUGGUACUCAAUCUUGGAAAGCUUAUGGUAUGGUGUGCCUAUUAUAACUUCGGCCAUUGUAUGAUAAGCAAUAAAUUAAUGCAUUUAAAUUGGUCAAGUUUUUGGGAUUAGCUAUUGAGUUGAGUUGAAAAUGGAUUAUAAAUUGGGUGAUGGUGUUAUAAAAUUCACAGUCAUUAGAAAUAUGGUUUUUAGCAAUUGAAUUAUAAGUUAAUUACAAAUUCUAGCAAGAUAAUUUAUUAUCUAUGGUUUAUCAAACUUGCUUGCAAAGCAGUUGAGAUUUAGGGAACUAAAAAUGAUAAAGUAAGUAAUCUUUAAAUAAAUGAUCAUCAUAGAUGAGUGAAAGAGCAUUUAUUUUUAAAAACAAUAGUGUUUAUUUUUAGUUUUGAUGUAAUGAAUGCUUUGAAAUUAAGAAAAUAUUUUUGUAGAGAAUAAAGACUAGAACUUUGUACCUGAAUGAUUCAUAAGGCAUUUAUAAAUCUCGAACCUUGUCAUUUUUACUAGAGUAUAGCGACUAGAGAGUAAUUUUCUCCUAACAAUAUUAAUAGGGGAUAAAUAACAUUUACACACAUUAAUAAAUGAUAAAAUAUCCCUUAGCCAAUAUUAAUGGUGAAGGAAAUAUGGUAGACCCUUAGAAGACUUUUAUACAUCUAGAGAUGUAGAUAGAUGAAUAUCAUUGACAUUAAUAUUUUAUGUUAAAAAUCAUAAGAAUAAAUAAACAAUUAAAGUCUUAUGGCCCAACAUAGGACCUAUAAUGAUCGCCAGACUCAUAUUUACUUAAGCUCUCCACGUAGCUAAGUCCACUGGCAUUGGGCCUGACAACUUGCCAGAUCCAUGUCCGUUUGGGCUUAACGCGUAACUGAACUCAAUGUAUUGAAUCUGACAGCUUGUCAGACUCAUGUUUGCUUGGACUUAAUAUAUAGCUGAAUCUAAGGAUAUUAAGUCUGGUAGCUCGCCAGACUUAUAUCUCUUUGGGCUCAGCACGUAGCCUAACCCAAGGAUAUUGAGUCUAACAUCUCGUCAGAUCCGUGUCUAUUUAGGCUAAUCGCUUAACUGAACUCAAUAAUAUUAGAUCUGGUGGCUUGCUAGACUCAUGCACAUUGAAACUCUACUCUUAACUACAUCGAAAGGCAUUGGGUCUAGAACAGAGAUGUUAUUUUAACCCGGUAUUCUGUCAAGUUUAAAGAUAUUGGGUAUAAAUAUAAGCCCCGCCUAUUUAUUAUUGAAUUAUCACCCUAUCUUCGGACCUUUAAAAAAAGAUUUCGACUUCAAAUUACUUUUUUAAAAUAUGAUUUGGGAUAAAGUAACCUUAUGAAGGAAAAUGAGGUAGGAAGCAGUGAAAUGCUUGAUAGAAAACGCUAGUGAAGUGAAAAACAAGGUUAGAGAAGUGAGUAAAAAGGCUAGGCAAUCUCUGUUAGAGGGUGGAUCUUCACAUACUGCUUUUGGAUACCUGAUUAGUCGAUGGCUAGUAAACAAGGUUUGAAGAAGUGACUCUCGACAUACGUAAAACGCGUGGGUUUUUUUUUAUUGUAAAGACAGGUAUUGUUUACACCCAUAUAAAUUAUUAUGGAUGGCACCUGUGCAUUUUUACAAAUUCAUUUUAGUCCUUUAAUUUUGUUUUUCAAUGAUUUAAUCCUAAUUAAAGAUCAAUUGACUAUAAUUUCUUAGGAAAAUAUGGGGUUGAAAGAAGUUCUUCGUUUUUCUAAAUCCUUUUUACUUGAGAGUCUUUCCUUUAUUUUUCUAUUUAAAGAUUUAUAUUCUCACAAUUUGUUCAUUUAGGUACUUUGUUUAAUGGAUUUGUUAAAACAAUUUAAACUGUAUUUGUUUGCACAAUAGCUUAAUACUCAGGGUAUUAUUCAUCAACUUUAAUAUAUCUUUUUUUUCACUCAUUUAGUCCAACAACAUUUAUCACCCUCGUUUAAUUCUUACUUUUUCAAUUUCUAUAAACACAAUAAAAACUAUUGUCUUUAGGAUUGCAAGACAUGCACGCUUCAAAGUUUUAAAAGUUCUUUUUUUAAUCUAAAACAUUUUGUUAAUAACAAUGAGAAAUAGUGCUAAUAAUUUAAUUUGCUAAUCUGAAAUGUACUCCAUUAAAUUUAAUUUAUUUGACGAGUGGUACCAGUUGAAAUUAAGAUCAAACAAGGUUUGAUUUAAAAGAAUAAAAAAUAAUAUUAUUUUAACUUCUUAAUUGUUUUUAAAUAAUAUUAUUUUGAAUUAAUUUGUCUAAAUCAUUACUGAAAUCUAAAAAAAAUUAAUUAUGAGUAGAUUUGGCCGAGUUUUUAACAAUGAGCAGGAGUUGAUGAAUAAUUUAUACAAUAGUAAAUUGAUGUUUUUUAAAGGUAAUUCUAACAUAAUUUGAUUAAUCAAAUUCUAAGAUUAAAGGAGGUCAAACAUGAGAGAGAGAGAGAGAGAGAGAGAGAAAUCUUGAAAAAGAAUUAAAUCAUAAUUUAUUAUUUUUUUAGCAGAAUAAACGCAUAAAUAAAAGUUCUAACAAAUCUUUUGCCUUUACGAGAAGAUUGAUAUGGUAAGUGAGGCAACCACUACCAAGUUGUCGUUUUAUAUUUGAUGGGUAAUAACCCGGCUAAACGACACCUCUUGGGUUGUUGGCCUGGGUUUUGGUAAGGGCUAGAUUCUCUUGCUCUUUUUUUUUUUUUUUUUCUUUUUAGUUCUUUUUUUUAUCUCGAAGCAUGAAACAAUAAAAAAAUAAUUUAGUUCAUAAAAUAUUUUAAAUUUUAUUCUCUCGUAUUUAAGAAGUAUUAUGUUGUGGCUUGCUAGGCAGACUCAUCGUGCAACCAAAUUAAUCAAACCCAAAAAAAAAGAGAUUUCGAUCAUCAUCUCUCUCUGUUUUUUUUUUAAGGAAAUAUAUUGAUUCUCCCUCUAAUCAAUGCGAAAAAAAACAUGAAGUGGGGACAACACCUUUUAGCUUCUCCCUGGUUAAAUAUCAAUUACUGUUGCAUUUUCAAAAAACAAUUAUUAUAUGUAUAGUCCUUACCAUAAUUAUUGUAAAAUAAAUUAAUAAAAAAAUCUCUCAGGGACCCUAUUUUUUCCUCACCUAAUCGUCAACGCAUGGCAGCACUCAGUUGUUGAAGAUUCCACUAUAUUUAUUCUCAACCAAUUUUCAGAGUAAAAGAGCAUUGAAUUCCGACUAUAUAUAGUGCCCCAUAACCCAGUCCCAUAUUAUUUAUCCAAAAAAAAGAAAUCACACAGAAGCCAAAAACCUUCCAUAUCCGCCAAAAAUGGCACCCGCUCAAACCACCACACCCAAGAAUGCACUGGUCUUCGUCCCAGCACCAGGAAUUGGUCAUCUUGUAUCAGUCAUGGAGUUUGCAAAACGUUUGCUUGAAAGAGAUGACAGUUUCUCCAUCACAAUGCUUCUUAUGUCCCCACCAUUUGCACAUGAUGUUACAACCUAUGUUGAGAAACUUAAUGCAGCUCACCCAGAAUUUCAAUUUCUUGGUCUGCCUUCUGUAACCCCACCACCCCUAGAAGAUGUUCUUGCUUGUCCUGAACAUUUUGUGUCAGUUUUCAUCGCUGAUCAUAAGAACCAUGUUAAGGAUAUGAUUGUCAACCAUGUUUUGUCCAACAAGUCAGUUAAACUUGCUGGUUUGGUUCUUGAUUUGUUUUGUACUGCCUUUGUUGAUGUUGCCAAAGACCUUGGUGUCCCUUCUUAUAUUUUCUUUGCUUCUGGUGCUGCUUUUCUUGGUUCCAUGCUUUACCUCCCUUAUAGAUUUGACAAGGGAGGAGUCACCUACAAACCAACCGAUCCUGACUCUAUUAUCCCUAGUUACAUCAACCCAGUUCCCUCCAGGGUGUUGCCAAGUUUGUUGUUCCAUGAUGGUGGGUAUUCAACUUUCGUAAGCCAUGCUAGGAAAUUCAAGGAGGCAAAGGGUAUCAUUGUCAAUACAUUUGCAGAGCUAGAAUCCCACGCUGUUAACUAUCUUAAUGGCGAGGCAGGUGUACCCCAUGUUUACACUGUGGGGCCAGUGGUUGAUCACAAGGGCAACAGUCCAGUAGCUGAUGGGAACCAACGUGAAGAGAUCAUGAACUGGCUCGACGCUCAGCCACAGAAAUCAGUGGUGUUUCUGUGCUUUGGAAGUCAAGGGAGCUUCGGUGUGCCUCAAUUGAAAGAGAUUGCACUUGGGCUUGAGCAAAGUGGCCAAAGGUUCUUGUGGUCUAUUAGGAGACCACCUUCUCAAGAAUCUUUGAACCCCGGUGAAGUUAAUGAUUUUAGUGAGCUUUUGCCCGAAGGGUUUCUGGGCAGGACAAAAAAUGUAGGGUUUAUUUGUGGGUGGGCUCCUCAAGUUGAAGUCUUAGCCCAUAAAGCCACAGGUGCGUUUGUGUCGCAUUGUGGAUGGAACUCAAUUUUGGAGAGUACUUGGUAUGGUGUGCCUGUUGUAACAUGGCCCUUGUAUGGUGAGCAACAAAUCAAUGCAUUCCAGUUGGUAAAGGACGCAGGAGUGGCAAUUGAAAUGAAAAUGGAUUACAGGAAGGAUGGCGGUGAGGUUGUGAAGGCAGACCAAGUAGCAAAAGCAGUGAAGGAUGUGAUUGAAGGUGCUAGUGACGUGAAAAGCAAGGUUAAAGCAAUGAGUGAAACUGGCAGGAAAGCACUGUUGGAGGGUGGAUCUUCAUAUGUGGCAUUUGAAACCUUGGUUGGUGUUUUGUCAGGAAACAAGGCUUGAAGAACUUGCACGCCAUGUUAAAAUCUGAGGUUGAUUCUGCACUUACGUACGUAUGUUACCUCUUGUCUUGGUUCUUUUGGGUGAUGAUGCUAGUGCUAUGCGUCAACCCUAUUAGAUUUGGUUUUGGUCAAUCUUCCUUUUUUUUUCUCUUUCUUUUUUGUCUAGGAUGAGUUCAUGGUUGGUCCCAAAUGCCUCCCCUCUUGUACUCUCAAUAGUCUACAAUAAAAUUAUCUCUUAAUUUAUCAAGAAAGGGAGCUGUCCAUGAUUUGAACGAAUUAAUUUCAGGUUUUACAACUACGACAAAAGACAACGACUAAAUUUAGACCGAGAGCUGAUGUCUUCCACUAAAAAAUAAAGAUAGAUGAACCACUCGAGCAAGCUGUGGUUCCAAAGUAAAAUCAUAUCAUGUGGAAUACAAACGUGUUUCCUUUGAUGGGUCGACUAUUUAUGAGGGCACUCAAUUAAUAAAGACAAACCAAUCUAUAAAUACAUGCAUGUAUUUUAUUUUUUAUUUUUUAUUAUUAUUAAUAUGGGUGUUCGAGCUAACUUGUAUGCAACUUGACUAAUUCUACAAAUUCUAAAAUUAAUAAUCAUAUAAAUUUUUAGUGAUACGAGAUUACUGAAACUUAUAAUUAUUGAAUUUUUUUUCCUUGUGAAAUAGAAACUUUUACAUUUUCCUCCUUUCCCACAAUGACUUUGUGACAACAGCCUGAUAAUUUCCUUAAUCAUGAAUCAACACAAACAAAACUGGCCGACCUUUUCUUAUGUUUUAUGUUUUUUUUUUUCCAAAAGAAAUUCCCACGAAGUAAUUCUUCAUAGGGUGCCUAUAAGAAAAUCUUAAUCAUGCUAUUUCCUCUUUUAAUAGACAAUUAUUGAUUUUUUUAAAAAAAUGUUCUUAUUGUAAUGGUUAAUUUAGAAUAUUCUUAGCCUUAUUUUUGCACACCAAAAAUUUAUUAUUCAUGAGAAACUACCUCCGUUUUAUAUUAUAAUCUAAAAUGUUUUACUUCUCCCGAUGAAAAAAAAAUUGAGUUAUGUUAGUGAAAGAUCUAAUAUUAACUGUUGAAAGCGUAGUUAUAAAAUGCAAAACAUCUGACGGAUGGAACUGGAACCGUAUCGGUUUGUGUUAAAUAAAAAAUAGGUUAAGGUAUAUUUUGAUCUGGCCUAGACUUAUAAAAAACCUCGCAACCCAUUAUGUUAACUUUUUUUUAAAAAAAAAAAAUUUAUUAAAAUAAUUUUUUUUAUUUUUUUUUAAUUAAUUCAUGUCGACUCUCUCGAUCCACCGUAACCUAUGUCCUGUCUGGGUGUUGGCCCCAAGUUAACUGUGGUCAGAAGUUUUAUUAGAACAAAACUAGAGUGGUGCCUAUUUUAUGCUGUGGGUCCGCACAAUUUUUACAAUAAAAUAUUUAGUUAUUGCAAGUAUGUUUAAAAAAUAAAUCUAAUAACUCAUCUUAUAGUUCUGUCGAACUAAAUAAACUGGUUUUAUUUGAAUUACAUAAGUAAAAAAAGAUAAUAAUAUCAAACCAGGAUAUAUGUAUAUUACGACAACAUGGGGAAAAAACUUUAUCCCAGAGGAAAAAAAUCCAAAACAAAAAAUAACAAUUAAAAAAAUUAAAAUUAAAAUUGAAAGAAAAAAUAAAUUAAAGCGCAAUAAUAAAUUUUCAAUUCAAAGUUAAAUCGGAAAGAAUAAAAACAUUAAAAAAUUAAAAGAAUAAGGAUCAAAAUGAAAAAAAAAACAAUACACUACCACCGUGUAAAUAAAUUUUUUUUAAAACAGCCAUCAACAAUAAAUAAAAAUGUAAUCUGAAAAAUUAAGAAACAAAUGUAGAUCAAAAUAUUUAAUAUCACAACACGAGUCAUUUACCAAGUUGUGUUUAAUGAAUUUGUUUAUUAAAAUCAAUUUGUAAUAUAAAUUGACAUACAUAUAAAAUUUAUUGAAUAAAAUAAAAAAUUACUAUGCAAGACUACUCAUAUUAAAAAUAUUAUAAAAAUAAAUAAAUGUGUUUUUAUUUUUAAAAAUAAAUUAAAUAUAUAUAUUAAAAAAAUAAAAUGAGGCAUAACCGGGGCUGGUAAGCUAAACCUAGUGCCUUGACUCAUCAAAAAAGGGCCUACACAUACAUGCUUUAAUUGUUUUUUAAGUUAAUGAGGCGAACAACAAUUCAAUCAUUCCAAUUCUUUGAAAAAAAAAAUAGACGACACUCCGUUUGGAAAACUCAUAUUGUGGCUACAAGAUUCUAGUUUUUUUCACUUGAAAGAUCUAUUUUGAUUCAAAAUAUUUAGAAAAAUACCCUGUAAAUCUUGUUAAAUUAAUUCAUGGCCGCCAAAAACACAUAAAAAAAAAGUCUCAAAACCCAAAUUAAUCUGAAAUAAAAAAAUUUCUCAAAAUCAAAUUUAUUUUUAAGUGUUUUUAAAGUAAAAAAAACAUCUAAUUUGAAGUUAUCUUAUCAAAUAGAAUUUUUUAAUACAAAAUCGAUCAUUUGGUAGCCAAAGUUGUCAUUUACAGCAACAACCUAGAAAAGGAUUCACGAUUGGGCCUAAACAGCCCAUUACCACUGGCUCAAUUCAGUUUGUAUGUCAGCUAUGAAUUUUACAGUGGCAGUGAUCAAUAUGGUAUCAGUGUCAUCAUAUAAAAAACAAUUAUGGCGAAAAAAAUUUAAAAGAACCAAAUUAAAAAUUCUAAAAAAAAAUCAAUAAAACGAAAUACCUCUUUUAAUUUUUAUUGUAAUAAUAAUUCUUAAUUAAUUCUGAAAUAGGUUAUUGUCAGUGUCCAAUUAUAACCGUUAAUAAAUUAGAUAGGAAAGAGUAUAAAAAUACUAAAAAAAAAUUAAAAAUAAAAAGGAAAAUAAAUUUUAGUAUCAAAAUUAAUUUUUAAAAAAAAUUAAAAAAACUAAUUAUAUAAUAGUUAAAACAGAUAAUGAACUUAUUAAACAAAUCUCUAAAUUGUGCCACCUAUGUUUUGUAUAUAUAUUUUAGUUUUUUUAUCUUUCAACUCAAUUUUCUCUCUAAAAAAAUAAUUAAAUACUAAUUUAGGUUUAAAAAAACUUAACUAUAAAAUAAAAAAAAGUUCAGAGAACUAAAUUGAAGAUUCUAAAAAAAAAAUCACUAAACACCUCUUCUAGUUUUUACUGGAAUAAUAAUACUUAAUUAACUAAUAAUUCUUAAUUAAUUUAUCUUUCAACUCAAUUCUCUCUCUAACAAAAAUAAUUGGAUACUAAUUUAGGUUUAAAAAAACUUAAUUAUAAAAUGAAAAAAAAGUUCAAAGAACCAAAUUGAAGAUUCUAGAAAAAAAAAUCACAGUGAAACGAAAUACCUCUCCUAGUUUCUACUGGAAUAGUAAUUCUUAAUUAAUUAUGAAAAAGACUAUUGUCGGUGCACAAUCAUGGCCAUUAAUGACUUAGAUAGGAGAGAGUAUAAAAAUGCUAAUUUGUGAUCUUUGUCGCACAUAGACAAUCUCCACUCUGCACAUGAAUCGUCGUGUCCGUCUCUUCUUUUCACCUUAAAAGACUCCUCUCCUUUUUGCCUUUUCAAAACUGAGUGGAGCGCCGCAUCUGGCAUCCAGCAGUUGGUUUUCAAGAGAAGAAACCGAGAAGAAAACAGUGUGCCUCCCAAAAACUAGUGGAAACCACUAUAUUCUUUCUUCCAAGAGUCGCCUUUUUCAUGUAAAUGUAAACGCUUCCCUGUAGACAAACGUGGAUCAACCGUUUUACACCCUUAUGCCUUCCACGUUUUCUGUACUCAGUUAGAUAUUUAUUCAUCUAAAGGGUCGGUUCAAAAAGGUUUGGCCUCUCCUUCUCUCCUGGCCUCUCCUUCUCUUCUUGUACAUAGCACAAGAGAGCAAAAAUCAAAGGGAAGGGAAGAAACAAAGAAAUGGAAGAUGGGGAGAUGUACAACAUGAUGAAGGUAUGGCUCUCAAUCUUUGCAUCUCUAACUUACUGCUAUAUCAUGGGAAAGAUGAUCCCAAGAGGUUUUACAAGACUUCUCUGUGUGCUACCAAUUGUUUGUCUAUUUCUUGUUCUUCCUCUAGAACUCACCUCUAUUCAUUUUGGAGGCAUGACAGCUUUCUUCGUUGCUUGGCUUGCGAAUUUCAAGCUCUUGCUUUUUGCGUUUGGCAAAGGCCCUUUGUGUUUAGACCCAAAAAUCUCUUUUGGUCGUUUUGUUUCUGUUGCUUGUUUUCCCAUCAAAAUCCUACAAAUCCCACCUCAAAAACCGAAUCUAAAUGGCCAUAGCCAUGAAAACCAAGCUCAAAAAUCACUUCUAAAUGGCCAAGAUAGGCAAAAAUUAAUCUCUAGAAAGGGCCCUCAUAAAUCAUUCCUAAAUUAUGCAACCAAAGGUCUUCUUUUGGCAAUGUUGGUGGCUACAUAUGACUAUAGUGAUUAUAUCCAUCCAAAAAUCAUGUGGCUCUUGUAUUGUCUCCACAUAUAUUUUUUUCUUGAAACAUUCCUAGCCAUGUUGGCAUCGGUGGUUCGAACCCUUUCAGGGCUUGAGCUAGAGCCACAAUUCAAUGACCCUUAUCUCUCGACUUCACUUCAAGACUUUUGGGGGAGAAGAUGGAACCUCAUGGUAACAAGCAUCCUACGCCCGAUUGCGUACGAUCCCAUCCUCUACACGUGUAAGAACUUCAUUGGUCGCAGGUGGGCCCAGGGCAUAGCAAUUUUGGGUACCUUUCUAGUGUCUGCGCUCAUGCAUGAGCUCAUUUUCUACUACCUAGGACGCGGGAAGCCCACGUGGGAGAUCACUUGGUUCUUUUUGCUACAUGGAGUGUGUUUACCGGUCGAGAUUGUUUUGAAAAGGGCUGUUAACGGCAGGUGGCAGUUUCCCAGGCCGAUGCAAACUAUAUUGACCAUUGGAUUUGUGAUAGCUACCGGCUUUUGGCUGUUUUUUCCACCAUUUCUUGCGUGUAAAGCAGGUGUCAGGGCAAUUGAGGAGUACGCGGCUGUACGCGAGUAUUUGAAGGAAGCUGGUCAUGCAUAUUUUCCUUGGAUUUUUCAACAAAUCUAACGGCUUGUAAAUAUCCAAGAUUUGAGCAGCUUAUUUUGAUUGAAUGAACGGUUCGGAUUUGAUGCAAAUCUAAGAAAUUACAAAUAUAAGCAUGGUGGUUGUAGUUAUGAUUUAUGUACUCACUUGAUUAUUUUCCGGUAGUGUCGGGCAGGUCAAUUUUUCAAACAUAAAAUAAAAAAGAUCUAAACAGAUAUUUAGACGAAGAAAAUUUCAAUGAAUAAUUUAAUUAACCUGUAACACGGGAUAACUUCAAAAAAAAAAAAAAAAUAGGAAGCUUAAGUCACAAUAAAAUUAAUUUUAAAAGAUAAAAUUUUAAAAAAAAGAAAUUUAGAAGAAAAAAAAACUCUACUCAAAUUGGGUUUACUUUAUUAAUUAGAAUGAGAAAAUAAUUUUUUUAAAAAAAUUGAUAUAGAAAAAAAUCAAAAUUAAAUAAAUAAAAAAAUAUUGAUAAAAAAAUUGAGUUGCCCUAGAACCUCCAACCCCGAAUAACAUUAUAAAAAUGAAAAGCAAAAAUGAAAAGCAUAAAAAAUAAGAAAUUUUAAGAAUUAUUAAAAGAUAAAAUUAAAAAAAUAAUAAAUUCAAAGUAACUCGAGUUAACUUAACUAACCAGUGAUCUGGAAUAACAACUUAGAAAAAAAAAAAACUUAAAACCCAACAGUUUAAUAUCAAAAGAUAAAAUUAAAAAAAGUUUUAAAAAUAACUAAAAUCAAAUCAGGCUAAUUUUUAAAAUCAGUAAUUCUAGUUAUAAGACUGAGAUGACCCUGUAAAAAGAAAUUAAAUAUUAAAUAAAAUUCUUAAUCAUAAAAAAAAAUAUAUAAUUAAAAAAUAAAAUAAAUGGAAAGACAACUCUGAUUUUUUAUUAACUUGGCGUGAAUUUCAAGGAGAAUUGAGAGAAAAUAAAGGGAGGAGAAAAAACUCAACCAGCACCGAUUUAUCGUGAUUUGAAGUUUGAACAACAUGCGCCACCCCAGCAGCUUCGCCUUCACUUGAUAUUUUAGACGACACGACAAUUGAGAAAUUCUGGUUGAUGUACAAUGCCUGGAAUGGCAGGGGUGACAUAUACUCGCUGACGCAUGCACUUUUUUUAUUUAUUUAUUUAUGAAAAUAGUAAUUUUUUCCUAAUCCAAAUAGAGCAUAACAAUAAAAAAAGAUUUAUUAAAAAAAUACUAAAAUAUCUCUCUUAGCCUUUCAUUUUUGUAUUUACUUUUAAGGAUAUUUAUGUAGUUUAAUUAUAUAAAAAAAUAUAAACUACUAAAUUAUUUCCAAUCAAUUUGAAAAUGACUUUUGAACUCCCGAAAAAAUAUCAUUUUACCUUCGGUAGUAAGGCAAAAACUUUGUGCAGAGAAUAGCAAAGUAAUAAUUACAUCGUGUACGUCCACAAUAAAUUUCCUUAUAAAACACUGAUCUUUUUAGAGUUUUUUAUAAUUUGAGCAAAUAGGGACCGCAUCUUUAAAAAGAUAACAGGAUAGAAUUAUAUAAAAAAAAAAAAGCAGAGGGUGAAUUCGUGAAAAAAAUUAUAUGAUAUAUUAUUAGGUAAUAAAAAUUCAUGAAAAAAGCAUAGGGUGAAUCACAUACUUUAUGAUCAAGUCUAUUCUAAUUCUAUAGUAUAAAAAUUUGAUAACUAUUUAAUAGGUGGUCUAGUAAUAAAAAUUUGAUACUAAGAAGUUUGUUCCUCUUGUAGUCUGAGUUUCGAACCCUGUAGUUCCUAAUAUGAUGACUACUAGAGGCUUACAUGGUCGUUAACUUCAGGGGCUGUGAGAUUAGUCAAGGUGCGUGUAAGCUGACCCGAACACUCACGUUAAUAAAAAAAAUUAAUCUAAUAAAUUAGUUUUAUCAAAAAAUUUCUUGAUAUUUAUUCAUCAUCAUCAUCAUCAUCGAGUAUUGUUAUCGAUAACAUUUGUCAUGGUAAAUAAUAUACUUCUACUUGACUAAUUAAGAAAAAACUAAAACUGAUCAGUGUUUCACUGUGCAAGUCCACAGUGAAAUGCUGAGCAGUCCUUCUUUUUUUUCGUUUUUUUUUUAUUAUUUUUUCCCAUUUUUUUUUGUCUUCUUCUUUUUCUUCUUUUUUUGUUUUUUUUUGUUUUUAUUUUUUUUCCAUUUUUUUUUUAUUUUUGGUUUUCUAUUGUCUUUAUGGGUUUUUUUUUUGCUUUUUUCUUUGUGUAUUUUUCUUUUAAUGAAUUUUUUUGUUUAAUUUAGUUUGUUAAUGUUAAUUUUUUAUUUAGUUACCAAAUUUUCAUAACACGGAUCCCGGGUUUGACGGGUUAACCUGAUUUGACGAGUUAACUCGAUUUUUUUUUUCUUUUCUUUUUAAGAAAAAACUAAAACUGCUCAGUGUUUCACUGUGCAAGUCCACAGUGAAACGCUGAGUAGUCCUCUCCUUUUUUUUUUUGUUUUUUUUUCCCAUUUUUUUUGUCUUCUUCUUUUUGUUUUUUUUUUGUUUUUUUUUGUUUUUAUUUUUUUCCCAUUUUUUCCUGUUUUUUUUUUUUUUUUUUGGUUUUCUAUUGCCUUUAUGGGUUUUUUUUUUUGCUUUUUUCUUUGUGUAUUUUUCUUUUAAUGAUUUUUUUUUAAUUUAGUUUGUUAAUGUUAAUUUUUUAUUUAGUUACCAAAUUUUCAUAACACGGAUCCCGGGUUUGACGGGUUAACCUGAUUUGACGAGUUAACCCGAAUUUUUUUUUUCUUUUUAAUUAAUUGUAACAUAUACUAAAACGAAUCAGUGUUUUACUGUGGACUGCACAGUGCAGUCCACAGCAAAAUACUGAUCCGUUUUUGGUGUUUUUUUUUUAAGUUGUCUUAUUUUUUUAGCUGUUUUUUAUGCCUUUCGGGAUUUUUUUUUGCUUCUUUCUUUAUUUUUUUUCUUAUAACAAAAGUUUUUUAUUUAAUUUAGUUUAUUAAUGUUAAAGUUUUUUUAUUUAGUUAUCAGACUUUCAUGACACGUUUUCUGGAUUUAACGGGUUAACCUGAUUUGACAAGUUAACCCAGAAAUAUAUUUUUUUUGCUUUUUUUCUUUUUAAUUAAUUUUUUUUCAUUUAGUUUAGUUUGUUAAUGUUAAAUUUCUUUCUAUUUAGUUAUCAGACUUUCAUGACACAUAUCUCGAGUUUCACGGGUUAACCUGGUUUCACGGGUGAACCCAGUUAAUUCUGGGUUGACCCGUCAAUUUUUUUUUUGUUUUUUUUAUCAUAAUUUUUUUUUUCAUAAUUUAGUUUGUUAAUGUUAAAUUUUUUUUAUUUAGUUAUCAGACUUUCAUGACACAGAUCCUAGGUUUAACUGGUUAAUAUGGUUUGACGAGUUAACCCGAAUUUUUUUUAAUUUUUUUUAUUAAUUUUUUUCGUUUAGUUUAGUUUGUUAAUGUUCACUUUUUUUUAUUUAGUUACCAGACAUUCAUGACACGGAUUCCGGGUUUAACGGGUUAACCUGGUUUGACGAGUUAACUUGGAAUUUUUUUUUUGCUUUUUUUUUUAAUUAUUUUUUUUCGUUUAAUUUAGUUUGUUAAUGUUAAAUUUCUUUCUAUUUAGUUUUUUUUUCUUCUUAGAGGUUUUUUUCUUUUAUUUUUUAUUUUUAAUUAAUUUUAUUUAAUUAAUUUAGUUUAUUAAUAUUAAAUUUUUUUCUAAGUAGUUCUCGGCUGAUGCCUUUAGUUUUUCUUUUUGUUUUUUUGUUGUUUUUAUGCAUUUGACUGUAGACUGCACAAUGCAGUCCACAGUGAAAAAGCUCAUCCUUUUGUUUUUUUAAUUAAUUUUUUUUGUUUAAUUUAAUUGUUAAUGUUAAUUUUUUUUUUCUAUUUAAUUAUCAAACUUUCAUGACAAAGAUUCCGGGUUUGACAGGUUAACCUGGUUUGACGAGUUAGCCCAGUUAAUUAUGGUUUAACCCAUUAGUUUGUUUUUUUUCCUUUUUAAUUAUCAAACUUUCACGAUGCGAAUUUAAGGUAUGACGGGUUAACCUGGUUUGAAGGGUUAACCCAGUUAAUUCAUAUUUUUUUUCUUUUUCUUCAUUAGUUUUUAUUUUCCUGUUGUUUUUUUUUUUUGUUUUUUUUCUUUUUAACUAAUCUAUUUAAUUAUCACACAUUUAUAACACGACCUUGCAGCUAGACCCACGUCCAAUGCUAUUGGGUCUGGUAUUGCAGUCAAACCCGCUUAAAUUUAGGCCAUGCAAGUUUAAUGUUAUUAUUAAUAUUAUAAAUAUUACUCUUGGAUUAGGCGUUGCAACUAAACCUAAAACUCUUGGGUAUAACUUUGCAAAAAAACCUAAUACUUUUAGAUCUUAGCUUUUUAUGAAAUGCAAAAAAUAAUUAACCCGCGACAUCGCGCGGGGCAUGUAACUAGUAAUACUUCUAUAAGAGAUCUAAAAUAACACACCGCACUAGCCUUCGUAUUUUAUCCUCUUUUAGUCUUUUUUUUAUUUUUUAUCUCAAAGGAAGAAACUCGAAUCCAAAACUUACUAGAUUAAAGAAUGUUUGAUAAUAAAGUGUUUUUUUAAAAUGUUUUUUAAUUAAAAAUAUAGUAAAGUAAAAUUUUUAAUUUUUAAUAUUAAAAUCAUAAAAAAAUACAUAAUAAUAUUAAUUUAAUGUAUUUUCAGAUAAAAAAAUAAAUUAAAAAAAACUUAAAAAAAUAAAUUAAACUCCAUUAUCAAACACAACACUCCCUAUCACGGGUUGGGCUUGGAGCUCAUUGGCCUUUCACAUGGUUUGUUCGAUCACUUACAUUAGCAGCAGCGUGUAUGUUUGUGCCUCGCUUUCAUCAAACUAUUCCCGGCUGGCUUGCCUGUCGUAUAAGUUGAUCUGUUGUCUCAUUCAACCAUAACUCAGGUGACCAGACCAAUUAGUACUCCACCUAUAUUGCUAGCUACAAUAAUAUCCAUCAUGGGAACAGCAGCAGCCAAGUGAAGCAGGGAACUGACGGCUAAUGAAGGUGGUUCAAAAUAUCGCUGGAUAUGGUUGAGGCAGGGACACCACUGAUAGUCAAGAAUUUAGGAAGAGACUGGGAGUGGUUGCUGGUGUUUAAUGAGAGAGUCUAAGAUCGAGGUGACUUGAGCCACUUCCUUUAACAUUGGCAACUUCACAAAUAUAGAAUUAAUGCAAGAGUCUCCUUCAACAAUCACAUCUUGAGAGUGAAAAUGGGAGGUGAAUUGGGCAACUUUCUCUUGGUAUGGGUAUCAGCUGUGGCAUUACUUUGCUACUGUCACAAGAUAGGUCAGUUAACCCACAAAGGCACAACCAGGCUUCUUGCAAUCUUGCCAGUCGUAUGCAUCUUUCUUGUCAUGCCUCUCAGCAUCCUUAGUCUGAGUCUUAGAGCUAUUACUUCUUUCUUCCUUUGUUGGCUUGCCAACUUCAAGCUCCUUCUCUUUGUCUUCGAUCAAGGCCCUCUAUCAUCCAACCCGCCCCUCUCCUUGCCACAUUUCAUUGCCUUUGCUUGCUUUCCUAUCAAGAUUCAACAAGACCCUACACCAACAGUAUCACCUCAUGAUCAAGAGCUUGUAAAUGUUGAUGAUAAUCAAGAUCUUGAGAAGCUCGUGAGUGUUGAAAACAAAGACACCCCAUCUCAAAAAAUCGCCCCGAAAGGCCUUAAAUCUCAUCUAAACUACGCCUUGAAGUUUUUCCUACUAGUCAUAUUUGGUUACAUCUAUACCAGGGAAGACUAUUUCCAUCCAAAAUUUAUAUUGUUCCUCUAUGUUAUCCACAUUUAUAUUGCUCUAGAAUUAAUCUUGGCCAUGUUUGGAGCCCUAGCUCGAGCCUGUCUCGGUGUAGAACUCGAGCCACAAUUUGAUGAGCCGUACCUCGCCAGCUCUUUGCAAGACUUCUGGGGUAAGAGAUGGAACCUAAUGGUCACUAGCAUCCUGCAUCCAACUGUAUACAGUCCAAUCCGGUCAACUUUUAGCCGUUGGAUAGCAAAGAAGUGGGCUUCAUUACCAGCUGUGAUUGGCACAUUUUUAGUCUCUGGUCUCAUGCACGAGCUGAUUUUCUACCACAUUGGACGCCAAAAGCCAAAGGGGGAGGUCACAUGCUUCUUUCUCUUGCAUGGUUUUUGCUUGGCUAUUGAAAUAGGUAUCAAGAGAGAAAUAAAGGGUACAUGGGGGUUGCCUAGAGUAGUGGCAGCACCGCUUGUGGUGGGGUUUGUGGUGGUUACUGCCAUGUGGUUGUUCAUGCCCACCGUGGUUCGUUGCAAGAUUGAUGCUGAGGCACGGAUGCAGACUAUUGCUUUCAUUAAUUUUGUGGAAGGUGUUUAUAUCUACUUGAAAGAUGUUUUCAUAGAUCAUAAAUUUUAGACUAGUAAGUAAUUUUGUCGCAAUAAUUAUAAGUAGUUGAAGCCAGAACUUGUAUCGGCAAGCACAUUUAUAAACUUCAUUUAUUAAAAUCUUAGACCGGUACAAAUUUUUGUUUAAUAAUUGCUACGAUAGUUUAAUGCAAUAUACCAGCUGUUUGAUAAAAACCAUGAUCAAAAUAUUUAUUCGAUAUGCCCAGUACUUUACUGCAAUAUACCCUAGGAUAUCGUCUAAGUAGCAUAAAAAAAUAACAUUUGGUUUCUAUCUUCUGUAUAACGACAAUGAAUAUUGAAUUGAUAAAAAUAUGGUUAGUUAAAAAAUUAAAAAUAUAAAUACAAAAAUAUUAAAUAAAAUAAUGAAUUAGUAGAGACAAGAGAUAAAGGUAGACAAAUAACCAAUUAAAAUUAAAAGUUUAAAUUGUUAGGUGGGGUCUUAAAAUAUGAUUUAUAUUAAUCUUUAAUAUAUUUUUCAAGUAAAAGUUUUUUGAACUUGAAACUUUUACAUAUCUACACUAACUUGUGCUUGAUUUUUAUUAAAUAAAUAGAGAUUAUGAGAUUCGAAUUCGUGAACAUUUGGUCAUUAAGACUCUAAUACUUUGUUAAAGAACCGAUUCAAUUUUAAAGUUUAAAUUAUCAGGUGAGAUCUCAAGAUAUAAUUUCUACUAAUCUUUAACAAAUAUAAACAUCUUUAACAAAUAUAAAUAUAAAAUAAAUAUGUAUCUAGGAUAACUUGUAGGAAAUACAUCAUCGUUAUCUUAAUAAAAACAAUUGUAUUUAUACUAUUUAAAAUAUUAUUUUAUUAAUUUAGAUUUUUAAAAUAACAUUUUCUAUUCUAAUUAUUUUAAAAUCAUGUUUGAAACGUGAUGUAAAUUAUAUUUUUUUAAUUUUUAUAUUUAAAAUUAAUUUUUUUAUGUUUUUAAAUAAUUUUGAUGUGUUAAUAUUAAAAAAAAGUUUAAAUUUUUUUCGUAAUAUAUUUUUAAAUAAAAAACAAUUUAAAUUUUACUUCCAUGCAAACUCAAAUAAUAAGUUACUUGCAGUUAUUAUGACUAGCUGUAGGGGGCGGUGCUGCUAUGUACUAUAAACAUAAUUGAUGCAGCAGACAGCCAUAGUACCAAGACGUGGCAGAAAUUCAAUGACUUAUACUGAGACCACAGUUACACAACCCAGAUAACGAUGUGUUUGGGUGUGCGUGGUUAAGUCGUUUUUCUAUUUUUUUUAUUUAUUUAAAAUUAUAUUAAAAUAAUAAUAAUAAUUAGUUUUUUAAUUUUUUUCACAAACAUCCAUUUUAGCUGCACUUCUAAACAGAGUCUUACAGCAAGCACAAACUCUAAUUUAUGUCCAUCUCUUUCAUAUAUUUGAGUCAGAACAUUUGGAUAUAAAUUAGAGAAGAAAAAAACCUUGAUCACUGUCACACUUUCUUCUUCUUCUUCUGUUCUUUCUAUUUCGAGUAAAUAUAUACUGCAAGGACGAAGGAGCCCUUGUCUAGAGUCGCACAUGUGCCCACAUAGAUCAAUAUUCACUCUGUUCGAAUACAGAAACAAGACCACUUCCUCCUCUUGAAUCUGGAUAGAAUUGAUAGAACCUGAAUCGCCCUCACAGUUUCUUCUUUUUGAUCUUUCAUUUCAAGCGUAUAUCUUGUGAGCCUCCCAUACCAAGAACAGUAUAAAACCUCGUCUUCAAGUCCGAAAACUUCUUCCCACCUCAAACAUUACAGUUGCUGUGUUUCAUUUCCUCUCAUUUACAACUGAUCGAAGCAAGGAUCAUUCUGUUGAGGCUUUCUUUGUCUUUUGCAGAAAUACUUUGCAGCCUACAUGAUUGUUGUUUUAUCAGUGUAUCCAUCCACGCCUUCAACUAAUAACUGCCAGAUAAAGGCACCAGCCCGCCUCUUCUUUGCGGAUUCAUAAAUUUUAUCAUACACUGUUUUCAACAAAACAUCUCUGUCAAACACUCCCUUCUCAUCCACGUGCCGACUUGAGCCGACUUCUUUGAAAAGAACUGGUUUCCUCAGCGCAAUGUCUCCAUCACUUAUAUGAGAAUCCACCCAAUGGGAAAGAUAACUCGUUUUCGCUUCCAAAUCAGCAUGUGGGAUCCUACAAUGCAUGGUAUAAAGAGAAACAAGAGUAUAUCUAUCAGGAAUUUAUAAAUAUAAAUACUUAACUCAUUUGUUUACUCUGUCCUUCAAUCAACUGCGUUACCAAUCAAUUGAACUGCACUAUAUAAAUGUAACUUCUAGGUUGCCAUAGUUAGCAACAUUUAGACAGCAUGGAGCCAAAAUCAAAUGAACAGCACUAUAUCUUCUCAAACGGUUGACACUGCAUCACUAUUUCAAGCUUAAAGUGAUCUUCCUAUCAGCUUACGUUAUGGGGGUCCUAACAUGGCAUCGUGACAGAUGGGUGUAGUAAACCAUUAUUCUUGUGUAGCUCAUCAUUAUUACUGGACCCUAAUCUACAAUACUCUGCCAUAUAAUGAACUGGAAAUAAAUUACGAACCACCUGUCUGGAUAUGCGUGAACUGAUGCAAAAUCGAUGUUGGAUAUUGCUGAGUUUGGUAUGAAGUCUGAUCCAAGUGAUGCUGCCCGAAUCCCAGGAUUCACUUCUGACUUGUUAGUUGUAUUCAGGCCAUAAAACCCUUCAAGUCCAACAGUCACCAGAUGUCUUUUAUCCAAGCUCUUGAUAUAUGCAGCCAUCUCAGCAAUCCAUGCCUUAAGCCAAAGGCAAAGCACUACAAUGAUUUCAAUCCCAUUUGAUUCAAAAGUAAACCAGAAAGUUUGCUUAAACAACAACGCAUAUCCUUUUGAUAUUGUUAAUAACAGAUAUGAACAAACCACCCCGCCAUCAUAGAGAACUAGAGAAAAUGAUAUUCUUCGGCUAAGAAUGCUUCCAUCAAACAGCACCAUCACCCUUCUCUCCAGAUUCCAGCCAAAUCCUUUAGUUUAUUUUUGAAAUUCUAUGCCAACAUAUACAGAAGAAUGAAAAUUCAAUGGUUCACCUGAAGUGCAGGAGCUGAAGAACUUGAUGAACACCGAGGCUCAUUCAUGAGCUCCCAGGCGAAAAUUGCCGGUUCUUCAGAGUACCUAACUCCACUUAAUGAAUUCUUUCUCUUCACAACUGCCUGGAAAAUGCAUAACAGAAAUUUGCAGUCAAGAGAUUAUCAUAAUGCAGCAAGAGAAGCAUAGAUUGCCAAGUCCCAAAUCUUGAAUGUCAGCUCUUGUGAAAUUUCAUUCCUAUUACUUGCUAAUACAGCAAUAAUUUUAGCUUAAAUUGAUCUAGCAGAUGAUGCACAAUCAAAUUUCAGAUGGUAAGUUAUAGCAUAACAUAUUAAGUUCACUAAUUAACUUAAACAAAUAGAGUCGUCACAAAACUCACUCAUAUUCAAUGCUCCCAUUCAUUUUACAAUCAAAUAAUGCCUGUUAAGUCAAAAACAAAUUCCAUGCAAUUGAUUAAAAUCCAAUGACUUAGCCUUGGAGGUGUGAAACAUAGCAUCUCACCUUAAUAUAAAUAAGCCUUGAAGUAAUCUUUAAUAACUGGGUUCGGAAAGAAUGAGUCAUCUGAUGAAGAGACAUUAACUCCAGCUUCCUUUGCCCACUUCACAUACUGAGUUUUUCCACCAAAUGCAACCAGGUUAUUCAGCAGACUGAGAAUUAACCUUCCACGAUUCCUUCUUGCUUCAACUAUCACAUAGUCCAAUCCCUGCAGACAAAUACCUUCAUUAAACACAAAUAGUUCCCAAAACUGCUUCAAGAUUAUUCCUUUAUAUGUCAUUGAAAAGCCCAUAAGCCUUUAACCACACAAUUGAGGCCAUUCAUUAAACUUAACCUCCCCUCCAAGAUCUGACAGCCAAUUGAAAGCAAAAAUCUUAAUUUUUACAACCUUGAGAAGUUUAUAACUUACUUUGAAGACCCUUUCGUUGAAGACACCAGGAGAGACCUGCAAAGCAUCAGGCCCAUGACCAUCACUGAAAGCCCAAGUCCUGCAAACAGUCAACCCCAUUUGAGAUCCUCUCUUAAGCAUCUCAGAAACCUUUGAUCUUGAUGAACUCCACACACUCUCCAUCAUCAACCAAUAUGAAUUCCACCCAUUAACAUAAAAUGCUGAUUCCCCAUAAUCAUCACCAUCAUUGAUGAUGAUGAAUUGAGUGGAGUCGGUUUAGACAAAUCCCAUCUUGGGUUGCCAUAAAAAGACGGGAAAACUGAGGCUGCCGUUACUGUUGUUGAAGUUAAGGUAAAGAAGAGAAAGUAGCAUGAGUAUUCCUAGGAAUGGAUACAGUCUUCUGUCUCUCCAUUGGGAGUCCAUUUUCCUGUUUUCUGAGCAGACACUGAAAUAUGUUUUUUAUUCUUUGUUCACGGUAAGUAAGGAUACAAACAAAAGCCACCGAGAUCGCCGUCGCUAAAAAUAUGAAAUCUUUUGCGGUCGUAAUUUAGGCGAUGACUGGGUUUGAAGAGUAUGGUUAGUGUUGUUUUUUAAAUUGUUUAUUAAAAUAUUUUAUUUUAUUUUUUAAAAAUUAAUUUUGAUAUUAAUAUAUUAAAAUAAUCUGAAAAAAUAUAUAAAAAUUAAUUUAAAAUAAAAAAAUAAAACUUUAAAUUAUUUUUAAAAUAUAAAUAUGAUUGAAUGUAGUAAUUUGUUUUUGUAUUUUAAAUUUUUUUUUAAAAAAUUAAAUUUAUUUUAAUAUAUUUCUUAAAAAAAAAACGAAUUCAACCAAAAUAAUCACCUGUUUUUGUCGGUGGCUAAGCUUUGGGCAACGGAGUCACUUUGUUGCUGUAAAUAUGAGGAACCGGGAAAUUACAACAGGCUUUAUACUUGCUGCCAUGACAAUUUUUUUGAUUGUUGAUAUUUCUCCGGCGGAAGCAGAGCUAUUCUCCGGUCAGCUUUCUUGCAUUUCCGGUUCUAAAAAUUGAUUAUACUUGUUACAAAUGUAUUAUUCAUUUUGUAUUUAAGAUUAAAAAUAUAUAUAUAUUUUUUAAGAAAUUUAGUCUCAAAUUUGAAUAAUAUUGAUUAAAAUUAACAUAUUUUAUUGAUUAUAGAUCAAUCCAUUCAUCCACUCAAAUUAAAAAUUAUAUGUUAAUUUUAUUUAUUAACCAUAUAUUAUUUCAAGUUCAAAUCAAAUAAAAAGCGGGUAGAAAAUUGUUCGGACGUAAAUAAACUAUUUAAAAUUCAAAGAAAUAAUUAGUUUUCACAGGGAAAUAUCAAAAUAAACUAAACAUUUCAUACAAGUUUUUCAUUUUGAGAAAAAAAAAAUGUUUUUAAGUAGUCGAUUUUGUUAUCUCAAUAGCUAAUAACAAAAUUUUGAGUAAUUGUUCAACAGGGAAAUAUCAAAAUACACUAAACAUUUCAUACAAGUUUUUCAUUUUGAGAAAAAAAAUUCUGUUUUUGUGAGGAGGAGGAAUACAAGUUUCUGGUAAUGAACAAAGCAAACUUUUGUUUAUGAUACAAGUUCAGUGAUUAACUUUUGUUUCUAUACACAGAGAUAGCAAAAUAAAAUUCAAAAAGUUUCAAUCAACGAAGAAACAAAAUAAUUUAUGAUCAUCACUCACUUGUACAACUAAAAGUUUUGAUCUUUAGGCACAAAAGGAUCAAAAGUUCCAAUCUUUCUUUCAUGGUUCUUUCAAAAACCUCUGCAAGCAUCUAAACCCAAGAUAUUGAGCACAAAACUUCUCCAUUUCUUCACCACCUCUCUCCAUACAAAUCUCCUCCUCCAUCUCCUCCAACACCAUAUCCCAUCCACCAUAAGGGUCCCACUGCCACCCAAAAUAGUCACCACCAUCAGCACCAACUUUUGCUUCACAUAUUGAGUCCAAUAUUUCCUGCAACCCCACAAUCCUACGGCUGACUUUCCUUCUUGCUUCUCUCACCGUUGGAUCAACCCCCGGUACUGAAUCGAGCCUCAGAAGCAAGCCCAUCAAGGCCUCAUUCAUCCCCAGCUUUUCUUUCUCGCUACUUCUUAUUGCAUCCACUGUUUCCUGCCGUUGGAUUUGGUUUUGUAACUGAUCAGCUUCAGAACUAACAGCUGAGAUUUUCUUGUAAAGGGUUCGGAUCAUAUGUGUCCUGUAGCAAGAUUGGAUCUUGGUGGCAGCAGAAGUGGCAGUGCUUGAUUGGGUGGUGGAUUUGGGGGAGGGGGGCUUGACGGGGAUUUCAAUGGUUUUUGUAGGGGUAGUAUGGUCAUUAUGGAAAGAGUAAGUGACUGUUGCGGUGGAGGAAGUGAAGUAGCUGAAAUUGCUGGAUGGGUUCAUUUCCUCAACCUUGAAAGAAAGAAGGAAGGAAGGAAGGAAGAAAAGACGGUCAGGGAAUGUCAGAUGAGAGUGAGAUUUUAUACAGAAGGUUUUGGAAAAUUUUGCAAUAAUGUCAAGGAUUGUUUGUGGGCUAACGUUUUGAUUCUUUAUCUUGAAUGAUCUUGCCGUUUAGCAGGGGACCCAUGAUUUGCUUUUGACAAACGGACAUGCUUUUUGGGCAAAUGACAGUGCUUUUGAUUCUGUGGUUGAUUUCUAUAACGUUUGUGAUGAAAUAGUAAAACUUUAUAUUGAAUUUGAGAUGUACACGACUGAAGUGUUUGGGCAUCACACGCACCCUUGCAAAAAUAAGACCUUUAUAUAAGAAAGAGUGAUGAAGAUUAUGUGUUUUUAUAUGGAAUUUUGUUUUGUGUGUUUACCGGGUAAUCUAAUAUAUUUAUACAUCUUAAUUGCAUGAAAUUUUCUUAUAUAAUGUAGAGUAAUUAUGGAGAAUAAUUAUAUUUUCUCACUUUAUAAAAAAAAAAAAUCUUUUACAUGAUAUUAGAAUAUUGAUAAUCAAAAUGGUCACAAGUUUGAAUAUUAUUAUCAUCAUUCUAAUUAAUAAAUUUAAACAUAAGGUAAUGUAAAUCCAUGUAAGUUUUAAACUCAAAUAGUUUUCACUCGAGAGCGUAUGCUAAAAAAUAAUAUAAAUUAUAUUUUAGAGUCUCAUCUAACAGCUUAAACUAUUGUGUUGAAUUGGUUAUUUGACAUGUUAAAAAACAAUAUAAAUUAUAUCUUGGAACUUCACAUAACAAUUUAAUUUUUUAGGUUGAGAUUGUUCUUUGACAUGAUUUCAAAGUCUUGAUGACCAAAUAAUUAUGAGUUUAAAUUUCACCACUCUUAUUCUAAUUAAUAAAAAUUAAGCACAAGGUAGUGUGAACAUGUGCAAGUUUCAAACCCAUAAAGGUUGACAUGACGUGUUAGAUAACAAUAUAAAUUAUAUUUUGGGACCUCACCUAACAGCUUAAGUUUUUAAGUUGAAAUAGUUCUUUGAUAGUGAAUCUAUAAAAUGAGCUUGUUGAUUGUUAUACUUCAUUGUCCCAUUGGUGAAAAAUGUUGGCACUCACAGGUAUUUGACAAGAAAGGUUAGCGUCAUAUUAACAAGGCGUGUUCCAUACUUACUGUUGGUGAUAGUUAUUAGAGAGAAAACUAAAUGUCGCCCCUGACCUCCAAGAGGUCUUAAUAAUGCAUUGUGGUGUGUGUCAAUACUAAACAUCCUGGGAUGGAUUUGCACAGGAUCGAGAUUCAAUCCUAGUAGUUAGAUCGAGGUCCAAAUACGAGACAAGGAUUUUCAUUUAAGCUUGACAAAACAAACAGGAUGUCCUAAACGGACAACCAUCCCUCUUGUUUGGGCUAUGACCCAAACAAACAGUAACAUCAUCAUGAUCACUCUAAUUAUUUUGUAUAUUAUUAUAUAAAACACUAAAAUGUGUGGUGUUUUCUUUAUAGUAGCUGCACUAUGGACACACAAUCAGUGUAUUGUGGACUCACAAUGCAAUGAGUUUUUUUCAUCAUUUUUUAUUUUAUUUAGUCAUUUUAGAUAAAAAUUUAAGGCUCAUUUAAGUUAAAUUGUUAAGGAAAAACAAAAUUGAAAGACAAAGAACUAGGGUGAAAAAGGUGGGUAAAGUGGUGGAAAUUUCAAAGUUUGCACAUAAAAAAUCACUUUCACCCUUCUACUUUUCCAAUGAUACCUUUAUAGUCCCUCAAGAUUUUAAAAUUUAAUUUUUGCACAAAACUUUAUUUUUAUUAUUUUUAAUUCCUGGUUUGAAAGAUGAGAGAGAAAGAUAUAUUGGAUUCCAGUGAUAAAUAGAAAAAGUUUCAGCUAAUACUGAUUCUAGCAACAAAACAAGGUCGAUCUUGAUGUAUAUGAAUUCCAUUCAAUGAGAAACAUUUUACUUGUAUGUUAUUUUCUCCUUGAAAUGGCCUGAAAAAAUAAAUCUUGAUGUUCACGAGUUGCAUUCAACACGUCAUCCACCUCUAAUAAUUAAAAAUAAAAUAGAGUUAAUGAGUGGGUCAAGCCUAUUUGUAUCGGUCUACAAUUGUUUUUUUUUUUUCAGCCACGUGGAUUGGCCUAUAAGACUAGCCUAGUUACUUUAUUUUUUUCAUUUAAUAUAUUUUUCAUACUUGUUAAGCCUAACCCAAAACAAAUACAGGGAACGGGUUAGGAAGGUCAACUUGGAGUAAUUCGAGCUCAUCAAAAAAAUUAUAUUUUUAAAAUAAAUCAAAAUAGCAUUGUUUUUUAGUUUUUUUAUAGAAAAAUUCAACAAGUUUUGUACUGGGUUUUGAUCGGAUUUUAUUCAAGUCAAAUCGGAUUUUUUAGUGGAUCACAUUGGGUCAACUCCUCCCUUUUUUUAAACCUGAUCUAACCUAGGCUCAGGGUCACCAAGUUGGCCCGGGUUCUUAUAGCGAUAGUAUUUUCAACCCCUUAUACUUAAAACAAUAUUAUUGCAUCCUUUAUUUGGUAUUUAAAUGUCUUUAUAUAUAAUUUGACUUAAAAGGACCUUUUUUUUUAUCAAACUUUUAAAAGAUUAGCCAUGCCUUUUAUUUUAGCCCCGCGAGUCACCCUUGUUUUUUAGUCUCUUUCUUUUUUUUUAAUUCUUUUUGUUGUUUUGUAUAGGAAAAAAAACAACGCACCUAUUAGGGUAUAGUUAAAUGAAAAAAAAAAGUUGUUAGUUCUCGUGUGUUGCAUGACGUAGAUAAUGAAUUUGCCAAGUUUACUGAGGGUUAAUUUGAGUAUUGUAACUUUUUUUAAUUUAAUAGUUGUAGAUUUAUCGUGAUCUCAAAUAGAUGCUCUAAUAUUUAGUUGGUUCUUAAUUUUACAAGUAUUUAUUUUUCUUAUCAUAUAAUUAAGUAAAAGAUUAUAUAAAAAAUUAUUAAAUCUAAUUGAGUCCAUGAUCUAAGACACAUCUUUGGUUAAUUAAAUUUGAUUGGUUAGAAAUUAGGCUUAAUAAUUUAUUUUAAGUACACAAAUAAUUCUUAAUUUAUUUAAUUAAAACUAUGUAUGAACUUUUAAAUUUAUGAUUAAGAUUUUUUUAUGUAAAAAACAUGCAUGUUAAUGUUAUUGAAAAAUAGUAAUAAUUGCAUUAGUAAGAUUUGUUUAUUCAUUAUAUAAGCUUCAAAUUUAAUACAUGAGAGAUUCUUUGAAGGAGUGAGUUCAAUAACAGGAUGUUCUUAAAAUAUUGUUAACUUUGAAAUCUUUAAUUCAUGGAAGUUGAAUUUUGAUGAUCUGGUUCUAUGUCCGUUAUAGAUUUUCAAAUUACAGCGCCUUUUUUCGCCAACAUUAUCCUCAAAGGUUGCUCAGAAACAUGUGGGGAUAAAAAAUCUUUGGUCAGAUUCAACAUGGUGCAUUGUGUUCUUCAGGCCGAUCGAGGUAUACUUGGAAGCAUGAAAAUAGACAGAAAUGGAGUCGAAGCUCAAUCCAAGACAGCCUUAAAUGGUGUAAGAAUCUGCGAAAAGAACUCAAAAUCAAACCCCAAUUCUUAGUGCAUUGAAACCCAAGCUCUGAUUUACCAGAGAAGGGUUAGAAACAAACAGGCACAAGAUCCAGAUUCUAUUACACCUGGGGGUUGAAUAAAUUACAGAUUUCACUGGAUUCAACUACUGGAUACACAAGGUCACGAUAAGAGGUGUCUUUGGAUCUGUUCGUACAUCAACGAAAAACUUAAAACGUAUCUCGACAUCGAUUUUGCUGCAUUAAACGUAUACACAAUGAACAAUAUGCUUCUUCAACAAUCAACAGCUCUACUCGAGUAAGGGAUUUAUUGGAUUAUCGCACAGCCGGACAUCGGCUGAUGUAGGCUCAGAGCGCAAUCCAACAUUAAGGUGACGGGAGGAUUCUUCCGGCGAGAGCAAGUGCCAAACCCAACACCGUAACCAUCUCCCUGCAACGGAUUAAAUUUCAAGUAGUGUUUUGCAUUUCACGCGAAACAGAGGAAGGAAAUGCACGAGGAAAGAACCUUGGAUCAUCUCCAUUUAGUGACAGUGGCUUUUGCCCAUUCCAUGUUAGCUCUAACAGGCAUCCACAAGAUAGCUCCUGCUUGACAAUACAAGGGGUUGCUGUUGUUCAGUAGAAGAUGAUGGAAGGAAAGACAAACUGGAAUUCCAGGCAUAGAUCUGAUCGAAGCCUCACAGGUGCGCUGAUUGUUCCAGCUCCAAGUAGAUCAGAUGGUGUGUAUGCUGUUGAGUCACUGGUCCAAUAUCUGUUAAGCAAAUAAGAAUUCUGAGAAUAUGGUUGCUUAAAUAAUAUGAUUUCUUACGUGGAUGGAAAAAUCUAUAUAAUAAUCCGUAACUUCAACUCUUUGGGCACAGCUCAGCCUGCUUGGUUUGGUUAAUGUCUUAAAAUAAAAAAGAAAUUGAUAUAAAAAAACAUAAAAAAAAUUAUUUGGUUAUAAAGAUGGGAUAGAGAUUAAAAAAAAACAAAGAAAACACAUUAAUAUAUAUAUAUAUAUAUAUAUAUAUAUAUAUAUAUAUAUUAACAUUUUUAAAUUAAAAUUAUGUUAUUUCAAAACAAAAAAUAUAUAAAGAUAUAUCUUUUUAUUUCAGCUAGUUAAUUUAUUAAUUAAUGAGAAAGAUAUUUGUCUUACAAUAAAAAAAAAUAUACAAAAAAGCUAAACAUAAAUUGAGGGGGAAUAGAGAGAAAUUAUAUAUAACAAUUUUGAAAUAAUUUUUUUUAAAAAAUAAUAUAUAUUUUUUUCCAAUUAUCUUUAUCUAUUCUAUUAUGAUACAGUACUCAAACUUCUGAAUAUUUAAUAUUGAGUUAUAUGAUAUUUUUUAAAAAUAUUUUUUAUUUUGAAAUAUAUUAAAAUAUUUUUUUGAUAUUUUUAAUACUUACAUAAUAAAAUAAUAAUUAUUUACUUUUUUAAACUAAAUAUAUUUUUAAAAUACAGUUUCAAAAUAUGAAAGUGAUGAUAUAAAAAUGUAUUUAAGAUUAUUGUAAAUUUUGCUUUUCACAGUACUAUCUAUUUAAAAAUAAAUUAAAACAUAUAUUUUUAAUUUUUUUCAUAUCCAAAUAUUAAAAUAAUUUAAAUACAUAAAACAAAUAAUUUAAAAAAUAGCUGAAUAAAAAAAACAAUUAUCCCCACGUUAAGAAAGUGCUGCACGGUAAAAGUUAGUACGGCGGAUAAAAAACAAGCGACGCCGUUUCUGACUCCUCUCUCUAUAAAUAAACCUUCUGUUUGACCUCAUUCAUUCUCUCUUCGAAGUGCAAAAUCACAAAAUCCUAAAAUCCAAAAGCAAAAAUAAAAUAAAAUCAACGGAUUAGUAAUUAAUUAACUCAAUAUUUUAAAAAAAAUAAAUAAAUUGAAAAGCUUGUAUAAAUCCUAAUCUUUCUCGAAGGAUUAGUCUGCGAAAUGUCGUUCGAUCUUCUGUUAAAGCCGUCGUGUAGCGGCUGCGGCAGCACCACAGAUUUGUACGGAAGCAAUUGCAAGCAUAUGACGCUUUGCUUGAAUUGCGGCAAAACAAUGGCGGAGAAUCGCGGCAAAUGCUUCGAUUGUGGCACUACUGUCAGUCGCUUGAUUCGAGUACAGUAUCUGUCUCUAUUUGAUUUUGUUUAUUUUUCGGAUUUUUUUUCAUCAUUUUUUCGAAUAUUUUUUGGUGAUUUUUAUGAGUGAAAUUUGAUUUUUUUUCCCCGAUUUUUUAUGAUUUCUCGGGUGAUUAUUAGGAGUAUAAUGUUAGGGCGAGUACGAGUAGCGACAAGAAUUAUUUUAUAGGAAGAUUCGUGACAGGAUUGCCGAGUUUUUCCAAGAAAAAAAAUGCGGAAAAUAAAUGGUCUUUGCACAAAGAAGGAAUCCUUGGUCGUCAGAUUACUGAUGCUUUGAGGGUAAUAAUGAUUUUUUUAUACAUAAUUUUAGUGUUUUAUUUUUUUAUUUUUUUAUUAAGUAUAGAGUAUUUAGGUUUGUAAUUGAGGAUUUUGGAUUGUGUAGGAGAAGUUUAAGAAUAAGCCUUGGCUAUUGGAGGAUGAGACUGGGCAGUCUCAGUAUCAGGGUCAUCUUGAAGGGUCGCAAUCGGCGACUUAUUAUCUGUUGAUGAUGACUGGGAAAGAGUUUGUUGCUAUUCCUGCUGGUUCAUGGUAUGUGUGAUUGUUAUUUUUAAUGACUUUGGUGUUUGUGGUUCCUCACUUGAGGUAGGGUGGUUGUAAAAUGUAUGAAUUUGGUGCUUGUGAUUGAUGUGGUAAUGAUGAUAUGUGGAAUAGGUACAACUUUAACAAGGUAGCGCAUUAUAAGCAACUUACGUUGGAGGAAGCAGAGGAGAAGAUGAAGAAUAGGAGGAAGACUGCGGAUGGGUAUGAAAGGUGGAUGAUGAAAGCUGCAAAUAAUGGAGCUGCUGCAUUUGGUGAGGUGGAGAAGGUAGAUGAUAAGGAGGGUGUUUCAGCUGGCGGGAGAGGUGGGCGUCGGAAAGCAAGUGGUGAUGAUGAUGAGGGAAAUGUGUCUGACAGGGGAGAGGAAGAUGAAGAGGAGGAGGCAGGAAGGAAGAGUAGACUCGGACUCAAUAAACAGGGUGGUGAUGAUGAUGAAGAAGGUCCAAGAGGAGGUGAUCUUGAUAUGGAUGAUGAUGAUAUUGAGAAGGGUGAGUGUUUUUCCUCAAACGCCAUGUGGGUGCCAAUUUCUUGUAUAAAUGCUUAAAUGAUUUCCUUAUGUUCUUUUAAUUGCUGGUUUUUUUUUUUAAAUGUCUGCUAGUCUUUUUUUCUGCCUUCUUGAAAUCAAUACUAUCUUCUUUCUGAUGCACAUUAAACAUGAUACAUUGCUUUUUUGUUCUUUUUUCAUGGGCGUGCUACGAGCUUCAACUGUGUUGAAUUUUACACUGAUUUUUUUUUUGUAAACCAUACAUGGCAAUUUAGGUUUUCUAGUAAUUCCUACCUCAGGCACAUGUAUUUUAUGGUCUUAGGUGAUGAUUGGGAGCAUGAAGAAAUUUUCACCGAUGAUGAUGAAGCUGUCGCCAUUGAUCCUGAGGAACGGGAGGAUUUGGCCCCAGAAGUUCCUGCUCCUCCCGAAAUCAAGCAGGUCUGUAUUAGCAAACAAUCUUGGUGCUAAUCCAAACUACUUGCUUUUGUGCCUCAACUUAUAUAUGUUCUUUGGGCAUGUUGGCAUAUUGCUAUUUGCUUGGUGUGUUAUAUAUGUAUUCAUGUAAUGCUGGUUAGGCUAGUUUGGUUCUUCUGAGAGUAGUUUGAAAAUGUGGAGAUUUUAGUCAGAACUUUUUGUAAUGUUGACUGAUAUAUGAAAUGGAAUUUUAAUUUUGGAGCACAAUUGAUAAAGGGGGACAUUAUUAUUGAGAAGCACACUGGGUUUUUUAUUUUUAAUGUAAUGCUGAUAAUAACAGUAAGGUAUUUGCAUGUUCUUGCAGGAUGAAGAUGAUGAGGAUGAGGAGAAUGAGGAGGGAGGACUGAGUAAAUCUGGGAAAGAGUUGAAGAAGCUACUAGGGAAAGCAAAUGGUCUAAACGAGUCAGAUGUAGAAGAUGACGAUGACGACGAGGAUGUGAGUUUUUGUGAUGGCUGAUUGUAUGCAUGUUUAAUUGGCAACCUAAGAGCAUUUUCAACAUUGCUUUGCUGUGCUUGUUUUCUAUUUGCUUUUAUUUUUUGCUUCUAUUUUCCUGGUCCAAUAUGAAAGUGCAUUGAGCGAUCAGGGGUGGAAAUUAAUUUUUUUUAAUUCUGAGAUGUCAAUCAACUUAUAUGAUGCCUGAUUUGACAUAUUAUUUUGUAAAGCUUUCUUUGGUAUUCUUGUUAAUUUUUGUAUCUUCUCUCACUUACAGUGCUCUUGUUUGGUCUUAUCAGAUGGAUGAUGAUAUUUCUCCGGUUCUGGCUCCAAAGCAGAAGGAUGUUGUGCCGAAGGAGGAAGCUGCUGACAUUAGUCCUGCAAAACCAACACCUUCAGGUUCUGCUAAGGGAACCCCUUCUACCUCCAAGUCUGCCAAGGGGAAAAGAAAAUUGAAUGGUGAAGAUGCAAAAUCUUCCAAUGGUGCACCUGUGAAGAAGGUGAAGACAGAAAAUGUAAGAUGUUUUUUCAAAUAUACAUCUAAAACAGUGCGCUAUGCUAUCAAAUGUCUGUAAUAACCAAUCUUCCUAUCAACUUUAAUGUUCUCUUAAAGCAGGAAGUAAAACCUGCCGUGAAAGAAGAAAGCUCGCCUGCUACUAAAGGUACUGCAACUCCUAAAGUAACACCGCCAUCAUCAAAAACAGGGUCAACAUCAGGUUCUACUGGUCCUGUCACUGAAGAAGAGAUCAGGGCUGUUUUGUUGCAAAAUGGGCCUGUUACCACACAGGAUCUGGUUGCUAGGUUUAAAUCACGACUAAGGACUCCUGAGGUAUGCUCUUCUUUAGCAUUGUGCAAGCUUGCUUCAUAUUGCCUGCCACUCAAAACUGACCUGUUUGCUGUGCUGUUGCAAGAUUUUCUAUGGAAGCUAUGUUUUCAGCUAGUACCAUGCAUUUUUAUUUAUUUAUUUUUUCUAAAACCGGUUUAACUUUAGAUCAAAUUACAGUUACCCUUAGUUUUUAUGCUUAUGAUUUGGUAAUUAUGCUAUCCAGUGCUUCACUGCUGAUUACUCUUUAGGAUUAUCAGUCCGGUUAUGCAUGCUCUUAAGAAUUUGUGUUGUUCAUGAUGGGAUAAACACAAUUUCAGGUUGGAAAACAUGUGCUUAGAAAACUGUUCUAGAAUGUCUGAAUCUCAUGCCAGGUGAUUUUUCUUAUCAUUAAGGGGUGUGGGUGGCUAAGUUUUUGCAUAGAACAUGGGGCUUCUACCAGUUCAACCAAGGUUGGGUUGGUGGCACAGGAUAAUAAUAUAGAUAGGAUGGACUGAAGAUGUAUCUCCUUGUUGCUUACUAUAUUCAUUCAUUCUACUGAACGAGAAUUUCUGCUUCCUCCUUUGGAAGAACAAUAAAGUAGCAUCACCUGAAAAGUUUUGGAUGCUUUCAGUUCCCUCUCUCCUCUCUGUUUUCUGACUGGUGGAAGUUAAUUGGUGCAGGACAAGAAAGCUUUUGCAGAUAUUCUGAGGAGAAUUUCUAAGAUUCAAAAGACCAGUGGAUCUAACUAUGUUGUGCUGAGGGACAAAUGAUAGCUUUCUCCGUGUUCCCAGAAUUUCACUUGCUCAGAUUAGCCCAUGAAACCGCUAACUAUCCUGUAAGUCUAUAACUGUGCUUGCUAAAAAAGAAAAUAAAAGGAGAAGGAAAAGAAUCCCUUUAGCCUUCUGUAACUAAUAUCCUUGUAAGCUGCAGCAAAUUUAAUGAUGAAAUUGUAAAAUGUUAACUGUAGUAAAAUGUACUUGUAAAAUGUAGUGUACACUGACUGUGUAUUUUGUUUGGAGGCUGCUAGAUGUGUACUCAUUAACUCAACAAUAUGCUAGAAACUGAUGCAUCCUGGUCUCAAUUGAUGUGUUCCUAAUUUCAAGCAAAUGAUUUUCCUUAGACUUGAAUGGUAGCAAUCUUGCAUGGUGUGUCCAAACCCUACAUCUGCUAUGGCUUGUUUCCAAACCAUGCCUUGAUUUGAUUUUUUUUGAGUUGAUGCUUGAUGCUGAUGGACGGUAGUGAAGAGCUUGGAGCACUGGUUCUGUUUGUGUACAUAUGAGCAAAGCACCCAUCAGGCCUUUAAAGGCAACCCCAGACCAAAACCUACACUAGGAACUAUAAAAAUGGCUGCUCUAGUAUAAUCUAGCAGUGCUAAUUAAACAUUAUUCGUCCAAUAAUUUUCUGAAAAAUUUCAUCCGUUGAAAUGACAGGCUUCCAUUGGUGGGUGUUACAAGUCAAAUGAUUGAAAUUCUGGUAACAUUAGCAUCAUUCUAAUUUGCUAAUAUUUUUAGAUAAUAGUUGUUAGACUCCACUACCUAAGGCCCGGAUCAUUAAUUUGCUAGUUUGUGGGUUAAAUCCGAUGAUUAUUUGAGUUUUUUUUUUUUAAUGAUAAUAUGUUUUGGAAAAAAAUUGUUUUGAUUUUUUAAUUAAUGAAAUGAUAUUGUUUGAACAAAAGAGUUUUAAAACGACUUCAUUUUAGAUGAAUUUAAAAAUCGUUUGAGUCAUGUUACUGGUUGACAUAAAACAAACUCGAUUCGAGCUAGGCUUAGAGUUAUCGAGUUGAUAAUCGAAUUGUGUUUAAUGUCUUUUCAAGGUGUAUCUAAAUUAAAAUUUUAAUAUUUUUCAAUCUAAAUACAUUAUUUUUAAAAGCACUUUCAUCCUCUCAUGUGUAAGAAGGUUGGUUAAGGAUUAAAGGGAGAAGAAGGGUGCUUUCAUUAGUAUAGAACAUUAAAUCAAACGACCAGGAAUAAUAAUAAUAAAAAAAAAAACUUUAUGGACAUAUUCCUUGCAAAAACCAAAGAAUACAUAGGUCCAAAUUAACAUAAUUUUUGUAAGUUUUCCAAGUUUUUGCUGCCAUAAAAAUCACUACUAUAAAAUCCAAAAACAAGAAGCAUACAAAAGCUAGGAAAAUCCAAUCUAAAUGCCCAUAUAGGACAACCAAAAUCCAGCCAUCAAUAAAGCAAAGCUUGCACCGAAGUGGGAUGGAGCUGAACUUUCUGGUGGGGCAGCAAUAGCCUUAUCAGAGCCUUCUGAUGCGACUUGUGCGGUGGUGGUAUCAGUUCUGGCUUCAGGAACCACCACCUCUACAUGUAAUUUCAGGCCAUUCUUGCACUUGUCAGAACUGCUGCUUGUGAAGUAACGGACCCCUUCUCCAUCAAGAGUGAUGCCAUCACUGUCAUCAGUGUACAUUCUGAUUGGAUUGCUCACAUCACACGUUAGGUAUUCUUCCUUUGUCUCUACCUCAGCUAUCCUACCCUGUGCUGCAGAGUGGGUGAACCCUGAUCUCCCCACAGGUCAAAUAUAUUAUUACUAGCUCAUCUCACUUGUCCUAAUACAUUCCCAAAAUCACUCUACCGACUAAAAAUUAAAAGCUGAAUUACUUGUAUUGAUUAAAAAAAAAAGCUUCAAGUCCCGGAUUUAUAAUCCUUUAAAUCCAAAUACUCUAAAAACUAAAUUUCAAUUACACGAAUCCACUGCCAAACAUACCCUUGUUAAUAAAUAUUAAGACAUUUGGGAAUUCCAAUAUUGAAAAGAAAAGGAAAAAACUAAAUGGAGGAAUAACCAUUAAUUCAACUCUGAAAAAUAUUGAGAGAGAGAGAGGGCUUACAAAUUUUAUCUCCAACUCUGAAAGUUCUAGCAGAGGACCAAGAACCAAUAUCAGAAUAAGGGUGCCAUCCACGAUCCCCUCCAACUACAUGGUGCACCUGGGCUCCAUCAUUAAGGCUCACUAGGACUAGAACCAGAACCAGAACCAUCAAUAUCUUCUUGGUCAUUGCCAUUUUCACAGCACAACAAACUUUCUUCUCCUAGAAGGAAAGGGGAAAAAAAAGUUAGAGUCAGAAGACUGGUUGCUAAGAGUGAAAGAGAGCGUGUCCUUUCAAUGAUAUUGCACUAAAGAAGAGGGUAGAGCCCACUUUUAUUAAACUAGCCCGGCUCAUGAGUUGGCAUGAGUCACGGUUAACACCGGAACUAGCCAGGACCUGGUUUAAAUCCGGUCAUUAAUCUGUGACUUGAUCGAGUUCUCGUCAGAACUCAUUGAUUUUUUGUAAGAAAAAUUAAUAACAACAUUGUCUUUAUGGAUAAACCAACCCGUGACUGCUGAGUCUGGGUCAGGUUUAUAGAUAUGGUGGAGCCUAGAGGGUUUGGUUUCCUUUCCUUAGCAGCUUCCUUUCAAAAGCUUACAUAAGAGCAAAGAAUCGUAGGUGGCUUGGCUGUAGUUUGCUAGAGCCUGUGAAUGUGUGUCCACAGAGAUAGAGUACUCCUUUGUUUCCAUACUUUUUUAUUUUUAUUUUUUUUAUUUCGGUAAUUGUGAAUCGUUCGGACCAAUUUAUAUAUAUAGAUUAAUUCUUUGAUGUUCUAAAGUUAAUAAUUAUAUAAGUUUUAGUGAUUAUGAGAUUUGUGAAACUUAAAUUAAUAAUUUCUAGAAAAUAAAUUCAGAACCUAACCACUUAAAUUUUGAUCUAUAAAAUUGUUUUUUACUCUUUAAAAAAUUAAAAUUUGUAUUUUUUCUAUAAAAAAUUUUAAUUUCAGAAUAAUAUUGAUUAACAUAGAUCCUAUAUAUAUAUUUUGAAAAUCAACCACAACCACACUUCCAAACAGGUUUUAUUAAUAUAAGGUAUGUUUAGAAGUGUGGUUGUGAAUAUUUUUCAAAGUUUUUUUCAUUUUGAAAUGCAUCAAAAUGAUAUUUUUUUAUUUUUUUAAAAUUAUUUUUGAGAUCAGCGCAUCAAAACGAUCCAAAAUAUAUAUAAAAAUUAAUUUUUAGUAAGAAAAAAAAUUAAAUUUGUAUAUAUACUGGAAAAAAAAAUAUAGGAGGUAAUUAAUUGCGAAGUCAUGUAAAUGGUACUGGUGUAAUGUAAAUUGUAAUUGCUUUUCACUGAAGCAAUACCAGACGAAAUGUGGAAGAAAUUUAUGAUGAUAACGACUAGAACUCUCUUAUAACAUGAAAAUGAUAUGAUAUAAUUUAUGACGCAUUUUAUACAUUAAUUAUCACAUUUGUUUUUGAAUGAAAAGAGAAAUAUCAAACUAAUACUAGAAAAUAAAAUACUAUACAGCAUGAAUUCCAAGAAUAUAAUUCAACAUGAUAUUAUCGCUGUUGAAAUUUUUAUUUAAAACACGGUUAAUAAAUAUAUUUAAUAUUAAAUUAAAAAUGAGGUUAAUUUACUUUUUUAGAUUAAAACUUGGUUAAAAUUUAAUCUUUAAAUUAUAAGUAAAUAAAAAAUUAAUCUCAAAUAAAUUUUAGUUGAUAUAUUUUGGGAAAACUCAUAACCUUUUAAAAGCUCUAUCUCACAAAAAAAUAAAUUUUCUAGUGAUUUAUAUACACUGAGAAUAUAUAAAGUUUAAAUUAGAUCCAAAAUACACCCUAGUUUUUAGAAAAAAGAGAAUUUAAGCAAAAUGAAUUUUAGAUUUAAACUCACAUGCAUGCAACUUUGCUCGGACAUGAAUUUGGGUUUUAUUUUAUAAUAUUGGUUUGAUAUUUUUAUUUUUGUUUUAAAAAAUGUGAUAAUUAAUGUUUAAAUUUUGUUAGCCUAACUCAUGAAUGAUAUAAUGUGAUCAGUCUACUUCUAGAAGAGUUUUCUUUAAAUUUUAACAGUUUUCUCAACUCAAAAACAUCUAAUUUAAAAUCAAAAUGUUCAAGUUUGAUUCUAAUUUUAUGUGGAUAAUCAAAAUUGAUAAUAAAAAUAAUUUAUUCCAUAAAUCACCAUGUGGUUGUGUAUUCAUCCGAUAAGAACUACAGUUUCUAUAAUUUUUUGAGCGUGUAAUAAAAUUAGAUAAAAUAUUAUCAGGUAUAAAAUUGAUAUUACAGUGCGAGUGAAUUUAAUUCACUCUAUACUAGUUUUUCGGGAAAAAAAAAUAUUGUUUAUAUCAUAGUGCGAGUGAAUUUAAUUCACUCUAAACUAGUUUUUUUUUUUUAAAAAAAAAAACUGUUAAAAAAAUGAACACACUGAAAAAAAAAAAACUAAAACUAUUCACGUGAACAGUGCAAAUGAAUUGCACUGUUCAUUAAGUGAACAGUGCAAUUUACUCGGGAACAGUGCGAGUGGAUUGCACUGUUCAUUGUUUUAAGUGAACAGUGCAAUUCUCUUGCACUGCUCACAUGAACCGUGUAUCAACGUACACUGUUCAUACUAAUUGCAAUGUUCAAUGAACAGUGCAAUUAACAUAAACAGUGCGCGAAAAGCAAGAAUUCCUUGCUUUUCUUUCCCUGCGUUUCAGACGUAAAAGUAACGUGGGACCCAUGAAUAAAAAAUCUUGUUUUAAUAUUUACCAAACGGCUAAAAUCUGUGGUUUAAUUAAAACACAGCCGCAGCCGCGUGAACAAAUCUUGGAUGCAAGCAAUGGUGUAAAUUCUCAGUGAAUCUUUUCCGAGAGCUCCUCCAAAGUCUCAAUCUUGUUUCCAUGCAAGGAGGUUUCCAAGAAACAUGUUUUUGUUGGUUUUCUGUGGAGAAAACAGAGUGGGAAAUUCAUUUAAGAUAAGAUAGACAAUAUCUUAUAAGCAAGUUCCAUAGGAUGCUUUUGUUUUUUACUUCACAUGCCAACAGGAAGAAGCUUACCAAGUCCAAGACUAGGUUUUAUUAUUUCCAUUAUUUUCAUAUCUACAAGCAACACUGAUUUUUUCGGAAUAAUCCAAGAAAACUACCUCAAUCCUGCACCAAACCUUACAAUGGAACUUGUUUAUCAAGCUCAAAUCAAAUGCUACUCGCGGAAUUCUGUUUGAAGUUGAAACAAAAGAAAAUACUGUCAAUUUUAAUGGAGUAGUCCAAUCUCCAUGGCAGAUUUAUGAUAAGGGGUUUGAACUUAGAUUCAUUGGAUCAAUUCAUGAAUUUCGUCUUUUUUCUCCAAACAUUUCUUUCUCAAAAAAUUUAUGGAGCUCCUCGUAACAUUUUCUUCCAUUCGAAGAUAAUGUUAAAGGGGAAAUACAGUAUUACAAUUUACACUAUUUAAAUGACAUAGAUAAAACAGGAAAGAAACAUCACAAACAAUAUCCAAGAUAAUCAAGAACAAGAAGCACCUGAAAAUAUACAUUACAAAGAGCAAUCUUGGUCACUCUCCAAUGAGUUCUGUGGAGAGUAAAAUAUGAUGAUAUCAGCCUCUUUAGGAAGUUUAAAGCUCACUCUCUUCUGUGACUUCCCACUUUGGGUUCUGCUAAUUGAACUCGCUACUGAAGAGGCACUGACAUAGUCUUCUUUAUCAUCUACUUGAUCAAGCCCCAAUAGUCUGCCCGUGGAAAAACUCACUCUUGCCUUAGUUGAAAUACAUGGGUGUACCCUUUUGGAGGACCCAUGUUUGAGAACACAAAGCUCUCCUCCUCUCAAUUGUUCUGCCUUCAAGCUAGGAGAGGUUAAAAGCCAGUCCUGUAGAGUCAACUUGCUCACUGUUGUACCCUUCUUCUCUUCUCGGAGCACAUGCCUUUUGUUCUGGAUCUUCUUCACUUUCAAGCAUUCUGGCUUCAAUAAUUCAACAAAGCGUGAUUCACGACCAUAGGAGCGGACUCCUUCUGGCUUCUGCUCGGAAGUUGAGAGCUUGCUCACUUUACAUCCCAUUGGAUUCUGCCAAAAGAAUCAGCAAUGUAAUACAUAAACGUGGAUGGAUAAGAUGGAGAAGGGCUUAAAUCAUUGUGUCUGAGCAAUGUAUAGGGGAAACCGCGACGGAGAGGCUGAGAAAAAGGUGUUUGUAAGAACUAUGUUGCCUUAGUAAUCCCCAUUAGGUUAAGUAUUAAUUUGUACUAAAUCUUUCAAUAUAAUUAAGUUCGCAUCAGUCAUGACGAUUGGCCAAUGCAAUCCUCACAUAUUAUUUGUUUUGUGCUAGCUACCAUUAUCUCAGUGUCCAUGUCAGUUUCUUGGCUUUUAAUCUUCAUAUUGAUCAGUUUGACAGACAAUGGUGAUAAACUCAAAGCAAUUCGUUACAAACAAUAUAUUCGGCUAAGUGAAGUUCAUUUUCCAAUUUGUGGAAUCAAGGAAGUUGGUUGUCUUUGCAUGAGGGAAUAACUUUUCACUUCUUGUUUGAUUGUUGAGCUUGGUUUAGAUUCAUUGUCAUUUACGACAACAGUAAAUUGUGCAAAACUAUGUUUGACUUGGAAUCUAGUAAAUUUAACGGCAACAUUUGUAAUUGGCUGGAGCUAGAUUCUUAGGACAGGCUGGUUCCAGGAGGGAUAUGAAGCUGCAAUAUGUCAGUGUGGAGGAAAAAUCAGACUAAGCAGGGCAGCCUGCAAGAAGCAGCAGAAAGCAAAACAAAGUGCACAGCAACAUGGUCUUUUAGUUCACAUCUCAGCCUACAAUAAGAUGGCAGAAAUUAUCAGUUUCAGGGAAGACAAGUUUCUGUUUAGCGACUGUAAUAGAAAGACAUGAUACUAUUGAUCAGUGUUGUGUAAGAAACUGGAUGUCAGCUUUCACUGUAAAUCUCUUGUUGCUAUCAGUCAGUCAAGGACUCAUGGUUAUUCUUUGGACAUGCCAAUCUGUAUCUUCAUGUUUUAGGCAGGCAAACCCUAGAAAAAGAAAUUAAUUUGUAGUCUGCUAUUAGAUUCAAGGCAAAGAUUAUAAUUAUAAACAUGGAGCAGAUUCCCUUGUUACUUGAGCCAAAAUACCUCAAGGGUUUAUUAUGAGAUUUCAAGUUCAGUCAUAUUCUAUUGCAUGGCACAUCACUUGUUAUUUGUGUAUCAGAAUCGAAAUUGAUAUAUUUUCUGGCAUGCUUGAACCUUAGGGCUUGCAGCUCUUUCACCGAUCAUAUUGCUGGAUGAUACGUUUAGAACAAUUAACAAGAAAUCGAUUAUUAUAAGAACAGUUUGUGGAAAAUAUCACUUUAAAGAAUCCACCCUAGUUAUAAUACCCAAUACGAGAGUCAACCCGGCUAAGUUAUGGAUUAGAGAUGUUAACCUACCUACCUGCAAGUUAGCUUAUUAACCAAGCUAUGAUUUUUUUAAAAAAGAGCUCCCCAAACGAAGUUGUUUCAAGUUUUCUAUUUUUUUUUAAAAAAAAACUGAAACAUCAUUUUAAUGAAAAAACCCAGUUCAAAGUCUAGACCGAACUAGGUUUUAUAACACUGCUGACAGCAGUGAACUCUUCCCAUUUUGCUCGAAUUUUCGAAUGUGCCGAAACCUAAAAGGAGAGACAUUUCCUACAGCACUCCGCAAAACUGCCAAGACAUAGAUUUGCGUCAUGUACAAAGGCCCAUCUAGACUUCACGAGAGUCUAAAAUUUAGUUGGAAGUGUAUAUUUUUGCCCUAAAAUCACAAAACAGUAGUGAUUAUGUAAUAAUUUCAACACAAGACAUGAUGGCGUCUAAGGGUAAAUUCAGAUCAACCAUCAUAAAUAUCUCAUAGUACUGUAAUUCUAAUCACGCACAUGAUUUUGGAAGUCUCAUUUGCAUGAAGCAUUCUGAGAAUAGAAAGAUACUCCAAGCAUGAAAUUUAUCUAGAGCAGUAAUGUACUUGAAGGAGAUACAAAAGAGGUCGAAUCAGGAAGUCUCAGCAGCUGGUUGGGUAACUCCAAACUUCACCAACAGCUUGCUUAGAGCAUUGGGUGGGCAAAUUUGGUAUUUGACAUUCCCAGAAGGAGAAAGGAAGACCUCAGCCAGUUCAAGCUUCUCUGAAGUAAGACUUGUACUAUCCAUAGUUUUGCUGAGCACCUUCAAAGCAAGCUGGACAGCUUCUUCCCUUGUGAUUUCAUCCCUGUAAUCCUGCUUUAACAUGGAUUGUGCAGCCUGGUUGUUUGCACCAAUUGCUGCAGCUUUCCAGCCAGCAUAAUUUCCACUAGGAUCGCUCAUGUAAAGUUGGAAACCAUAAUUUUUGUCCCAUCCUGCAAACAGAAACGAGACACCAAAGGGCCGAAGACCACCAAACUGUGUGUACCCUUGCUUGGUGUCACAAAGGGAUUGAACUAACUGCUCUACAGGCAUUGGCUCUUGGUAUGCAAAGGUGUAGCGUUGUGCUUGGAUCCUUGCAGUGUUGAUUAGGAUGUUGGCAUCAGACAUAAUUCCAGCCACUGCAACAGCCACAUGAUCAUCAAUCUUGUACAUCUUCUCAGUGGAAGUUGACGUUUGCAAUAGCUUGGAUGUAACCUUCUUUUCACCAACCAAGACAACCCCAUCUUUGGAUAAUAUUCCUAUUGCAGACCCAGCAUUUCCAAUGGCUUCCAUAGCAUACUCAACUUGGUACAGACGUCCUUCAGGGGAGAAGAUUGUUGUGCGGCUAUCAUAUCUCCGAGACAUUUUUAUUUAUACUGAAAGAAGAUAAUAAGCAAAAGCAACAAAAAGAACAAAAAUAAGUUCUUAACCUUGCGCCCCUUUUCACUCGAUUAACUAUAUAGGAAAGGCCAGAAAGCAGGGUUGGGGAGUCCAUGGUAAAAGAGUGAAAGACUCACAUGAAGAUCAUUCAAUUGCAAAUAAAUGAAAGCAUGCAACACAUUAGAGAAAGCAGAAAUUGAGCAUGUGUUGAAAAUAAAUAAAUUAGAGCAACUCUUAGAGAACAGCAUAGCCAUUAUAAUCAGCUUGGACGUGAGAACUUGACACGAUUAGAAAACAUCUCAGAAACAACUAGAGCUUCCAGAACCACGAACAAGUCAAACAGUGUGGAAAUUUCCAUAAACUGAAAAGGUAGAAUAUAGGCUUUGCAUGCUGUAAAUUGACAAUAUUUUAAAUUCUUCAAUUCUUUUGAUUGAUUAACCAAAAAAUUUAGGAGAUGCAAUCAUUGUGCCAUUUUCCCAAUUCAGCCCCUUUUCAUGCUCAUCCAUUUUCAAAUAAAACAUGCCUCAUGGAAACAGCAUACAUAUUUUCUGUUCCAAAGAGCCAAAUGCAAACAUAGGAGAACAUGUAUCGCAUACAUAUGCAAGAAAACACAUGCAUGGAGUUUGUAAAGGAGGUGCAUACACUUAAGUUUCUUAAAGAAGAGGCCAUUAGGAAACUACAUUUGCAAACCCUAGAGCUCACAAUAGAAGUUGCAAAGGCAGGCAACUGAAAGUUGUUUAAAUUAGAAACACACAAGGACUGAAUAUAAGAAAAUAAAAUCUUGCAACUGUAAUUUAAGUAAUGCCGUCCCUCUGAUUAAGUCUAACCUUGACCAUUAAAAAAAAACCUAAGAAAGACAAUGAAAAUUCUAACUAAGAAAUUAGUAUGCUUUACUAAAUAGUUACUUAAGCACAGUUCUGUAACAAUAACCCAUAUAUCAAACUAGGUUUUCCUUGUUUACCAUCCUUUAAUUCAUUAUACCUGUCAAGAAUAUCACAAAGGACAUAUAGCAAAUCAUAUUACAAAAACAAUCGAAAAUCAGUCAUUUCCAGCAAAUAAACAACUACAUAGUUCCAUAGUUGCUCUAUUUCAUCUAGCAGUUCAAUCAAGGAUCACUAACAAAGUUGCCAAACUAAAAUCAAAAUCUGUUUCGCCAAACACAACCCAUUCUAUGUCUUUUUAGUACACAAUCAACAAUAUUGUUCUAUCUUUCGCGCUUCCAACAAAACAAUUUGAUCCCUUAAAACUCUACAAACUACCAUGGACACACACAAAACAACACUAACCCAGGUUCCAAUUCCAGAGUUCAGCUUCUAAAAAACACAUCAAACCCAACUAGGUCUAUUUCCACUCCGAAAUUCAAUGCACAUUGUAUAGUUAAUUUGCCAAACUAUAUUAGAAUCUGUUUCUAGGAAACACCCCAUCAUCCCAUUCUCUGUCCUUCCAGUGAGUGCACCAUCAACAAUUCUCUCUCUUUCGGUCUCCCAUAACAAAACAAAUUGAUCCCUGAAAACCCUACAAACUACAAUUAACACCAAAAAAAAAAAAACUAUCCCAGAGUCCAAUUCAAAGUCCAACUUCAAAAAAUCACCUAAGAAAUCAGCAUUACCAACUAAAACCCCUCAACCAAGAACAAAAUCAGAAAAAAAGCAGCACCUUUACUGCUUUACCACCAUAACAACCCAAAAACAAAAACAGAUCUACGUAAACACCUAGAAAACUAACUCAGCACUUGAAAACUAAAACUCAUUUUCAAAUUUCAAUCAAAAACCAUAAUCGCACACAAAAAAGAAGCAACAACAAAAACUAAUACAAAAAGUCCAAAUCUUGAAGACCUAGUUCAAGAAACCAACGAAAGAAGAGACAUUUGGUAUAAAAUCAAGAGGGAGUGCUAAUUACCUGUAAAAUGCAAGUGAUCAGAAGGAAUUUGCUGUGUAGUGUGAUGCAGGAGAUUCUGAAGGGCUGAUGAAAGCUAUGGAUUCCUUGGUGAUCUUUAUGGGUUUCUUACUUUGCUCUACCUUGUUGCUCAAGAAGAGUUAAAACAGCUGAUACUGGGUGGGUUGGGCUGUCAAUGCUGUGAAAUUGGGUUGGGCUUAAUUUUUGGGCUUAAUAUAAUUAAGCCUAUUAGAGUUUUUUUUUCCUAUUUAUCCAUUUUUAGUUUUUUUUUUAAAAAAAAGAUUUGUAAAAGAAAAAUUAGCUCGAACAUGGCCGAAUUAGAAUCAAUUCUUUAUUUGAGUUUCUUAAAGCAUGUUAUUAAAACUAGUGAAUCAUUGAUUGAAUCGUUAGAUCAAUUAUAUUAUAAUAUAAAUAUUUUACUUAAUAUAAAAAAUAAAAUAAAAUAAAGACAGUCAUAUGCUGCAUAAUUUUUAAGAUUCAGGUAUUUAUAGUUUUUUUUUUAAUUGGGUUAUUUAUUGGAUUUGACUGAUUUUACGUAAUAUUAUAAUUAUUCGAUUAUGUAAGUGAGUGUUUAGAAAUUUUUGUAGCUUCUGUUUGUAAAUGUAUUUUAAAAGUAUAUUUUAUUUUAAAAAAUAUUAAAUUAAUAUUAUUUUAGCGUGUUUUAAUAGUUUUAAUGUGUAAAUAUAAAAAAAUUAUUUUAAUAUAUUUUAAAAUAAAAACUACUUUUAAAAAGCACAUCUUACACCACAAGAACAAUUACUCUAUUAAAUUGGAUGAUUAAUUGAUUUUAUAACAUUUAUUUUAGUUACUAGUCAUUUAGAAUUGAUUAUAUUUUUCUAUCAGCUUCAAUUAACUUAUUGUUUCCCAUGCUAGAAAAUUAUGCCAAACAACUUAGUAACAUCCACACGAAAUAGGUAAUUUACGAAGGAAUGUGUUUAUAAUUAUUGAGGUUGGUCCAAAACCCUUACUUGGACCUCAUCACUUUCGGUUUUGCAAAGGUGCUACCAACAACAUGUCCAUUCGUUAUUUUGAGGGAAUUUUUAAAAUCUAGAUUAUAAUUUAUAUUGUGGAUUGGAACUUUCUCAAGUAAAAAAAAAAAUUCAUAGAUUUAACAUUAUUUCCAUGAAGUAAACCCAGCAUGAGGAUUGCUAUGAAAAAAGGUAGGGUCACUGAAUCAACAUACGCAGCUUACCAAGUUAAUUAUUUUUAUUAGAAUAAUCUUAUAAAAUUUAUUUAAUUAUGCUUCAAUCGAGUUUGAUCGAGUUAACAGGUUAUAAAUUAAUCUAAUUAUAUCAAUUAAAAUUCACUAAAUCAAUAUUUUUUUUCAUUUAUAUUUAAAUUCUAAUUUAAAUUAGGCUUUGAAUCAUAUAUAUAUCUAAGAUCAAUAAUCUAUGCUAUCAGAUUAUUUCUUUCAAUUUCCUUACACCACAAGAACAAUUACUCUAUUAAAUUUUAUUAAAUUAAUACAUUUUUAUUUAUAUUUAAAAUCCAAAUUUAAGUUAGGUUUUGGAUUGUAAAUAUCUAAUAUCAACUCUUUUAAAUCUAAGCUAGAUUUAACAACUAUUCUAUCGAAUGAUUUUUUUUAAUUUCCUAAAUUAUUACCCCUUUUAUUCGGACAAAUAAAAAGGAGGUCAGGAGUGUUCUGACUUCUAGCAAACCAUGUUUCUUAUCUAAUAACAUUAUUAUUAUUUUUUUAUUUUUUUUUCCCCUGAUUAAGAGGCGAGGUCUUCAAACCAACUAUUCUCCAUUCCUUCUCGCAUGUCCCAAAUACCUUGGUUAGGCUUAGAACUUAGAAUCCUAAUUAAAAUAUAAUAAUUUAAGCUUAUCUUUAUCAUAUAGUGUUUCUAGAAAUAUAAAAUAAAUAUAUUCGGGAUCUUGUAAUCUUGUAGCCAGGCUGGAUAAGAGUUUGUAUUCUUUUCUAGCCUUUUCCUUUCUAUCUUUUCCCGUGAACCAAGCACUGCCCGUUUACAGUAUAUAUUUGACUUUACUUCACAUCAUACUAAUUUUCUCAAGUAAAAUAUUAUGGUCUUGGUCCACAAUGGAAUAAACAUUUCAAAUCAAGUAUGGAUCGAGAAACCUAUACCAGGAAAAAAAAUGAUUUAAGAGAAAUCAAACAUGUUUUUUUAAAGAGUUUACAAGGGGACAACGAAUCUUUGUUUUUACAGUCAUGUCGUUUUUUAAAUGUUUUUUAAAAUAUUUUUUAAUAAUUUUAAUGCAAUAAUAUUAAAAAUAAAAAAUAUAUUAUUUGGAUAUAUUUUUAAUUUCAAACACUUUAAUAAAAACAUGCAUGAGAGGGAGGGAUAAUUGGAUGGCGCGCGUCACAAGUGAUGGAGAUCAUCACAUUUUGAUGGAAUUAAUUAAACAUCAAGCAAUCAAGAAAGUAUGCCCACAUUUGAUAGGCAACAAGUUGAAGAAAUUAACAUAAGAUAUGCUCUGAAAAGGGAAGGAAAGGAUCAUAAGAAAAUUCUCUAGAACUAUAACAAAACACAAGAUAUCCUCUUGAAUUAGAGGCUUCAUUCCAGCCACUUCAUGAUCCUACAUGCAAUUAUUCUUUACACUUUCAAGCUCACACAUGUUACCCUCUGCAUGUUUCAACACAACCUGCAACCAUCAAGAACGCCAAAAUAUGAUUUAGUUUCAUGGAUAUUUUUCCUGAUAAAUGGAAUAUCUUGUCAAGACUAUAUAUAUAUAUAUAGCGAAAUUCUGAAAAUGGAAGCUAGCUAGUACCUGAUUAAUUAAGCAGGGCACUUGAACCCUUCAGGUGGGGUCUUGCCACAGUCAACAAGGACCUCAAGAGCAAUGGGUAUAAUGAUACUGAUGUUGAGAAGCUUAGCCUUAAUGGUGGUGCAAAGACAUAUGGCAGCAUCCAAGUCAAGAAGACCUUGAAGCACUGGACAGCAUGCAUCCUUGGCACUACUGCCAAUACCAAUGUGGACCAGUCCACCUAACACAUCCACACAUGCACCUAGCUUGAGAGUGUCAAUGGAGCAAGUCUCUUGUUUUGGUGGUGGUGGUGGAGGUGGAGGACAUGGUGUUUCAGGUGGUGGAGGGUUCACAAUAGGUGGUGUUGGUGGCUUUAUUGGAGGAGUCACUGGAGGCUUUGGUGGUGGAAGAGUUGGUGGUGCUGGUGGCAUUAUUGGAGGAGUCACUGGAGGCUUUGGUGGUGGAAGAGUUGGUGGUGUUGGUGGUGUUGGUGGCAUUAUUGGAGGAGUCACUGGAGGCUUUGGUGGUGGAAGAGUUGGUGGUGUUGGUGGCAUUAUUGGAGGAGUCACUGGAGGCUUUGGUGGUGGAAGAGUUGGUGGUGUUGGUGGCUUUAUUGGAGGAGUCACUGGAGGCUUUGGUGGUGGAAGAGUUGGUGGUGGAAGAGCUGGAGGUGUUGGUGGCUUUAUUGGAGGAAUCACUGGAGGCUUUGGUGGUGGAAGAGCUGGUGGUGUUGGUGGCAGAACUGGUGGUUUGGGCACAUAUGGUGGUUUUGGUAUGAAGGGCGGAUGCACAAUGGGUGGUUUCGGUUUGAAGGGCGGAUGCACAAUGGGUGGUUUCGGUUUGAAGGGCGGAUGCACAAUGGGUGGUUUCGGUGUAUAGGGCGGAUGCACAAUGGGUGGUUUCGGUUUAAACGGGGGAUGUACAAUGGGAGGUUUGGGAACAACAGGCGGCUUAGGUGGGUGGGGUUUGGGGGGUUUAGGGUCAUGGGGUGGCUUUACUGUGGGAG
rnacentral:lncRNA from 1 species